rnacentral:lncRNA from 1 species
GCCGUCGCGUGCACGGGGGACGGGCUGGUUGUGAGCGGGUCGGCGGAUCACACGGUUCGGGCAUGGCGGCGCGAGACGGACAGACGGGGGCACACGUGCGUCGCCGUGAUCGACGGGCACGGCAGCGCUGUCCGUUCGGUGGCCGUGGCUCUCGUGCCGGGCAAGCAGCAGCUGCAGGCAGGAGGAGACGACCAUGACGACGGCGACGAGGAAUGGAGGGUGUGCAGCGCCAGCUUUGACGGCGAGGUGCGGGUCUGGUCAUUGCGGGUGACGACGGGUUUGUAGUAGGUUGGAUUUGCUGCGAUUUUUGACGUUGGAAAGUGUGUUUUCCUGAUUUUUGGUCUGAUCUUGAUAGUUGGAGAUAGAGAUACGUACGGUGCUAUCUGCCUGUACAUGCAGGGAAGAGGUAAUCUAUCGACCUGUAUAUUUGGACGCCAAAUUUGACAAAUUUGAUCUAUUGAGGCAAAAAAUUCACAAACUAAAUUAUUCACAAAAAACAAAAAAAAUCAUCCGGCUAACCGGUUUGUAUGGCGUCCGACGGAAAGGCGACACACUCCAUUGUGUAUUGUUGAAGACCUAGACGCCGCAUCUCCGGCCACGCUGGCACCUUCAGGGCCGACCCCAUCCUCAUAGUGUGGCGUUUAAGACGAGCAAUGCUACACAUACAUAAUUUAGAUGAAUUUUACAAAGAGGUGGAUUUUGAUUGGAGAUUAAGGGGAUGAGGGCCCCAUCCUCUUUGAAAAUCAGGGAGGAAUGGUUAGUUAGAAAAAAAAGAAUCAUAAUCAGCGUGUAACUUUAUGUAACUCUUUGUAUGUCUAGCAUUUUUGCGUCUAAGACAAAGGCGUCAUACUUGUAAUAUCUUGCGACUUGCUCUUAGACGCCACACUUUGAUUUAUACACCCGCAGGUCGGCCCUCCCCUCUCCUCUCCCUAUCUCCGCUCCCACACAUCUUGAGAGAACAUCAACUCCGUCCCCUACUUCCCCUCUACUCCCUUCUCAAAUCUCUUCCCAAAUCAAGCACAUUUCUCCCCUGUGAAGUUGCGUGUCUGUGUCCACCCACUCCGACGGAUGACCCUGGACCAACCCAAAUUAAUGGAACACACAAUGCGGGAGAUGAAACUCAAUCGAUCAAUUGCAUAUCAGUGGACACCGCAUAAGCGAAAGAUGUUCAUCUUGUAAGCACACUGGAUUGAGCCGGAACGUGUGUGCAUCACCAAAGCGAUGCCCGACACCAUGUGGUUGGCAUUCCACCUGCAACACAACACAAAAAGGCAACAUUCAUGUUUUCCUUUCAUGUAGAGGAGUCAAGUGAGUGAUGUAAUAUCAAUGUUUACCUGCUUGGCGGUAAGCGAAUCCAUCUCGUUGGUGUAUUGCUUAUACACGAUAUUGACAUCGCUCGUCACCUCCGAUACCACGUCCCACUUAUAAGCUCAGGUGGGAAGCCGUAUAGGGUUGUCGUGGUCAUCGAGGCCUUGAACGUUACCUCUCUAGGGCGUCCAACUGAAAGGCGUUUCCAACUCCAUACCGAAAGUAGGAGCAUACAACCAUCAAUUCCGUCGUCUUUCGAGGACCUACGACAAGCAUCAUUAAACUGCACGUAAAGCCAAACACGGGUCAAUUAAGGGCAAGAGUGAAAGCCAAACAAAACCUAAUUAUGAAUGAUUUGUUACCUGCCGAUACAAGUAGGCCAAUGUCGCCGACCCCCAGAUGAACUUGUGGCCGAGGACUGUCAGCGCAUUCAGCCACAUCCAUUGAGCGUUCUUGCCGCCGUUGUUAGCGAAGGUAGUCCUAGAGAUAACAUACCACAUUUACAUGUGAGCAUAAGCCUGUGUAACAUCUUCAUUGGAGUCCUCGGCACAAUUCGCAAAGUUGGCUACGAUCCAAGUGAAAGGAGCACCGGAUGGGACUUUGUCUUUUUUCUCUCCAUUUGCUGGUAUGCAAUACAACAGCUAUUCCACCAAUCUCUCUCUAAUCCUUCUAACAAGAAGCACGUUUAAAUCACAUUUUUUUGUGACCGGUUGUUGUCCUCUUUUACCGUUUGAGCUGGGUUCGAGGGAUACGCGUGUAGAUGCUCUAAGAGCAUCUCCAGCCGUUCGGCCCCCCACGAACGUGAAAUAGCGUCGUCUUGAGGUGCACCGGCGAAAAACUCGCCCUGGGGGGCUCGGGUUCCCAGUCGCCCCCAAAGGUCGCCCGAAUUGGUUUUACAAAAAAAAAAAAUCGGCCCAAAUUCGGUCAAAACCGAGUCAAAUUCAAAAGAAAUUCAUAGUUUGCAAUAAAUUUGUAAAAAAGGAAAUAAAAACAUAAUUAAACAUAAAACUAAAAUAAAAACUAGACUACAUCGCCGUCGCACGCCGCUGCCGCCUUCUACAUGCCGAGGAGCUUGUAGAAAGUGGUGUAGUCGCCCUCGGCGUCGUCGUCGUUACCGCCCGCUCCGUCGCCGUAUUUGCUCCACCCCUGCCCUGGGUCGCCUGCGAACGGGGUUAGAAGGCCCCGACGCCUCCUCGUCGCUGUCGUCGAGGAUGACGAGGCCGCCCUCCUCGCGGCCGCGAUGACGGACGACGAUUUCCUCCAGGACGCGGCGUUGACGCUCCAUCUUCUUCAAUUUCAAGACAGCCUCGUCGGAGGCAGCCAUGAUGAGGUGCUCCUACUUGACGGGCAGGAGCCCUGGCUCCGUCUUCGGCCUGAUGAGGCGGAAGGAAGAACCGGGUCCAUUGAUAACGAUGUCGGUGCUGCGUGUACGCCGCCCUAGCGACGUCUCCUGUGCCUCCGGCUGGACGGGGAUCAACGCCGGUGAUCUGGAGGAGCGGGACCGGGAGUGCCAACAACGCUAGUACCCGAAAGAUGGGAUGCCAACAACAAACGUGCCAUGCACAUACAUAGUUUAGUCGGUAGUGGCCAAUGAACCUCCGGGCAAAUCAGUGCAGCUGUAAAGCGGUCAUCCAUUGGUUGCUUGGAAGCUGGAGAUCGACCUGGAGUUUAGUAGCUUUCAUGUUGGCGUGGGCAGAUUCGAACUGGCACUGAGCGCGCGUGAUCUGAUGAACCAUACCCUCAGUGGUCCAACUGUUAAACCAUGGGCUCCUCCAAACAAGAAAAAAACUGAUGAACCAUGGGGCAUGAGCUUGAACUUGGAUGGGGCCGUGGGUUGCUGGCCAUGAGGUCCUCUUUUUUCUUACUCUUUUUCCAUAUAUUUUUUGCAGCUUGUAAGGAAUUUCUUUUUCAUGAAAAAAUCUUUGAUCUAUUCAUCAUCAAUCAUGACAGUACAACAAAUAUUUGAAAUAACAAAAAAUACAUAUAGAUUCAUAGAUUAACUGGCGACUACUACAAACACUGAAACGAGCCAAUGGCCGUCGUCAUCACCCCUCCUUCAUCAAAGCCGGACAAAAUUUGUUAUAGUAGACAACUGCAAAGUCGUCGUGCUAAGGCCUCAUAGGAUCAGCGGAUCAGAACAACAACCGUCGUUGAUGAAGAUAAGCGUAGAUCGAAAUUAUUCAAUCAAAAGUCACACGAGCACAGACAGAUGAAGACCGGAUCCGACCAGAUCCACCAUAAACAACUACCAGCUAAAGUCUACGAGAUCCCUCGAAAUCACACCUCCACAUGCCCUCCAAUAACGCUAGUCGGACCAUCGAAACGGGGCCUAUGCGGGGAGGACCUUAUUGAAUCUUCAAGGAGACGCUGCCACCUCGUCUUCCUCAGCAAUACACAAACCCUAAACGGACACAAGAAACAUGUAAAAAUAGAGGAGGAGCCCUCCCGCUAGCAAGGGCCUACACCCAGCACACCUCCAUGGCCUAAGGUCAUAGGUAGGGAUGUAAAUGAUACGGAUAAUUUCUGUUCUGAAUCCGCUUUCGCAUCUGUUUUUAAGGAUAUGGUAUACACUUACACAAAUCGCAAGGAUAUGGAUGCGGAUACGAAUUUUGAUCAACCAGAUAUCCGGCGAAUAUGAUAGAGGAUAUGAUAUUGAUAAUAUCCGACUGAUAUAGAUUAUCUGGUAUUUUUUACGGAUUGUCCGCGGUUGUCAAAUAGGAUUAUUCGAUAAAUUUAGCCCAUUUGAGAAGAACAAAUGCCCACGUGGGCCAUUAAUAAAAAUCACCACAUAUAAAUAGAUGUCGUACGUACAUAUACGCUGGAGCGCAUCGGACAUAGGUGUGUGAUUGCGUACAUGUAUGCAGGUGAUGCAUCUACACGGUGGUUUGCUUACAUAUACAUAUAGGAUUUCUGAGUAUAAACAAGUAUGAACACAGUAGUGGUUCCUUCUUCCACGUAUGCAGUCACGUACAAGUAUGAACUCAAGUUAAUUUGUAGUAGUCGAAUAGAGCAGACUUCAUCUUAACAGACUACAAAACAAAAUGAAUUUAUCGAUACUACAUAUUGUUACUAUAUCAUGGGAGUUAUAGCUUAAAAACACCAGUGUUAUGCGCUUGCAUGGAUACAUAUUUUCACAUUGUAGCAUAAUAGAAAUAAAUCAUGUCUUUUUACACGUAUCCUUCGAAUUUUUUUGUCCGUUAUCUGUCCGAAUCCAGUUCGCACCCGAUCCGAAUCCUUGGUCCGAUGUAAUCCGCAUUCGAAUCCGCAUCCGGUUAUUAUUCGCUCCGCUCCGAAUCCGACCUAAAAAUAUGAUAAGGGAUAUGGUAAAAGCAUUAUCCGAACCGAUUCCAUCUGUUUACAUCGGAACGAGGUAGAACGAUGGUGCUGCCAACGGGUUCUCUCUUGCGUAAGUGAAAAUGUACAGAGUUGACCCUUUUCUCAAACUUUCGCACAAAGUAAAUCGCGUUGAAAAAUAUUUCAAAAAUUAACCCUUUUCCAUGAUGUCUAUGGGUUGGGACGCCAUGUUAUAUAGCAUGACCCCCUCGGUAGAGGGGGUUGUCACGCCAUUCAACAUAGCGCCCCUGUCCAGAGCGUCAUGCUAUCUAGCAUGGUGCCUCAGCCCUGGGCGUCAUGAAAAAGGGCAAUGUUUCAAAAUAUUUUCAAAUCCUGUUUUAUUUUGUGCUAAAGUGCUACAAAAGGAUCAAAUCUACCUAUUUUCACCCUUCUGUAUGUCCAAAACAGGAAAAAAUGCAUCCAUGUUUCUAGUUUCUUAUUAGAAGUUGAAAGCCUACUGUAUUGCAUGCUAUCUAUUUUGAUAAUGUAAUAUUUUAAUUCCCGUAUUACAAAAUAAUUGUUUGGGCCGUCAUUUUUGUAAUUCAACCGUAAACAAGAUUUUAGAGCAUUGAUUAUUAUUUGAAUUUCCUGUUAUCUUCCUAAUGUUCCGUCCAUUUUUUCCAAUUUUCUAUUAUUUUUUUGAGUAAAUCUUCUUCUCAAAGUUCAUUUCUACUAAAUUUCUAGUUUAUGAAAGCCACAUUUUUUGUCCAGAAUUUCAACAUGCUUUCACUAUUUUUUUUUCUCACCUUAGUUGAUUUUUUCAACAACAAGAAAGGAAGACAUCGUCUUUUUUUUUACUUUAUAGUCGACAGACCCCAAAAAAAAAAUCGUUGUACUAUUUCAGAAGAGUUCAUUUUCUCUUGGGGACCACACGCAUUUGAAGUACACAUGCGAUGCCAACUUCCAAUCAGCUGCCAUGCAACACAACACACCUUGUUGGGCGGCUGCGGCUGCGGCUGCGGCUGGAGCUUCGCUGUGGGCGACCCGCUCGGCUGUAAAGCGCCUUGUAUCGCUGGGUAGCCGGAGACCAGCCCGGAGGAGUCGAGUAGCUUUCACGGUGGCGUGCUCAUAUCAAUGGAGCCGACGUGCGCGUGCGAAUUGUUGAGCCGUACUCUUGUUGGAUACUCCGGUAGGAGCGACAAGACUCCGACGCCGGUUAGGACGAGCGCGCGCGUUGCAGUCUACGUCGGCAACAGUUCACAGUCUACGUUGCAGCCAUUUGUGGAGAUAUUUCGGCUCGGGGGUUGGUGCGUUGUGACUGCGUGAGCCCGGGUUGGCACCAGCCGGUUAACCCAUGUGUAGUAGACACAUCAGCUAUGCAGUAAAUAAAUUAAGUAACACCCGUGGUGAUCUCAGGCAGAUAACUACAAGAGGUCGCAUGCAGUAUCUGUCCGAUGGGAACAUGGCAGAAACUUUUAAGACCUGACCGGGCGACGAACUCAUGGGCGAAUCAGUGGGCUAGUUGGAAUUAACAAAGCGCCCAGUUGCGCGGAUUAGGCGGAGCUGGGUCGUCGCGGUUGGUCCCCCGAAUCUAUCCACGGAGGAGGAGGAGGAGCGAUGGCGCGUCAGGAGCAGGAGCAGGAGCUGCUGGGAUUUAAUUAGCUCUCCACUAACUCACGUACCCACACGCUCUCUCGAUCAACCAUGUUAAACCAUGUUUAAUCGAUCCAUUCCAGGCCGGCUGAUCCAUCAUUUUCUUGCGCUUGCCGAGCUAGCUACUACUCUCUCCGUUCCUAAAUAUAAAUCUUUUAAGAGUUUUUACAAAAAACUAUAUACGAAUAUAUAUAUAUAUAUAAACAUACAUUAAAAUAUAUAUUCUUUCAUUUUACUUCGUAUGUAAUCUUUUAAUAGAAUAUCUUAAAAGACUUAUAUUUAGCAACCGAGGGAGUAGUUGGUAGUGGCAGCAUAGCAUCCUCAAGUCAAAUGCAAUGCCGCACUUUACUCGUGCCAAAUGCUGAAUUCAGCCAGAGGCAAACGAUCCAGUCCUCUACUGACCUAGCUAGCUAGGUCUGAUUAACAGAGCGUGUCUCCUCUAGGCUCUAGCUAAGUGGAAGGAAGAUAAAACAGAUAACACACAUGUUUUGUCCUAUCAUAUUUCGCGAUGCUGAAAAUGUAUGCGGCGAAUUGACUGUUGAGCACAUGCGAUGGGAGGUGCCCCACAUGUAUGUACGUAUAGUAUCACAACACAGAAAUACAAUUUGACAAAAAAAAAAUCAAUGGGAAAGGACCAACGGUGGCUAUUUUUUAAACACUCCACAUGCAUGUGCUGAAGUUUGGCAUGUCAGCCCGUAGCUGGCUUGAUUGCAAGACGCCACGGCGAGGUCAAAAACAAGUGGCCGGUUUUCGCCUGAGACCGCUCCCCCGUGCGUGGUUUCAACGGACCAGGCAAGUCAAGCGCGUCUACAUGCAUGAACGCCCCGGCGUUCCGAAUAUUCCAUCAUUAAUUUUGUCAACAACUGGGUCGAGGGGACGACUACUGUAGUAAGCCAUGUCAACUGCGUAGCCAAAAGCAUCUUCAACCAUGACACAAGUUCGGGCCAUCAAACGUCCGCGAACGCGUUUCGUUCAGUGAUCAGACGUGUUCUUUAUUUGUUCGAUACGUGUAACUAUAUAUUUCUUUCUUUAUAUAUCCAGUCACUAGUACAUGAUUGAUAAAGAGAAACAGAGAGAAAAAAAUCAUGGAUAAAGAAAAAAAAAGAGGUCCGGGUGAGGUCGCCUCUUAUGUGGCGGCGCGUCCGCACACGUCCGUAUACCCUCAUAUCCUUCCUAUAUUUAACAUGGAUAUGAGGAUUCAUGGACAAGCCAGACAUAUAGAAACGAUAUGAAGAAUCCAGUUAAGUCAUUUUCUCUCAUGUCCGAUCACUGACCGGAUGCGUCCACGGACGUAUGAUGGGUUGUUUGAAAGGUCCGGCUAUAAAUGCGCCCCCGGAUGCGUCCACGGACGACCCAAACUAAUAGACGUAGCAUGUUGAUCGUGUCAUUUUGUUGCUACUGUUUUCUGCGUGUCAAGUAUUUAUUCCUAUGACCAUGAGAUCAUAUAAACUCACUGACACCGGAGGAAUGCUUUGUGUGUAUCAAACGUCGCAACGUAAUUGGGUGACUAUAAAGAUGCUCUACAGGUAUCUCCGAAGGUGUUAGUUGAGUUAGUAUGGAUCAAGACUGGGAUUUGUCACUCCGUGUGACGGAGAGGUAUCUCGGGGCCCACUCGGUAAUACAACAUCACACAUAAGCCUUGCAAGCAAUGUAACUUAGUGUAAGUUGCGGGAUCUUGUAUUACGGAACGAGUAAAGAGACUUGCCGGUAAACGAGGUUGAAAUAGGUAUACGGAUACUGACGAUCGAAUCUCGGGCAAGUAACACACCGAAGGACAAAGGGAAUGACAUACGGGGUUAUACGAAUCCUUGGCACUGAGGUUCAAACGAUAAGAUCUUCGUAGAAUAUGUAGGAUCCAAUAUGGGCAUCCAGGUCCCGCUGUUGGAUAUUGACCGAGGAGUCUCUCGGGUCAUGUCUACAUAGUUCUCGAACCCGCAGGGUCUGCACACUUAAGGUUCGACGUUGUUUUAUGCGUAUUUGAGUUAUAUGGUUGGUUACCGAAUGUUGUUCGGAGUCCCGGAUGAGAUCACGGACGUCACGAGGGUUUCCGGAAUGGUCCGGAAACGAAGAUUGAUAUAUAGGAUGACCUCAUUUGAUUACCGGAAGGUUUUCGGAGUUACCGGGAAUGUACCGGGAAUGACGAAUGGGUUCCGGGAGUUCACCGGAGGGGGGCAACCCACUCCGGGGAAGCCCAUAGGCAUUUGGGGGGGGUCACACCAUCCCUUAAUGGGCUGGUGGGACAGCCCACCAAUCCCCUAUGCGCCAAGAGAGAAAAAAAUCAAAGGAAAGAAAAAAAAAGGAAGAAGUGGGAAAGGGGAAGGACUCCCUCCCACCAAACCAAGUAGGACUCGGUUUGGGGGGGAGAGUCCUCCCCCCUGGCUCGGCCGACCCCUUGGGGAUCCCUUGGACCCCAAGGCAAGGUCCCCCUCCCUCCUCCUAUAUAUAUGGGGCUUUUAGGGCAGAUUUGAGACGACUUUCUCACGGCUGCCCGACCACAUACCUCCAUAGUUUUUCCUCUAGAUCGCGUUUCUGCGGAGCUCGGGCGGAGCCCUGCUGAGACGAGAUCAUCACCAACCUCCGGAGCGCCGUCACGCUGCCGGAGAACUCUUCUACCUCUCCGUCUCUCUUGCUGGAUCAAGAAGGCCGAGAUCAUCGUCGAGCUGUACGUGUGCUGAACGCGGAGGUGCCAUCCGUUCGGUACUAGAUCGUGGGACUGAUCGCGGGAUUGUUCGCGGGGCGGAUCGAGGGACGUGAGGACGUUCCACUACAUCAACCGCGUUCUCUAACGCUUCUGCUGUACGAUCUACAAGGGUACGUAGAUCACUCAUCCCCUCUCGUAGAUGGACAUCACCAUGAUAGGUCUUCGUGCGCGUAGGAAAAUUUUUGUUUCCCAUGCGACGUUCCCCAACAGUGGCAUCAUGAGCUAGGUUCAUGCGUAGAUGUCUUCUCGAGUAGAACACAAAAGGUUUUGUGGGCGGUGAUGUGCGUUUUGCUGCCCUCCUUAGUCUUUUCUUGAUUCCGCGGUAUUGUUGGAUUGAAGCGGCUUGGACCGACAUUACUCGUACGCUUACGAGAGACUGGUUUCAUCGUUACGAGUAACCCCCUUUGCUCAAAGAUGACUGGCAAGUGACGGUUUCUCCAACUUUAGUUGAAUCGGAUUUGACCGAGGAGGUCCUUGGAUGAGGUUAAAUAGCAACUCAUAUAUCUCCGUUGUGGUGUUUGCGUAAGUAAGAUGCGAUCCUACUAGAUACCCUUGGUCACCACGUAAAACAUGCAACAACAAAAUUAGAGGACGUCUAACUUGUUUUUGCAGGGUAUGAUUGUGAUGUGAUAUGGCCAACGAUGUGAUGUGAUAUAUUGGAUGUAUGAGAUGAUCAUGUUGUAAUAGAAAUAUCGACUUGCAUGUCGAUGGUACGGCAACCGGCAGGAGCCAUAGGGUUGUCUUUAUACUAACAUAUGUGCUUGCAGAUGCGUUUACUAUUUUGCUAGGAUGUAGCUUUAGUAGUGAUAGCAUAAGUAGCACGACAACCACGAUGGCAACACGUUGAUGGAUGAUCAUGGUGUGGCGCCGGUGACAAGAAGAUCGUGCCGGUGCUUUGGUGAUGGAGAUCAAGAAGCACGUAAUGAUGGCCAUAUCAUGUCACUUAUGAAUUGCAUGUGAUGUUAAUCCUUUUUGCACCUUAUUUUGCUUAGAACGACGGUAGCAUUAUGAGGUGAUCUCUCACUAAAAUUUCAAGACGAAAUUGUGUUCUCCCCGACUGUGCACCGUUGCUACAGUUCGUCGUUUCGAGACACCACGUGAUGAUCGGGUGUGAUAGACUCAACGUUCACAUAUAACGGGUGCAAAACAGUUGCGCACGCGGAACACUCGGGUUAAGCUUGACGAGCCUAGCAUGUGCAGACAUGGCCUCGGAACACAUGAGACCGAAAGGUCGAUCAUGAAUCAUAUAAGUUGAUAUGAUUAGCAUAGGGAUGCUUACCACUGAAACUACUCUCGACUCACGUGAUGAUCGGACUUGGGAUAGUGUAAGUGGAUCAUGAACCACUCAAAUGACUAGAGAGAUGUACUUUUUGAGUGGGAGUUUAGCAUAUAAUUUGAUUAAGUUGAACUCUAAUUAUCUUGAACAUAGUCUAAGUCCACUUUGAAUAUAUUUGUGUUGUAGAUCAUGGCUCACGCAAGUGUCAUCCUGAAUUUUAAUACGUUCCUAGAGAAAGCUAAGUUGAAAGAUGAUGGAAGCAACUUUGUAGACUGGGCUCGUAAUCUUAGGCUUAUCUUACAAGCUGGAAAGAAGGAUUAUGUCCUUAAUGCUGCGCUAGGAGAUGAACCACCCGCUACGGCUGAUCAGGAUGUUAAGAACGCUUGGUUAGCACGUAAGGAGGACUACUCAAUAGUUCAAUGUGCAGUCUUGUAUGGCUUGGAGCCGGGACUUCAACGUCGCUUUGAGCGUCAUGGAGCAUUUGAGAUGUUCCAGGAGUUGAAGUUUAUCUUUCAGAAGAACGCCCGGAUCGAGAGGUAUGAGACCUCCGAUAAAUUCUAUGCUUGCAAGAUGGAGGAAAACUCGUCUGUCAGUGAACAUGUGCUCAAAAUGUCUGGGUACUCAAACCGUCUAGCUGAACUGGGGAUUGAACUCCCGCAAGAAGCUAUCACUGACAGAAUCCUUCAGUCACUGCCGCCAAGCUAUAAAGGCUUUGUGUUGAACUACAACAUGCAAGGGAUGAACAAGUCUCCCGGCGAGUUGUUUGCGAUGCUGAAAGUCGCAGAGUCUGAACUCCGUAAAGAGCAUCAAGUGUUGAUGGUGAGCAAGACCACUGGUUUCAAGAGAAACGGCAAAGGCAAGAAGGGCAAUUCGACACCUCUGGUUAGUUUGGGUAGCGGUGGCAGCGAUCCGGACCUCCAGGUCCAGAUCUGGACCCCCCGGGCCCGAUCUGGGUCUGGUCGGGACUGCCUCGUCGCCUCUGGUUAGUUUGGGGCGCGGCUCGCGACGGGGAUGACAACGUUGACAUCGCAUCGCUGCAGCAUGAUGAUGGGAGCGACGAUGGCGGCCUACAUGCAGCAGCACGGCAGCGGGGACUUUACGAGCCCCGGGACUUGGCCGACGCUCGGGCGGGCCUUCUUGGUCUGGUGUGUCCUGGCUGCUGUGUCCGGUCGGCACCCGCCGAUGGCGGUGGAGGACGCCCUCCGGGUGGCUGCGCUGCUGCUGCCCUUCGGUUCCAAUGGUUCGGUGUGCUCUCGUCGUCGUGUCCGGACGGCGACCGUCUUGGACGGUGGAGGUGGUCCCCUCCUGUGUGGUUGUCUCCCUGUCAGAUCGUGUCUUCGGGUGGUUCGCCUCAGACUGACCGGCCUUGCUAAGUUCACCAUGGUGAGACGACGAUGAUGAUUGCUAGACCGAGGUGGCGUUUGUUGGUGGAUGGCAUGCUUAGUGGUGCGUCUGUGAUUGUCUGGUGGGUGGUGGCUUGGGGGUCGAGAGAAAUCCUUGUCUUUUGACACCGACACGGUGACGCUUGAGAGUGCCACCCUUCCUUCCUGAAGGGUGUCGGGUGUGCCUCCUUCCCACGCCACGGGGGAAACCCUAGGACCUGUCCGGGCAGCAGUGUCGUCGUCGUCAUUAUCCUUCGUGAAGGUGCUGCUUGGUACGCGAUGGAUCAUGAUGCUUGGAUCAUGGUGGGAAUAUUCCGGAGGAGACGCAGCGGUCGCGGGUCAUUAUUGUUUUCGUUAAGCCAUCGGUGUUGGCAUUAUUUUCUCUUUCUUUUCUUUUUUGGCCGUGGAUGUGUUGUUUUGGCCCAACAGUGGUUUCAUGUUGUAUCAUGUGGUUGCUAUAUAUAUAGCGGGGUGAAAGCCUAUUUCGAGAAAUGCACUAAGCGAAGCAUGCUAGAUGUAUGGUGGUGUGGACGUGACGACACUGCUCCUACCGAUGGCCUCUCCUCUUCGAUUGCCUAUCUAUGGCGGAACAUAUCCAUAAGCCCCCCCCCCUUGGAAGGCCCGAAAAAGUCUCACACCCAUAACAAAUUACAACCGUAUAAUACUGGUGUCCAGUAAUAUACAGUCGACUUCUAUUUCCCCUUGUAAAUCAUGUCGUUCCCCUUCACGGUUCCCACGUCCGUGUAUUCUUCCUCAUUGACUCUUGUGGGAGAUGAAGAUGGACAAAUGGAUCAGGAAGCUGCUGCCGCCACCACCGCCCACCACCACCACCGCUCCUCCUUCCUCCAUUUGAAAAGCGACUGGAUCAUUCGAGCUCAUCAUGGCCGCUGCGCUCAAGAGGCGGCUGCCCUUGCAGGCCUUGCUCCGGACACUAUCCCGACCUCCACCUCUAUGAUCAAGGCGGUCCGCGACGCGCAGCCGGCUAAGAAGUCGCGUGGUGGCGGGCGAGCUCGACCAGGUCAUCGGCGACGACGAGAUCUGACGCAUCGGACAACCCCGUCAACAACAUCUAGCCGCCGACGCCGCCAAUGUCGUUGGCGCCUCGCCGACACCACAACCAGUCACUGACGUCGGCACUCCAUCAGCGCUAGAGCCUGCCCGUAUGUUGUGGUUGCGACGGCAAGCCAUCGAUCUUGCCUAGUCUCAUGAGAGCAUAGGAUUACGGAUUGGUGGGGAAAACGACGGGCUGAGGUGUGUAUCAAAUACCGGCUAAUUAUAGAUGUAAUCGAACGAAUCGGUGUAAAUGUUACAAGCCAAAAAGAUCAACCAGGCGUAUAUGGAUAGUUGGUCUGGUUUUUCCUUACGGAAGUAUAUUUUACCGAUGUAUUUGUUUUAAAAACGACAAUUCAAAGGGCCCUAAUCUGCAAAAGAACCAUGUUUACUACUCCCUCCGUUCUUAAAUAUAAGUCUUUAAAAAGGUUUCAUCAGUGGACUACAUACGGAUGUAUAUAGACAUAUUUUAGAGUGUAAAUUCACUCAUUUCGCUUCGUAUGUAGACUUCUAGUGAAAUAUCUUAAAAGACUUAUAUUUAGGAACGGAGGGAGUAGUACCCUCCGAUUCAAAAUAAAUGUUGUAACUUAUAUUACACUUAACUUAAACUGAGUAUAAAACUGCGACACUUAUUAUAGAUCGAAAUGUGCAGUAUAAAACACAAAUGUUGCAAAAAUAAUAAUUGAAACGCUGCAGUGGCAUGAUUGGAGCCGAGGUAUUCCCCUUCCAGAAGCUUCGCGCCACGUACCAUGGACGAAAGAGAGGGGUCCUGGAAAAAACUACUAUAUCCCGGGUGUUUGGUCAACUGUCACAACGUCACCGGCGCCCAUGUCCCGGCCUGGGAAGCUAGCAGACAAGCGAGGCCCAUGACUCGGAUAGGAGACAUGUCAGUGGAUUGAUGCUGACAGUAUGUGCCGAUCUGAUCUCGGAACUUGGACGCGCCUAAACUGCACUAGCACAUAAAAACUGUCGCUCCUAUAGAACUCUAAAUUUUUUUAGCAGAUGCAUCUGUUUAGACCAUGGAAGAAACAAGGAAUCGUGUUAACGCAAAGGGGUUCUGAAUGAGCAAAUAUGCUCGUGAUGUGGAGAGAACGGAAGCAGAGCAGAGACUCUGCUUUCAAAAGCGAUCGGCGAUGGUCAUGGUAAUGUUGGUCGUGCUCGCUUUUCCCGACCGUCGUGGCCUACCUAUUUAAGGGAGCAGCUUAAUCACGCCAACUGUGAUCAACAACACGCCUAACCACGCAGACUGAUGACAGGAUUAGAAACAAGUGUUGUUAUGACUUAUGGCUGCCGGCGGGGCGAUGAUAAUGAUACUACCUUCAAAGUUCAAACUACUUUACGACCAGGACCCCCGAUGAAACUUGGAAAAUACUUCACUGGCAUCUCAAAACUGGAAGAGGACGGCAACUUGACUUUUCAGCCAACAGAAUUUUCAUAUGAAUAGGAUGACAAGUUUUUUCAUAACGAAUAUAAGAGUAAGAAAUUAUAGGUUUACCAUUUUUAGGGGUGAUGCCAAUUUUGCCUCUGCGACCUACCUCACAACAGCACGAACAAAUCGUUCCCUGGGAACGUUCCUAUCGAGUGAACAAAAUCGUAUAGGGAAAUCCCCCACACAGCGCCCCCCCCCCACUCCCCCCUCGACGACCAAAGUUAUCGUACCAUAUGCGAGCCUUAAACUGGGCAUAAAAAAAUGCCUAUUUUCCUAUGGCGCACUACCAAACCUUAAAAACCUGUAUUUGGACCUAACUUGUAAUCAUUAUUUAAAAAAUGCCAUGGCGUACGUAAUAAAAAUGCCUUCAUGUUCAAAUUGAUCAUAUAUUGUCCAUUUAUCUAAAAAAUAUAUUGUACAUCCCAGAAAAACAAAUUACAGAACAAAAAAAAACUGCUACUUGUUUAAAAAAAGUUAUAUAAACUAUGAAAUCUCUAGGAUUUCAUAUAUAACACACAACUAAAACACAAGAAAAUAUAUGUACAGCAAAACUGCUAGUUGUCAUGUGAACAAAAACAACAUUUUAACUAAAAUGCCAUUAUAUAAAAUUCCACAUGUCAAAUUUGUGUAUUAACAAAAAAAGGUGUAAUUAGAUUUACCAUGGUGCUAAAUAAACAGAUUUUGCUAUUACAAAAAUGUAUUUUAAUUUGCCGUUGUUUUAUAAUUUGAUUUUCCAUGACAACAAAAAUUAGUCUCCAUGGCAACAAGUGUAUAGUUUUACGAUGAGAAUGAUUCAAAAUUUAAAAUGCUAAAAAAUCAAAGGAAAUUGCGAUGAUCGAGACAGUAAAAAUUUCAUGAUAUUAAAAAUUAAAAUGCCGUGAUACGGAUAUUAAAAUUGCCAUGCUCUGUAUUUUCUUUGUCAUGAAGUAAAAUCACACAAAUAAAAUUGCCAUGAUUCUAAUCUUAAAAUUGACAUGUCAUUAUAAAUAAAUUUAGCACGAUAUAUAUAAAGAAUUGACGUGCUCUUAAUAAUAAAAUUACCAACGCUCUUCAAAAUAAAAUUGUCAUGUUGUAGAUAGAUAUUCCAAUAAUGAUUUUUUAUAAAAUUCUAUGUGAACAUAAUGGGUUUUCUCUAAAACUUGCCUAAGAAAAGGUGGUAUAUUUGGAAAAAAAAUUCAAGAACUUGUCGUGUGAACAUGAACGUUACAAAAAAUUAUACAAAUUGACAUGAGUUCUGAAAUUAUAUUUAAAAUGUAAAAUAGGCAUGGUAACCACAAGUAGGAAUAUCAAUGUCACUAUGGUAAAUUUGACAUGGUCGAAACAAUAUUUUUUAUGAGAACAAUUAUUAUUAGUAUUUUGUAUGGAACUUAGAAGUAUCCAUGGAAAAAAAGUUUACUGCAUAUAGUUUAUAGCUAAAAGCAAUUGAAGACCAUGAAAAAACUUGUAUGAAAUUAAGGGAUGCAAAUGGCAAAACAUUGUCUUUGGAACAUGUGAGAAAAUAUCAAACUUUGUAGUGUUUUGAGGAAAUAAUGCCAUGUGUUUGAGUACACAAUAUUUGUGAAUUUUUCCACUUUUCCAAAAUGCCAUGGCAAUUACAAAAAAUGCAAUGGUUUGCAGACCCCUUUAUCUUAUUUUUCCCAUGGAACAUAACUAAAAAUUUUGAAUAUGGCAAAACUUUGGCAAAAACUAUACAAACACAUGGUAAACAAUAUUAAAAAUUGCCAUGUUUUGAAGAAAACAAAAGUUUAUGAAUUUGCACGCGGUUGGAUAAUUUAAAGGUUCUAGAUACACAUCUCAAGUUAUGACAACAAGUAUACAUCAUAUAUAAUCUCCUGUGUUUCUAGUAGGUAAAGCCUGGUCCUACUUUGGGAGUCCAAGAGGUCUAGUAUUUUUUCUUUGUUUGAAGGAACAUGGUGGUCGUGAUCUAGCUAAGAUUUGAGAUUACAUUCUAUUUCAUUCUGAUCUCGUUGUGAUAGAAGCCUAUAGGCAUCAAUUUAACCAUGGUAGUUGGUGUAUAUGAUUCGAACAAGGGGACAAAAAGGUGCAAAGUUAUGCAUUGAUAGAAAGAGUCAUUUCCCUUACUUAUUGUAGAAAAGUUCAUCAAGAAGAUAGUUUCAACUUUUGAGUAGAAAUACAAACAUAGUAGAUCAUCAUCUUCCAUGAUAAAAAAAAUAUAACAAUUUACCAAGGCCCCCCAAAUUGCCAUAUCCCUAAAAAACUGAAACAAACUAAGAGAGACGGGCGGGCGCGCGGAGAGGAGGGCUUGAAGAUCUCGAUGGCAUCGGUACGAUGUAAUCGCAUUAGUCCCCAUUAUUCAAGCCCUCGCACUCCCACAACUCCAAUGUUAGGGAGGCAUCACAACGGAAAAGAGUCGCCGACAUCGCUGCACUAUAUCCUCCCGGACCUUGUUCUAGGCGUGGAGAUCCGCGUCCUGCCAUGGCGCCCAGCCACAUCCAACCGCGUGCUUCGUUGGCCGCGUGCCAUAUGAUUCGACAACCUCAGAUGACAAUGGCACCUGUCGAACGUCGUGAUCGGUGUCGUCAAUGUUGUGUAUUGGGCAUCUUGGCGCCACUUCUAUGUCCCUAUGCUCAGACCUCCCGCAAAGGGAACGGGGUGUGGCUAUUCGAGGUUGUUGCGCGCCUGACCCUAUCACUUCGUGUGCUACCAUCAAGAUGUCACUAAGUGUCGGCUUCCUCCUCCAAAUGGUGCUCCGGCCAGAAAAAUGUGCCCCUCCGUCGGUUGCUUCGCCUCAAGGGAAUCACCAUGGGGUUGGGGAGGAAUGAGAGAAUGUGCGAGAUGUGCGAGGGUGGGAGUGAAUUAGGAAAACCAAUGAAAAAAAAUGCUUGCUAGAACACCAGUUAGAGCCACCACUCAUAAAAUAUGACAUGACGACUCCACUGGUGCCAAGAUCCGUUUGCUAGAUCCAACGGUUUGUGGGGCAUUUGCUGGUCUAGUAUUCCCAACGAGCGUUCACCAUUUUUUAGUCUACUAAUGUUCGAGAGUUAUCAUUUUUUAAUAUAAAAGCAGUCAAGGAAGCCCAUUCUAACUUUAAUUCAGACCUAUUUUGAAACAACAAAAGGAAAACUUUAACCCAACCCAAUCUUCAACAACAGAUGUGCUAAAUAAGUCGUGUGUUGGAAAAACGACUAUUAAGGGCGUUGCCAAAAAUUGCAAUUCAACAGUUGUGCAAUAACCCGCGCACGGUAAACACGUGCAUUGUGGGCGACUUAUUUGGUGCGUCUGCUCCAGCGCGCUGGACAAUCAUAUUGUGCUCGCGAAUAUCACCAACCGUUGGAUCUGAAACCUCGUUACCCUGGCGCCUCCGCCCGUACCAACCAUCGAUGCUUCCCUCGCCUCUCCCCGGUGCGCCGCCGCUUCCCCCUGCUUCCUCUACCUUCUCCCCUCGUCGCCGCCACUUGAGCGUGUCGUUCCUCCAACGAACAACGUUCAUCGGUCAUUUACAGCUCGACGCCCACAAGGUGUUUGUCAAAACACUUGCAAGAUAUACAUUGCUUCAAACUUUAAAUUUCUAGACGUGUUUGGUGCAUGUUAUUUGUACUUCUAAAUUAGUUUAAAUUCAAGUUUGUAGAUGAGUUCGUCCUACGAUUCUUCCAGUGAAGAAUUUGAUCUUCAAAAGGAGGAGCACGUCUCGGUGAUCCUAGCUAUACACGUCAAUAAAAACUCGAAACACGGUGGUUCGAUUUUCGGUCGUCAGAAAUUAUGGAGGGAAAUUAUCGAUGCUCACAACAAGACUGAUAAGGAAUUAUUUUAUGGAGAAUUCCACAUACCCUGAGUCCUACUUUCGGCGCUGUUUUAGGAUGAGCAUCGGGUUAUUCAAACACACUGCAAAAAAUUGGCGAGGCAUGAUCGUUUUUUUUAGCAAAGGAGGAAUGCCACCGGAGAACUCAGGCAUAACACCUUCAAAAAGGUGACCUUUGGGAUGCGUAUGUUGGCAUACGGUAUUCCGACGGAUCUAGUUGUUGACCACUUGUCUAUGGGUGAGAGUUUUUUUUAUUGAUUGCAAGUUUUUGUUGGUAGCUUACCAAGCUAGCUGUUUGGUAAUCUAUGGGUGAGAGUUAAACCAUCAUGUGUGUGAAGCACUUGCAGUUGAAAUUGUGCAAGUGUUUGGUCUGAAAAAUUUGAGAGCUCUCAAUGAUGAAGACAUCGCAAGGCUUUUGGAGGUGAACAAAGCUCACGGGGUCCCUCUUAUGCUUAGCUCAAUGGAUUGCAUGCAUCUGAGUUGGAAUAAAUGUCCUUCGACAUGGCAUGGACAAUUCCACGGUCACAAAAAGGCUUUCUAUAAUCCUUGAAGCGGUGGCCAAUCAUGAGACUUUGAUUUGGCUUGUUUUUUUCGGAAUGACCGGAUCUUGAAGUGACAUCAAUGUUCUUCAAGAGUCAUCACCGAUGAAUAAGAUUGCAAAUGGCAAAACUUCAUCGAUGGAGUUUAUAACAAAUGACCAUACAUACAACUAUGGAUGAUAUAUUGUGGAUGUCAUCUAACUAAGGUGACAAACAUUUGUGAAGUCGUUGAAGGCACCACAAGGUAAGAAAAAACUUGAUUUCUACAAUGCUCUAUCAACAGUUGGAAAUAUGUGGAGAGAGUUGUUGGGAUUUUGCAAGCCUAAUUUGCUAUUACGAGAGGACUGACUCAAUUUUGGGAUAAAAAUCCUUUGUUACAUCAUGAACGCUUGUAUGGUCAUGCAUAACAUGAUUAUCAAGAAUGAGCGUGGGCAAGAUUUAGACUAUUCUCAGUAUGAGUUGAUGUGACAUCUUGUGCGAGUGCAGAGGAGGACUGUGAGGGUGACCCCCUUUGUUGCCUCCUAUCAUGUCAUUUGAAAUGCCGAAAACACAUGAUGAGGGUUCAAAAUGAUCUAGUCAAGGAGUGAUGGUCAUGAAAUGAGCAACAAAACUAGUUUGGUGUUGUAUAUUUGUUGUAUUGUUGACUAUUUGUUGUAUUGUUGAUGAAUUAUUUGUUAUAUUACUCAUGAAAUAUUUGUUGUAUUAAAGAUAAACAAUUUAUUUGAGUUGUAAUAAUAAUUAAUUUUUUAUUAUUGGUUAAUUUUGUGUAUGUUUGAUAUUUUUAUUCUAUAUUUGAGUGGAAAAUAUUGUUUUCGUUGGACGCGCUUUGAAAUUUAACGUGCAUGUUGAAAUGCUACCUGCGAUGCAUAAUAUUAUAGCGCUUCUGACAAAGCAUAACACCAGUCCUGUCCGUUAAAACGUUGCUUCAAUGUUAUAAAUAAAAUUUAACGUGCAGGGCUACCGUGGGUAUGUUUUUUUAUUGACAACCCACUUUAUUCAACUCAUAAUGUUUUGGGGGAUACAUAGGUUGUUAGGAGGACAAUCAAACCAAAGAUGACAGCCUAGACCUAGGGUAGUAGCCAUCCUUGCUAGUUUAUGUGCCUCACUGUUACUAUCACGAUGCUCAUGAACAAAAUUACAACUGAUAAAACUGGACUUCCUCUGUUGAAUAUUAUUUAAGAUCAUGCCGUAUUCUCCCCGGUGCACUUGGCUCUUCAGAUCAUUAACGACUCUCAGACAGUCAGAUGCUAUGCAAACUUUGGUGAUCAUCAAAUCUUCCGCCAGUGCUAUUGCUUCUCUGCAUGCAUGGGCCUCGAUAACUGCUGGUUCUAUCACUCCUUGUAGGACUGUCGCUGAAGCCCCAAUAAACACUCCGUGUGCACUGCGACAUAUGACACCCACCGCCCCGACGUUAGAUGACUUGGCCACAGCUCCAUCCACAUUCAGCUUAGUCUCUCUAAUAGCGGGUGGAAUCCAACGUGGAGCUGGUGUGUUUUCCGUCCUCCUGGUGCUACACUAAAUGUCUGGUAAUCCUCUUAGUUCUUGCAGAUAGCGCUCGAUGAAUAAGUGUGUCGACAGCGGGCUUUGGAAUUCCUUCUCGUGGAUCGCCUUGCGCCGUGCCCACCAGAUCACCCAAAGUGUAGUAAGAACAGCGACGAAACAAUCUGUGCUUAGUGUAUUGCAUAGCCCAUGUAGCCAGAGCCUCGGAUCAGUCGUCUCAUCCCCAUACACUGGCAACAAAGAGUCAUCAUCGUCAUCACGCAGGGACCAAACACUUCUAGCCAUGUCACAGUCUAGCAAUGCAUGUCUCCAGCUAUCAUACUCUAACUGACAGAUCGGGCAUGAUGCGUCCUCCGUCAUAUGGCGUCUCACCCUCUCUUGUCCCGUUGGCAAAGACGCACGAGCCAGGCGCCAUGCGAAGAUUCGAAGCUUGGCCGGGACCUUAAUCCCCCACAGCUUCUUCCAGUUGCUAUCCUCCUGGGCAAUAUUGAGCCAUCUCUCGCGCCUAAGUUUUGUCGUCAUUACCAUUCUGUAGCACGAUCGCACCGAGAACAGGCCCGAUUUCUCAUAAUGCCAAGCAUAGAAGUCCUCUUGAGGAGUAUGACUAAGAGGAAUUUGGCGCACUAUAUCUGCAUCCAUCGGGAGCAUGUGUUCUGCCAGUACCUGUUCGUCCCAGCAUCGAUCCACAUGUGAUAUCAAGUCAGCAACUUUCUCCGGGGGAUUUGGAGAGAUCACACCAAGAGGGCGCAUACAAUGGUCUCGUGGUAGCCAAUUGUCAUUCCAGAUAUGUGUGUUCUCACCAUUCCCAAUCCGCUUGAUCAGACCUGUGCACAAGAUAUCCCUUCCUUCGCAGAGUGCACGCCAAACCUGCGAUGGUCGUGAUCCCAAUUGGGAGGAAAGAAUAUCGGUGGAGGGGAAGUACACAGCCUUGAGUAUCCUCGCGCUCAUUGUAUUGGGUUCAAUAAGCACUCUCCAAACCUGCUUGGCGAUCAGUGCCAGGUUGGAGAUCUCCAUAUCGCGAAAGCCCAGUCCCCCUUUGUACUUCGGCAUACACAUGGUCUCCCAAGAUACCCAAGCCGUUUUCCUCUCCCCCGCCUUGCAGCCCCACCAGAAUUUCCGAAUCAUAAACGUUAUAUGUUGGCAUAAGCCCCGUGGUAGUUUGAAAAGAGCCAUGGAGUAAGUUGGUAUAGCCCGCACCACCGAUUUUAUAAGCACCUCCUUGCCGCUACCCGCCAAACACUUCUCCAUCCAUCCUUGAAUGUUCUUCCAAACCCUAUCGUUUAGGUAUGAGAAAACACCAUUCUUCGCUUGUCCCACAUCCGAUGGUAGCCCCAGAUAUCGUUCACAUAUGGUCUCCUUCUGGAUUUGAAGAAUUUCCUUUAGCACUUCUCGUUGCACAGUCGGACAUCCCUUCCCAGAAUAAAUAGAGGAUUUCUCGUUGUUUAUUUGUUGCCCAGAUGCUUGGCAGUACAUGGUUAGGAUAUCCUUCAAUUUCAAGGCGUUCUUGGGAGUGGUUUUGCUGAAUAGCAGGCAGUCGUCCGCAAACAAAAGGUGAUUUACCUUAGAUGCCGAAGUAGCAAUCUGAAUACCCUCAAAAGCCCCUACACUGCUUGCUUGGUGGAGCAUACAAGAGGGACCCUCAGCCGCUAGUAAGAACAAAUAGGGAGAGAUCGGAUCCCCCUGCCUGAUGCCUCUGGAUGGCUUGAACUCAUCUGUUUGCAAUCCGUUAAAAACUAGAGAGAACGACAUCGAAGUAACCCCUCUCAUGAUCUGACGCACAAACAUAUCACAAAAGCCCAAUUUCUUCAUAAUGGCCUCGAGAUAAACCCAUUCAACUCGAUCAUAAGCUUUCAUCAUAUCAAGCUUGACCGCACAAUGCCCAUUCUUCUUACUCCUAUUAUUCUUCAUGAAAUGGAGGCAUUCGUAUGCCGUAAUGAAAUUAUGAGUGAUUAAGUGACCAGGCACAAACGUCGAUUGUUCUUCAGAGAUAAUUUUCGGGAGAAUCUGCUUCAGUCGGUUAGCUAGUACUUUGGAUGCAAUUUUAAAAAUCACAUUGCACAACUUGAUAGGCCGAAACUGAGAUAGUAGUGUGGGGUUUUGUACCUUAGGGAUAAUAACAAUGAACGUCCUAUUGAUCUCUUGAAGGGAGUCUUCUCCUUUCAACACUCGAAUCACAACCUUGGUCACUUCGUCGCCGCACAAAUGCCAUUAUUUCUGGAAGAAAUGAGCCGGGAAACCAUCAGGUCCAGGGGCCUUGGUGGGGUACAUUUGAAACAAGGCACAUUUCACCUCUCCUUCAUUUAUAUCUUUUGAUAACAUCUCAUUCAUGGGGUUUGUGACCUUACAAGGUACAUGAGACAUCACCUCUUCGUUCAGAUGCAGACAGGUUCUCAUAGAACUGGAUUGCCAUUUGCUGAAGUUCAACCGGCUCAUCGCAGAUAUAUCCAUCAGGACGUGCCAAGCUCACAGUACGAUUCUUCUUCCUCCUAUUCGACACCUUCUGAUGAAAAAAAAAUGUGUUCUGAUCCCCUUCUAGCAGCCACUGUAUCCAUGCACGCUGAUGCCACAUGACCUCUUAUCUGAACCACAGCUCAAUGAUCCUAUCCUCCACUUUAGCUUCCUCUCGUGAGGCUGCUACUCGAUGCGGGUUCUCUCGCAAUUCGCCAAGCCUGGAUCGCAGCUUCCUGAGUUCUGUGCGUACAACACCAAAUGUGGUGGAUCCCCAGCCGCUCAGAGUUGCCGCCAAUAGCUGCAGCUUAUCUCCAAUGUCCUUCGCUGACGUAGCUGUCGUAGCCGUCCAUGCUUCCUGGACUUUAGCCUGGAAACCUUCAUGCCUUUCCCACAUCAGUUCAUAUCGAAACGGCCUUCCCUUGCCAAUUCGCUGGUUGUGCGCCUACAUGCUAUUAAGAAGGAGAAUAGGGGAGUGAUCUGAUUUGACUGCACGAAGGUGUCGUACCGAAGCCAAAGGAAACAUUGAGCUCCACUCCACCGUCGCCAUAGCUCUGUCGAGUCUCACUCUGCAAGUUGCCCCAUUCUGCACUUUCCGUUCGAAGGUCCAAUCAAGUCCAGUAUACCCCAAGUCGCCUAGCUGGCAUACAUCCACCGCCUCUCUGAAGGCAUUGAUCUGCCCCAUUUCGCGCUCGUUUGGUCCAGACUGCUCUCCCCUUCUAAGGACCUCGUUAAAAUCCCCGAUGCACACCCACGGGAGGUCGCUAUCCGCCUUCAGGAACCGCAUCAUCUCCCAAGUUUUAUAUCGCAUGCUUCUAUUUGCCUCCGCAUACCAACAGGUUAAUCGCCAUGGCUCUCUCCCAUUCUCAGUGACCACCAUAUCGAUGUGAUACUUAGAAAAGUUACGUAGCUGCAGCAUAAGAGGUUUCCUCCAGUACAUACACAACCCGCCGCUUCUCCGUGAACUACCAACUCCAUAUGCACAAUCAUACCCCAAGGUUCUUGUCAAUCCCUCCAUACGGUUCUUAGAUAUUUAUGUCUCCACAACACAAAGAACCACCGGCGCACUCUCCCACGCAAGAUCGCGGAGCUCAUGAAUUGUCGCGGAGCUACCGUGGGUUUGUUGGAGAUGAUGUUAGGCUUCGUUCUCCCAUAGGAACGCUUAAGAAACGGCCCAUGUAGGCCCAGUAAUGAAACCCUUCCCGCGCCUUCGCCCUAAAUCGCCCCCCUCAUCCCGCCCACCUUCUUGCAUCUGCCGCUCUUGUGAAACCGCGAGUCGCCAUGGACGACGAAGAGACGCGCGAGGAACGCGACGAGACCUUCCAUCCGGUGAGCUCAUCGUCUCUUCAAUUCCUCCAUCAGAUGUGCCCUUUUCUCCGGGCCUUUUGUUCGUCCGGAUGUUGGAUUUGAAGCGCCGUCGGGGCCUGAGCAGGAUCUGAUCCGCGCGAUAUUCAAGCUCGUGUGGAGCCGGCGGACCGACAGGGACGUCGUCGUGGACGAGGCCGUAGACAUCGAGGUGACUCCGUCCGCGGUCCAAUCUAAUCUCAGAUGCUUCAUUUUUCUGUUCCUCUUUACCCCCCAACCCUCCCACAACUGUUCUGUUUCCUUUUUUCAUUUUGCUAUGGUAUAUCCGAUGAGAAUGCUUCCGUUUUUAAUUGGCAGCCUGCUGCGGAGACGUCGAGGAGGAACAAGAGUACCUCUGGUAAAUGAUGUUUUCUAACAUGAUAAACAAUGCUUUGUUCUUGGAAGUUCACUAGUAACACUGUGGACUGUCGAUUCUGCGUGCACCUGCAAAUUGAACUGAAGGAAUGCUUUGGUACUUCCUAGUCCGAUUUAGCUGUCUAAGUUGCCACAUUUUUCGCGGAUGUUGCAGCUAUCUAUGCCAGUUUUUACCCAUACUGUGUUCAUAUUGACGCAUUUAUCUUGAUCACAGUUCGAUUGCUCAUCAACCCCUUGAUCAAAAAAUGAAAAAAAAACGGAAAACAAAUGAAUUUCUGCCCUUAGGUUCCUUUGGAUAACUCAAACAAAUGUAAAAAGGAUUUCCUAUUGAAGCCUCCCUGCACGAUGUUGAAGAUGCUUUGUUUGUUCAAUUUCUGCAGCGAAUGCAAGUGCACUGCAAGUGAGCUGCGAACUUCUUCGGAUGUUUGUCGCAGGUCUGUGUAUUGACGUAAAAUAUCACAGUACCUGAUGCUAAUAAUACUAGGAAGUAACAUUAGAAGAUCCCACUUAUAUAUGUAAUUAAACUCUGAAUUCUUUCUUGCAGAGGCUGUCCAGCGCUGUGCUAUUAUCGCUGAAGCAGAGGGGACGACCACAAUCGAGCCCACCCACCUGGAGCGAGUCUUGCCACAGCUUCUUCUGGACUUCUAGCUACCCUUCUUGGUACCUGUCUCGGACACACAGAUGGAUAGCCAAAUUGCCUCAAGCAAUCCAUAAUCUUGUACCGCAGUAACGAGAAUGUUGUUUGUGUAAGCUUCUCCAUGCUUGCUAAGUCACCCUAACAAACCAAACCAGUUUUUUUAAAUGGCACUGCUGCCCUGAUUCACAAGCCUGUAAAAUCCUGUGGAUUUUUAUUCCACAAGUCUGGAGCCAAUUUCGUGCAAUUUCCCGUGGAAUUUUACUGGCCUCGUGAAAUCCUCCGCGCUGCGAUCAGCAGAGCACGCGCUACGCGUGACUGGCCUGUGAAAGAAAAGAGUGGUGGUCUCUGGACACGUACGGCGCAGCCACUCCAGGACUGGAAAGAUCGGCGGCGAGACCACCUGUCGAGACGAGGCUCCCCCGCACCGCCACGGCGGCCGAGCUCUGCACACCUGUUCGCCUCGCGCACUUCUCCCGUCUUAUAGCGGAAGUCGACGCGCCAGCGCCAUGUCCGUCGCCGCCGCUGCGUCCGCCUCUGGCUACCCGUCGUCGUCCCGCUUCCUGUCACCCUCCACGGCCGCCCGCCGCCGGUUCCUCCACCACCUCCUCGCCGCGCCCGCGCCCCCGAGGCCGCCGCAGCUUCGGCGCUGCUCCCCGUACCACUGGAUGGCGGUACGUAGCUGCACACACGACGCCCUACCCUACUCCCCCCCCUCCCCCUCUUUUGUAUCUUUGGCGAUUGCUGCGGCAAAAUUGUACUAUGAUUAAUCAAUAAAUUGCGCCCUCGAGUUGAAGCCGAUCUAGGGGAGCUGAGUUGAACGUCUAGACUCGACAGAGAUUUGGGAUUUGGAAAUCAGGAGGGCUAGCUGAUCGGUGGAUUUUAGUCUUGUAGAGCGGUAAAGGAGAGCGAUUAUGAUUCUGAGCGCUGGAGAGCACAAGAAUAUGGUGGUGAAUAGCAGGUCCAGCGAUGAGUGAAGCCAUGGUGCCGAUUUUUUUUAGCAGUUGGUGCUGAAAUUCAUUCAUGUUAGCCAUCUUCUGCAAGUGUGGCACCUUGAGUGUGAAAAUAUAGGUUAAAUCUGAACCUAACUAUGCUGUGAAGGUAGCUUAUCUGUUGCAGAAACUAGGAAUUAUGUGCCCACAAACUUCUUUUCGGAAAGGCCAAUUACAGUGUUAUGAUUUAUCAAUGUAACGAAAUCUGCGAUCAUCAUAUAUUUUUGGCACACUGAAUGUUUGGGUGAAGCACAUAAUCGUUGCUGCUCAGUGACUCCAAGUACCGGAGUUUACCUAUGAGGGAUACAUCUCAGCAUCUGUUGUUUAACUUGCAGCAAUUUUGGACUGAAGGAUCGCUGGAAAAGAACAACGCUCUGGUUGAAUACCUGAAGCAGUAUGGUGUCGUUCGAACGGAUAAAGUGGCAGAAGUUAUGGAAACUAUCGACAGAGCCUUAUUUGUACCAGAGGGCUUUACCCCUUACAUUGACAGUCCUAUGCCUAUUGGUUACAAUGCAACAAUAUCUGCUCCUCACAUGCAUGCAACCUGCUUAGAACUGUUGAAAGAUCACUUACAGCCAGGCAUGCAUGCUCUAGACGUUGGAUCAGGUUUGUUGCCGGCAGCCUGAUACGCUGCCACUCUCUGUUAGUGCCUUCAGAUAGUACUGUAUGAACACAUUUGUUAAUAUUCGACUAACAUUUUGUAUACUACUGCCAUCUUGGUGUAUUCCUGUCAUAGGCAGUGGCUACUUGACAGCUUGUUUUGCAAUGAUGGUCGGGCCAGAAGGUCGUGCAGUGGGGAUUGAACAUAUUCCUGAACUUGUUGCUGCCUCUACUGAAAAUGUAGAACGGAGUGCUGCAGCUAAACUGCUGAAGGACGGUUCACUCUCUUUUCAUGUUUCAGGUAUGCUAGUGGAUGCGAGUAUUGUGUGUUGAGCAAUUCAGUGCGUCAAGAAAAUUCAAUUUGCACACAUCCUUAUAUAUCCACUAGAAUUCACUCUCCAGUUGUUGUAUUCAUCUUUUGAUAUUGCUCAUAUGCAUACUAUGAUAAAGCAAAUAUGGCUAUGGAAGUCCAAAACAUUUGGAGCUUAAGUUGCCUUAAUGCAAUUUCUCAAAACCACAGAUGGAAGGCUUGGCUGGCCGGAUGCGGCGCCAUACGACGCUAUUCAUGUGGGAGCGGCGGCACCUGAGAUCCCUCGGCCGCUGCUGGAGCAGCUGAAGCCUGGCGGGCGCAUGGUCAUACCCGUCGGCACAUACUCUCAGGACCUGCAGGUGAUCGACAAGAGCGCCAACGGAUCCACCAGCGUCCGCAAUGAUGCCUCUGUCCGAUACGUCCCUCUGACCAGCCGCUCUGCUCAGCUGCAAGACAACUGAGAUGAGAUCCUUCGCUCUGGAUCUCUAAAUGUGUGUGUAUAUACGAGUGUCUAAUAUCUUCUGAUCUACAGUACCAAUGUGGCGUCUGAUGUUUUACUUUUAGAUCGUUUGGUUUUGUAAUGCUUAUUAUCGUUGGUCGAUGUUGCUUAGAAUAUGUGAAUACGUGUUGUGUGUGAUAAGUUUGAAAACCGCUAGCAUUUGUGUGGCCUUCUUACGGCAUGAUUUGUUGUUUAUGUUCAGUUCAGGUGCAAUUUCUCAACUUCGAGAUGACGGUGCAGCAUUAGAAUUUGACUGCUACUCCCUUGAAGACAUUUUAGAAAUUUUAAUAAAUAUAAGACCUUUUAGAAAUUUUAAUAUAGACUACAUAUGAAGCAAAAUAAGUUAAUGUACACUUAAUAUAUCUAUAUACAUCAUAUUGAUAUCUCUGAUAAGUACUCCCUCCAUUCCUUUAUAUAAGGUGUAUAUGUUUUUUGAUAAAACUCCACAAUGUAAGGUGCAUUUUUUGUAAAUCCUUGUAAUUCCCUUAUUAGCCCACCACAAAAAGGAAAGUAUCUCUCAUAUGAUUGUAUGUAUCUCUAAUUGUAUCAAAAAAGAAAACUAUCUCUCUCUCGAUUGUGUGUAUCUCUUAUUUUUCGAGACUCAUUGAUUUAGUUUCCACUAACCUAUAAAUUUCUCAAGGGUAAUUUUGUUCUAACACCACUAUAAUUAUGUACUUUGAUCACCGUACUGAAAAUUGUACACCUUCAUAAAGGAAUGAAAAGAGUACAUGGUAGGGUAGGUCAAACAUGUGCAACGAACGUAUCGCUGUUCCCAAGCUAUAUAUAUAGGUGUUUACGUCAUCUGAAAUCGACCGAUAAUCUAGUUUGAACAUUUAACACACAAAAGUAACAAACGGCCGAUAAUCUAGUUUGAACCUUGAACACAAAAGUAACAAACGGCAUUAUCUCGUAUUCUGGUACUUGUAGAUCGGUUGAAAUCUGUUGUAAUAGUGUUGAAGCGUCCGAUGACGGGCCGGCGUGCUCAGGAGCUCCAGUCGGCCCCGAAGUAUCUGGCGUUGGGCUUCCUUGUUCUCGGUUCCCUGCGUCCCGCCGUCGAAACUUGUGGCGAUCUUGACUCCGAGCUCUCGAGCUCCUCCGCGUCCGGCAGCGAGGCCAUCCGGCGCGUGAAAGCGGCGAACUCUGCGGCCUGCGUCCUCAGCCUCGCGAUUGACGCGGCGUGCGUGCGGAGCGGCUCGACGAGAUGCUUGGCGCCCGGCCUGCCCACGAACGCCGCGGCCGUGUGCUCCGCGUCCUCCGCCUCCUUCGCCGCCCUGUCGAGCAGCCGGAGGGCGGUCUCCUCAGCCUGCGCGGUCACGGCGGGGAACUCCCUCGUGGGCACCAGCUUCCCCGCCGCAAGGUCCGCCUCCGUGACGGCGGCGGCGGCCAGCCGCAGCGUCUCUGCCCCCUCGGUUAAUUCCUUCUCCCCCUUCGCGAAUCUCCGCACCGCUUUCUCCCACGCCAUCGUCGGACGGAUCAUGCUGCUCCUCCUGAUUUGAUAACUCGUCGUAGUUACGCGCUGAUGUAUCGACGGACUACACGGUGUUGGGUGGGUGGCUUAUAUGAUCGACUCGUACGUGUACAGUAUACGAGUUAAUGUUGGAUUCUCAGAGAAACGCACGAGUUCUCACGUCUCACGUAUGUAUUGCACAACAAAUUUCGGCAUAUGUUUUCUUGCUCUUGGCGUUUCUAUACGUAGUAGACGCUGCGAAGGGCGAACCGAAGAAUUUCACAUGGGCUUGAAGUUUCUGUACGAGAUGACGGCGUAAAACGGGUCGGAGUUGGCCUGCCCGAACAGCCUCAUCAGGGCCUCCAGCGGCGACGACGAGCCCGACUUGCCGCCGGCGUCCGAGGGCGGCAGCCUCCUGACCACCUCCGGCUGCGUGAACCCUUCGAUGCACUGGAAGUACUGCGUCACGAGCUGGACGCGGCUGUAGGCGGACCCCUCCCGCCACGCGCCGAUCGCCUUCUCGUAGAACAUCCGGUUGCUGAAGCUCACGAUGCACACCCCGCCAGGCUUCAGCACCCGGUAGAUCUCCGCAAAAACCUGUGGUGUGCCACUCAGCAUAUGAGCUCCGUCCCGGUACUAGGAGUAUCAAAUCAAAUCGUGUGGUGGAGAGAAGAAGAAGAAGAUAAGAAGUUAAGAAGAAGACACGGUGGUGGAUGGAUGGCACAUACUUGUUCAGGCGACUGCAGGUACUGCACGCUCACGGUGCAGAGCACGGCGUCGAAGGAGGCGCUGUCGAGCUCGAGCCGCUGCUCCCGGUUGAGGUCGCUGACGAAGAAGUAGUCGAGGCGCGGGUUCUUGGCCAGCUCCUGCGCGUUGAGCCCGUGGCCGACGACCCGCCGGAACCGCGUGUCCGGGGGCAAGUGGCUCACCCAGGAGCUCAUGAGGUCCAGCACGUCCGACUCCGGCCGCAGCCUCUCCCGGUAGAGGUCGGUGAGCGUGGCGAGGAAGCCGUCGUCGACGUGCUUGACGAGGCGCGGGAACGCGUAGAAGUCGCGGUCGGAGCGCGGGUCCAGCUUCGCGCGGCCCUCCGGCUGGAGCACCUGCCGCCGGAUGUUCCCGGCAGAGGACGGUGACGACUGCGUGCUGCCGGAGCAUCGCGGUGGGGGCAAGAGCGGCCGCGACGGACGCAGCGCUUGCGGCGGAGCGCAGAACAUGUUUUGCUCCUUCUCUGUUUCGGUGGAGACUGCACACUCACUCGUUAAUUUGUUCACGUGGCGUUAUUAUACCGUGUUGAGUUACUACCGUACUUCUUUGGAUCCAUGUACAUAGGCCUAGUAUUAAAAAUGAAAGUCUGAGAGUUAGUGGGCCGCUGGUGCUGGAGUGGGCCAGACUCGAGGCAAUGAGGCCAUCGAGCGACGAGCGUUAAAACGGGAUCCAGAACAUGAUCGAUCUAAUUCUUACAAAAAAAAAAAAAAAGAGAGAGAACGGGAUCGAUCUUCUCAACUGCUCGUCCUACUUAUCGCUACAAGAUGUCUCAAAAAAAAACUUUUUUUCGGAAAAAAAAACUUAAUCGCUAGAGGAUUGGGAUCGUAGCUAGUGGCUACAGAAAAGCAGUGGCGGCUGGUAGGAAACUCUUGAUUGUGGUGGUGCCUCGUAUCUGUUGAAAAGUGGGCAGAAAAAGUCUUGUCGAUCUUCGUCUCGUCUCGCCCUCGUCCCUUGGUCCCUGGUCAUUUGAUAUUUAGAUCUAUCUGAUUCCGGCUGAUUGGGCGACUGGCCGCUGUUGUAGUUGCAUUUAUCGUCUCCUUUUUAAAAUUUCAGAUUUGUUCACAUCGUUUUGUUGGAUUAAUCGGUGGCUAACUCUAAUCUUUAGGUACUUAGUGAGUCCUUUUUUAUUAAAUCUACUAGUUUUCUUGUUUGAUAAUUGUUUCUUGAAUUUAGAUAAUAUAUACACACAUCUGAAUAGAUUCUAUAUCUUUCAAUUUUUUUGUAAGAUAGGGCCCCAUGUCUUAGUUUGGCACAUGACUCCGGAUUUUGCUGCCCGGCUCCGAACCCAUCCAAGAUGUGCUUAUUUGGGUUAGAGUUAGGUGGAGUCCAGAAAAAAAAUACUUUUUCUUUUACCUUUACCACACCAAAUCUUGUUUAAAGGAGCCAAAUGAUUGAAAAAAAUACAUUUAUUUGUAAUCUAUCAUUCAAACACCUUUUUGUUUAGAGUUAGUUCAAGGUUAGUCUAGGGUUAGAAUCUAACUUUUAACCUCUAACCGAGUUAGAGUAUCCAAACAUGACCCAUAUCACAUCCGUUAUACUGUAGCAGACUAGAUAAUAGCAGACUAGAUAAUGCCUUGUCGGAACCUUGGUAAAACAUUAAUAUAUGCUAGAAAAUCAAAAUUGUUGCAAAACCAAAUUCAAGAAUGCUUUUAUGAGAGUAUUAAAAACAAGGUCAUGGAUAGGCAGCGCCCGAGCAUCGGAUGGUGUGUGUGAGACGCUUUCUAUUAGAAAACUGAGGUGUCAUGUUAUUCUAGUCUGUCAAAAAUGAAAAUAUAUGAUCAUCUAACCACACGCUACUUGAAUCAAGCAGCCCACGACCAUUUAUUUGGGGUUUCAUGAAAUUUUAAAAGCUAUAACUUUUGAUUUGAGCGUCGAAAUUAACAUUCGUCUUCAUCAUUGGGUUUCUCGCGACAGUCUCUUUAAAACUAUGUCUCAUAUGGAUAAGUUUUGACGAAGUUUUUUUAGAGCAACUUUAGAUACUAUGGAGACAACUUUAGUGCUAUAGGAAGCAAUUCCUUUUUAUUGCCUCGUACAACUAUCUAUCACCCGAGAGUCUUUCUAAGUUGAUUACCAUGACUAUCAAUUGACUAGAUUCACCUUUAAGUAGCACUAUAUAGGGAAGCAGCUCGUUCUUUUUAGCACUAUACAGGGAAGCAACUCCUUACUUUCAGUCCAGCAGAUCAAUAAUAAACUUGCAGUCGUUAUCAAAAGCGGAAAUGAAUUUGUGUUGUCGUUUCCAAACCUUGGCAGCAGACCUGAGAGCUUUCUUCCGGCGAGCAAGGCGGGACGCGGCACAGGAGGAGGGGGAACAGUGGUCGCCGACAAAACCGUGGGGAGAAACCGCGGGUCCAACAACCAGGAAUUUUUGAGGAAAAAACUGCGAGCGCAGGGGAUAUGCAUAGAGACGGAUAUCAGCAUGGGGACAUGGUCUGACGUGGUUCGGGGAUGCAAGCCGAGCGACGGGUCUGGAAAAAGGGACUUCCAACUCAUGUUAAAAAAGGCACAAUCGAGCCGAGCAAGCGUGGGUGGGUCCCGCCUGUUCGUCCAGGUGAAAAGACGAUCUAAGAGCGGAAGCUCGAACCAAGCUAAGGCGUUAAUCAUAGAAUUAAACGCUGACGACCGACCGACGUCAAACCGGUCAUUGUUCUUUUCUGUGGGGAAACAGAUGAGAUUGAAGUUGCCCAUAACCAACGAUGGGCCGUCCACGGAGGGGGAAAGGACGAACAUGUCCUUAAAGAAGGCCGAGGUAAGGGAAUGACCGCUGGGAGCAUAAACAUUAAUGAUGGUGAACACAAUGCCUGAAACUGUGGACACCAACGAAGUGGGGAGUGAGAAAUGGGAUCGAGCAACACAGCCGAGCAAUAGGAGAUGGGGGACCCAAGCAGUGACCAAGCCGCCCCUAUACCCAUCUACUUCCUUGGUCACAAAUUCAGAGAGACAGACAUGAAGGAAAGAGCAAGCCUUAUGCCCGUCGAGCAGUGGCGAAGCUUCCUUAGGUCCAACCUGGGCCAUGGCCCCCCUGUUUGUGUAGUUUUCUUAUAUUAUUAGCACAUAAAUAGACAAGAAUGAUUGUGUUUUUCCCAAUCUUUGAUUGAAUAGCCCUCCUACAUGGAUUAGGCCCUCCUAUAAUUCUGAUCAAGCUCCGCCACUGCCGUCGGGCGAGGCAAGUUUGGACUCCUGGAAACAGGCAACCGUCGGAGGAGCGGUGGAGAUGGAGUCACGGACGAGGCCGCGCUUGUCUUCGUCGCCAAGGCCUUGCACAUUCAAACAUAAGAACAAAAGAUGUUGGACCUGACUAUUCAUGGGAACUGUUGAAUAUAUAUUUGUGCAAGUAUAUUGUGCUAUUGGGCCCUCCUCCUAGUCCCUCGUAUAGUUGAGGUAGAGGCUCAUCUUGUACCUAUAUAUACAUGCCUAGUGCACCCAAUCAAUAUUGAGUGUUGCACAACCUAAACCUAAUUGUUGGAGAACGUAGUGCUAAUUCAAUAAAAUCCUACGCCGCACAAGGAUCUAUCUAGGAGAAACCAGCAACGAUCAAGGGGGUAAAGCAUCUUCAUACCUUUGAAGAUCGCUAAGCCGAAGCGUUACUAGAACGCGGUUGAUGGAAUCGUACUCGCGGCGAUUCAGAUCGCGGAAGAUUCCGAUAUAAGCGUCGAACAACGGCGCCUCAACGUUCGACACACGUGCAGCCCGGUGACGUCUCCUACACCUUGUUCCAGCAAGGAGAGAGGAGAGGUUGAGGGAGAGCUCCGGCAGCACGACGGCGUGGUGACGGUGGAGCUAUGCAGUUCUCCGGUAGGGCUUCGCCAAGCACCGCGGAGGACGAGGAGGAGGAGAGGUAGGGCUGUACCGAGGGAGAGAGAGAAUUGUGUGUUUGCAGCCCCAAAACCCUUCACUAUAUAUAGGAGGGAGGACGAGGAGGGCCAGCCACCCCUAGGUAAACCCUAGGAGGUGCGGCGGCCUAGGGUGGGCUUGGUGCCCAAGGCAGCCCCCAUGCCUAGGGUUUCGCCCCCCCCCUUAGCCCUCUUUUGCGCCUUGGGCUGAGGUGGGUGGCGCACCAGCCCACCUAGGGGCUGGUUCUCAUCCACUUUUCGCCCAUGUAGCCUCUCGGGGCUGCUGGCCCCUCCCGGUGGACCCCCGGAACCCUUCCGGUGGUCCCGGUACAUGUAACAUCCCAAAUUUUGGAAUGUUAAUAAAAUUAUUAGAUUGAUUGUUUGUUUGUUUGAGUGAUUGAAACUUGAGUGAAAUUUGAAACUUUUCAAAAACAUUUGAAUGAGAGGGAAUAAAAUGACUUUCCCCUUCUCCGGUAAAUUCAAAUUCAAUCAUUUAAAAACAAAGAGAGAAGAUGACAUGACUUCUUCAACUAUAAAGAAUUUGAACGGAGUUUUGCAAUUGAAUUCUUUCAAAUAUUUGCCCUUGCUUCUCUAUUUUUCUUCCCCGAGAAAUACCCCGAAAAUAAUUCUUGCCAAGCAAGAAAGAGAGGAGGAACAUGACCCUCCAAACCGGGGAUAUUCCUUUGAAAUAUUUGGACCAUAAAACCCAAGGUUUAUUUGAAAAAUAUUUGCAAAAAGAAAAUAAACCAAUUUAUGGAUUUUCUAAAAAAAACUUUUUUUCUGAAGUAUUUAUUUUGGUAGUGGAAAAAUGCCCAUCUUUUUGGAUUUAUUUUUCUGAAAAUUUUAAUAUAUUAUACCCUUAUAUUCCGAGGAAUAUUCCAUUUACUUUUAAUAGUUUUAAUUCCGUUUUAAUGAAUAUGGAAAGAGAUCUUUAUUUUAGGAAAGUCCUUAGGCCACAUUAGGAAUGUCAUGUGGCCCAAUUCCACCUUCCUUCUUCUUCCUCACGUUCAUUCCUUGUGUAGCCAUGGCAGAAACUUCCACGAAGCUUCCCCUCCGGGAUUCGCGAGCUUCUUUCCCUCCCGGCGCCUCCCACCACCCCUAUAAGAACCCCCUCGGCCUCCUCUUUCCAUUCCCCUAAAAAAUCUCUGUUCCCUCGCCCGACGCUACCACCCCCACUCGCCGGACUUCACUGUACGGAGCCGAAGCUUCCAGGAGCUCCCGGCGACCUCCCCAUCGCCAGGCCACGCCUCUGCCCCCCCUACGCACCCCUUCCCCUCGCCCCACCCUUUCCCCAUCGCCCUGCAGCCACCCCACCCUYGCUGCACCCCCACCCUCGCCCACUGCACCUCCCAGCACCAUUGCAGGAGCCCCCUGUUUCUCCCCAGGGCCUCCCCAUCUCUCCCUUGCCCCCCUCGCCCCCUCCUAGGAGCCCCCCCUCUCCUCCACCGGCCCCCUCCCAGGAGAUCUCUCCCCUCGCCGGAGUGCCUCUCCACCCUCGCCGGAGCAGCCACCGGAGCUCCCAGCCUCCUGUGUCCACGGUGAGAUCCCCUCCCUCCUCUAGUUUUUGUUUUUUUUGUUUUUCCACUGUAGGAUCUUAGAUCAAUGGGUUAGAUUAGAUCCAGCAUACCCCUUCGGUUCUUUUAAAAGAACUGGCGGUUUUUCCUUAUUAGUAAGUUUAGCCGAAGCGGUUUCUUAUAUAGCGACCGUCCGCUGUUUGUCUAUGCAACACACACCCGACAACCAAUUAGAUCUCGCCACGUCGCCGUUUUCGUUUUCAGAUUAAUUCCGUAACAGAUUUAGUUCCGUUCUUGUUUAGCUUAUAACUUUUGAUAUAGAAGUCCAAUGAUGCUGAUUCGUUUUGCGUUAGAUCACAAUUUUCUUUUAGUUUCCGAAAAUAUAUAAUUUGUCUAUGUUUGGAUUAAUAAAAAUUGAGUUAGAUCAGAUUUGAAUUAAACCUUGUUUUGCUUAUUCUGGGAGUUUAAAAAUAGAUUUUUAAUUAAUUCUUUUUGCUACUGACCACUAGUGAUCUUAUUUAUCAGUGGUAAAAAUUUCAAAAUUGUUUGAGUAUCUUAGCUCAUUGUUUCUUGUGAAACACUUUCUGUUUCACUUCUUUUAGGAUUAUGACUAUAUUUCUUUCUUUAGUUGUUUUUAAAUUAUUUUUUCUUUUAUAUUUUAGAAAGAUUAUGUUUUGUUUCUAUUAGUUAACAGUAGGUUUGCAACAAGUUUUUGAUUUUAUUUUUAUAUGUUAUCAUGAAAUCAAUUCUAGUUCUCUAAUAACUUGCAAUUGGUUUCUCUACUAUUUCAAAUCCCGUUUGGAAAUACUUUCAAAUAGUUUUGUGAAAAAAACUCUAUCUUGGUUAAAUUUAUAUCUUAGUUCUCUGUUAUUUAAUGUUUUAUUUUCAGUUAGAUCAAAAAAAAGUUAUUUAGUGUUUGAUGUAGUAGAGGACUCCUAGUUUUAGUUGAAGUUUCUUUCGGAUUCUUAUUCGCUCUCUCCUUUGUUUUGAUUACUAGAAUGAUUGCUAGUAUGAGUGCUUACGUGAAUGAUAUGUUUGUUAUAUAGAUUUCAUCGGAGAGUGACGAGUAGUCUAUCAAGUUAUUCCUCGACAACGAAAAUUCUUCUUCGUCAACAUCACCAGGCAAGUCACUUUGAUCAUACUAUCACCUAUGUUUUUUCUAUGCAUGGUAGUUCCACCUUCCUAUACCCAAUUGCAUGCUGAGUAGGUACUUGGAAAUUUUGGUUACAUAUUGUGGUAUCAUGUGGUAGGCACCCAACAACCCCGUUAUUUGGCCCGGUAUGACAAAUUUCAUAUUGCUAUGCUUGAAUAGACGGGAUUCUGGUUGAGAGUUUAUCACGAGUGAUGCGAGAAUAAUUUAAUAACCAAGACCGGUUAAGUCAAGACUUUUCAAGACCUCGUGAUGCAAUGCAACUCUGGGUGAAGGACGGUUGAUCGGCUCCCUGGAGAAACCAGUGGAUGGCCCGGGAUGCUGGAGACGUGCCAUGACAUCUUGCAGAAAGCUUCACCCAGGCUCGAAGAGACGGACGGAUAUUUUCAAGACCGAAGGCUUACCUGCACAGCCACAAGUCAUUAUGGGCUCUGUCUUGGUUGGACAACACUGCGACUCUGGACAGGCGGUGCCAGCAGAUGUAGAAGAACGGUAGGAUUUGGAUGGGCACCGUCAGAGAUUCAGAGGGUCCCGUUGAAAGACCAUGUUUUGAUCAUCCGGUCUUCAAACACCCUGAAGUGCGAGGACAUACACGGAGGCGAUCAAAUCUUGUGGGGAACGUGUGCAAAACUCUGCAGAGUACUCAAACCUAAUCGAUUAGCGGUGUCCACGGUCAUGGACAACUUGAGCCAAAGGAACUGAAGUUAUCUGGAAUUCUCAACACCAUUAUAUAUAUUUGAUGUGGGUAAUAUUGAUAACUUGGGUAUGAGAACUGAUUGGCAGAACCAUCUCAUUAACAACCAAUAGUGUAGUAAUAUUUUGCUUUUAGCCCCUCUUGUUGUAGGAGAAAAUUUUCUUUACGCUAAAACUUACAAGACCACCUACCAUAUAUGCAUAUAGUAUAGAUGAUAUUUUACCACCUCUCAUAUGUGACUUGCCGGCAUAUUCAAUAUGCUGACCUACACGGCUGCAACGUCUUAUAUUGCAGAUAUUUUUCUUCGACGAGUAAGAGUACGAUUCAGGGUUACGGUCUACACUCAACUUGCCGUUGGUGUUUAUUGGGACUCCACUCCCUUGACUGCUUUCGCUGAGAUAUUUAAGGUAUAUAUCAGCUUUACGCUAUUUCCAUGUGUGUGCCAGCAUACUGAUCCAGGGAUGGCACAGAUACACAGAGGCUUGACUCUCUUUGAGUCGGGUCGCUACAGUACAUUACGGGUGAUUCCCGAAACACUUCCGGCGAUCAAAUCUCCACUUCCUAUAUAUGAAUUUUUACCUCCGAAUCAUUCCGGAGCUCCUGAUGACGUCCGGGAUCUCAUCCGGGACUCCGAACAACCUUUGGUAACCACAUACUAUUCCCAUUACGACCCUAGCGUCAUCGAACCUUAAGUGUGUAGAUCCUGCGAGUUCGGGAACAAUGCAGACAUGACCGAGACACCUCUCCGGUCAAUAACCAACAGCGAGGUCUGGAUAUCCAUGUUUGUUCCCACAUGUUCCACGAUGAUCUCAUCGGAUGAACCACGAUGUCGGGGAUUCAAUCAAUCCCGUAUAAAAUUCCCUUUGUCUAUCACUAUGAUACUUGCCCAAGAUUUGAUCGUCGGUAUCCCUAUACCUUGUUCAAUCUCGUUACCGGCAAGUCUCUUUACUCAUUCCGUUAUACAUCACCCCGUGGGUAACUCCUUAGUCACAUUGAGAUCAUUAUGAUGAUGGAUUGCCGAGUGGGCCCAGAGAUACCUCUCCGUCAAACGGAGUGACAAAUCAUAGUCUCGAUUCGUACCAAUCCAACAUAUACUUUCGGAGAUACCUGCAGUGCACCUUUAUAAUCACCCAGUUACGUUGUGUUGUUUGGUACACCCAAAGCACUCCUACGGUAUCCGGGAGUUGCACAACCUCAUGGUCUAAGGAAAUGAUACUGACAUUAGAAAAGCUUUAGCACACGAACAACAUGAUCUAGUGCUAUGCUUAGGAUUUGGUCUUGUCCGUCACAUCAUUCUCCUAAUGAUGUGAUCCCGUUAUCAGUGACAUCCAAUGUCCAUGAUCAGGAAACCAUGACCAUCUAUUGAUCAACGAGCUAGCCAACUAGAGGCUCACUAGGGACACAUUGUGAUCUAUAUAUUCACACUUGUUACGGUUUUCGGUUAAUAUAAUUAUAGCAUUAAUAAUAGAAAAUUAUCAUGAACUAGGAAAUAUAAUAAUAACCACUUUAUUAUUGCCUCUAGGGCGUAUUUCCAAUAGUCUCCCACUUGCACUAGAGUCAAUAAUCUAGUUACAUUUUGAUGAAUCGAACACUGAUCUGCGCAAUCUCUGGCGUUAACUAGACGAAUGCUUAUAACAACAAACCUUCUCCUGCAACGGCACCAGAAGAAUGCUGAUAGCACUCCCCGGCAAUGAAACUGGAAGAAUGUUGUUGAUGGCCCACCAGCGCGUGGGUUCGCAGCAGUUUUCGAGGGUAGAGUAUUCGACCCAAAUUUGUAGAUCGCCUGAAGGAGGUGAGAGAAUAUUCUCGAGUAUGAGCUACAGAAUUUGUCGGAUUCAACAACAAAGUAAUAUGAUAACAACGGUGUCAGAAACGAUUUGUUGACGGCAGACUAUUCCUAACAAUUGUAUCAAUGGCACCUUCGUUGCCGCGUCGAUGGAAGUUGUCAAUUCCCGUCAACGGUAGGUGAACCAACAGUGUAGCAGGUAGCAGCAGUGUAACGAGCAAUAGCAAUGGCAAGGAACAUCAGUAGUGACAGCAGUAGCAAGUAGCAACAGUAGUAGCAGCAGAGCAAGACAAGUAACAGCAGUAGCAACAGUAGUAGCAGCAGAGCAAGACAAGUAACAGCAGUAGGACAAACUCGUAGGCAAUGGGUCGGUGAUUUGUUUGGAUGAUAUUCAUCAUGCAACAACUAUAACACGAAGAGAUAUAUGGCUAGCUCCCGUUCGUCAAUGUGAUGUAGGCAUGCAUUCCGUGUGUCGUCAUACGUGCUUAGGGAAAAGAACUUGCAUGACAUCUAUUGUCCAUCCCUCCCGUGGCAGCGGGGUCCAAAAGGAAACUACGGGAUAUUAAGGUUCUCCUUUUAAUAAAGAACCGGACCAACGCAUUAGCACUUGGUGAACACAUGAACUCCUAAAACUAUGAUCAUCACCGGGAGUGGUUCCGGUUAUUGUCACUCCGGGGUUGCCGGAUCAUAACACAUAGUAGGUAACUACAACUUGCAAGAUCAGAUCUAAAACACACAUAUAUUGGUGACAACAAAAUUAUUUCAGAUCUGAAAUCAUGGCACUCGGGCCCUAGUGACAAGCAUUAAGCAUGGCAAAGUAGUAGCAACAUCAAAUCUUAGAACAUAGUGGAUACUAGGUAUCAAUCCCCAUCAAAACUAACUUGAUUACAUGAUAGAUCUCAUCCUACUCAUCACCGCCCAGCGAGCCUACGAAUAGAUUACUCACGAACGACGAAGAGCUUCAUGGAAUUGGUUAGGGGAGAAGGUUGAUGAUGACGAUGGCGACGAUUUCCCCUCUCCGAAGCCCAAGACGGACUCCAGAUCUGCCCUCCAGAUGAAGAACAGGUGUUGGCGGCGCCUCCGUAUCUAAAACGCGAUGAAAACUUAUAUUUUUAUUUUUUCUGGGACGAAAGACAACUUAUAGAGCUGGAGUUGGGGGCGGCAGGUGGCUGUGGGCCCCACAAGCCUGCCCACCGCCACCAGGGGGGAUGGUGGCGGAGCAGGGGCUUGUGGCCCACUAGCUCACCCUCUGAGGUGGAACUUGGCGGAGAUAUUUUUGAUAUUUUCCAAAACUGCUCCCCGUAAAUUUGCAGGAUGUUUGGAGAACUUUGAUUUCUGCACAAAAAUAACACCAAUGCAAUUCUGCUGAAAACAGCGUCAGUCCAGGUUAGUUCCAUUCAAAUCAUGCAUAUUAUAGUCAAAAACAAGGGCAAAAGAGUUUGGAAAAGUAGAUACGUUGGAGACGUAUCAACUCCCCCAAGCUUAAAACCUUGCUUGUCCUCAAGCAACUCAGUUGACAAACUGAGAGAGAAAGAAUAACUUUGACAAACUCUGUUUGAUCUUGUUGUUGCAACUAUGUCUAACUCAUAACCAGAAUUUCAGCAAGAUCACAAGUUAACCACAUAAGCAAAUGACACAAAGGUCUCACGGUAAACUAAUAUCAAUGGCAUAAUCAUCUAACGAGCAAAUAAUAAUGAGUUUCAAAUACCAACACUUCAAUCAAAACAAGCAUGAAGCAAUAUGAAUAUGUGGUAUCUCGUUAGCUGUUUCUGAGACCGCAAAACAUAAAUGCAGAGCACUUUCAAAGAUCAAGGGCUGACUAAACAUUGUAAUUAAUAGCAACGAAGAUCCAGUCAUAGUCAUACUCAAUAUCAAUCAAAAGCAAAGCAUAAAAAAGACAGAGGUGCUCUCUAAUUGGUGCUUAUAUAAGAGGAGGAUGACUCAGCAGGAAAAUAAAUAGACAGGCCCUUCACAGAGGGAAGCAUUGAUUUGCAGAGGUGCCAGAGCUCAAGCUUUGAAAACAGAGAUAAUAAUUUUGGGUGGCAUGCUUUCAUUGUCAACGCAAUGACUAAGAGUUCUCAAUAUCUUCCAUGCUACUCAUGCUAUAGGCGGGUCCCAAACAAAAAAGUAAAUUUUUAACUCCCCCACCACCAAUCAAUCACACUCCACGGCUAGCCGAAUCCUCGGGUACCGUCCAUACUAACAUCAAUCCGGGGGGAGUCUUGUUUUACAGUUAUGUUUUUGAUUUAAGCAUGGAACUAGGCAUCCCAAAUACCGGCCCCUUUCUCGUGAAGGACCGUGAAUAAACACAUAUCGAGGAUAACACUCCUAGCAUGGAAGAUACCAAUAGCCCUCUGUCACCACAUGAGCAGUUCGGGCAUGCACAACAGAUUUAUUUCUUGAAGGUUUAGAGAAUGGCACAUGCAAAUUUACUUGGAACGGCAGGUAGAUACCGCAAAUAGGUAGGUAUGGUGGACUCUCAUGGAAAAACUUUUGGGUUUAUGGAAGUGGAUGCACAAGCAGUAUUCCCGCUUAGUACAAGUGAAGGCUAGCAAAAGACUGGGAAGCGACCAACUAGAGAGCGACAACGGUCAUCAAGAUGCAAUGAGUUUGACUAACAUUGAAUGGAAGCAUGAACAUGAUAUAAAUCACCAUGAAUACGAACAUCAUAGAGGCUAUGUUGAUUUUGUUUCAACUACAUGCAUGAACAUGCGCCAAGUCAAGCCACUUGAAACAUUCAAAGGAGAAUACCAUCCUAUCAUACUACAUCAUAGUCAUCUCAAAAUCUAUUUUGGCAUUCAAGACAAACCAUUAUAAGCUCUCAGCUAAAUAAGCAUGGCAUCAAAAACUAUGAUCUCUAAGUUGUCAUUGUAAACAUUGUUCUCUCACAACAAAGCUAAAUCUGGGUCGACAAGCUAGUCAUAUUUACAAAAACAAAAUAGAUAGAGUUCAUACCAGCUUUUCAGUCUCAGUCACUUCAUCAUAUAUCAUCAUUGUUGCCUUUCAUAUGCACGAUCGAACGAUGAAAACGAUAAUAAGCGCAUUGGACUAAGCUGAAUCUGUAGGCAAACACAAAGGAGAAGACAAAAUAAUAUGGCUCUUUGAAAGCUAAACAGGUAAGCAUGCAAGAACCAAUAAGCAUUGUAACCAAUAUCUUCUACCUUGACACAAAGAAAAAGAAAACUAUUUACACGGGAAAGCUCCCAACAAGCAAAAGAAGAAAGAAAAAUCUUUUUGGGUUUUCUCAAAAGGACACAAAACAAGAAAACAAGAAAAAAAAAGAAACUAGCAUGGGUAAUAUAGUGGCAAAGUGUAAACACCGGCUAACAAAGUGAAAGCAUAAGCAUGAAUGUAAAGUCGGUAAGAACACGUACUCCCCCAAGCUUAGGCUUUUGGCCUAACUUGGUCUACUCUCAUGGAUGAUCCUGGCGAAACCCAAGGUCAUAAUGGGUGUUAUACGGGAGUGCUGCAUCCACUACCUGAAUAGCUGCCUCACGAAGUCGAGCAGCCGUCGCCUCCCUCUCAUACUCCUCUGCCUCUCCUAUGGUUAUGUACUAUCUUCGUUUAACCUGAAAGUCAAAGAAAGCAGGAGCAGGAAGGGUAAUAUGGAAAACACGUUGCCGGUUAAAUAUCAAGCCGUAUAGGAGGGAUCCAUGAUCUCUCUCAAGGAACUGGUAGCGUGUUAGCGCGACACGAUCAAGGUAGGCUGUACGGAGAGGAGGGUCUUCUGGACGGAUGGUUACUCCAAGAAAACUUGCUAAGCGCGUAGCAUAAACUCCACCAAAGAAAUCCCCCUCACUGGCAUUUUUAUUCAGCCUCCUUGCUAUAAUAGCUCCCAUAUUGAAGCUCCUGUCACCUGUUACUGCGCUCUUAAGGAUACUAAGGUCGGAAGCGCAUAGGUGACAAUGUGCACUCUUGCCGUUAACGCACCUACCUAUGAAGAGGGCAAGGUAGUGCAAGGCAGGGAAAUGGAUGCUUCCUAUGGUGGCUUGCGUGAUAUCUCUGGUUUCUCCAACAGUUAUACUGGAGACAAAGUCUCUGACCGAAGACUUAGGAGGAUCAUUAACACUACCUCCAUCGGGUAUCUUGCAAAUCCUAUUGAAAUCCUCCAGACCCACGGUAUAGGAUUUAUCGUACAGAUCAAAUAGUAUGGAUGAUUCAUGGCCAACCAAAAAUUUAAAUAUACGCACAAAAGAGGCAGUGAGCAUAGCAUACUGUUCACAUUUAUUUGAGAGGAAUUCUUCUAACCCGGCAUUGCAGACAAGUGCAUCAAACUCAUCCUUGAAGCCUGCUUCGAUCAUGAACUCAUCGGAAGGCCAUUCACAUGGUUGCACCGGUGCGUCCCUUAGUUGAAAAGGUUCGGGCUCCCGAAAGGAGAGACGAGGACCCUUCUUACUUGAGGAACCACCAUGAAACUUCCUCCUGAACAUAAUUUCCUUUUGCUGAAAUUUUUGAAGUUCAAGAGAAAAGUGAAUGAGGACCAACCAUACGUUGUAGCAACUACUCCUACUAGUGCCUAGAGACCGUAUCACGCGCUAAAACUACUUGGAACCAUCUAAAAUCAACAUUUGUAGCUCAAGAACAGGGUCACCAAGGUAGCAAUAAUUCGCGAAGGAUAAAGCACUAGAGCAAAAACUAAUUGGACCAAUGGAGGAGUCACUUACCAAGGAGCAGUUUCCCCAAAACAGUUCAGAGAAUGGUGCUUUGAGCAAGGAGAUCGAAAAUCACCGCCAAAUGAGCAAGAACACGGGUUUGAGCUGCGAAAUAAUUUUUUCUGGAGGUGGAAGAAGAGGCUGGGAGCUGGAAUGAGUGGAGGGAGUGCCUGUGGGCCCCACAAGCUUGCACCUCGCCACCAGGGGGGUAGGUGGCGGUGGGGGGGCUUGUGGCCCACUGGUCAGGCCCCCUGACCAGAUCUCAGGCCCAGAAAUUUUCAAAAAUUGUAGAAAAAAAUCAUACUAAAUAUUCACGACCAUCGGAGAACUUUUAUUUUCGAGGUAUUUUUCUCCGGGACGCUAAAACAGAAAACAUGAAAAGCUAAACUAAUUCUAUCAUUUUUCUUCUAAACAACAGAAAAGGAAAACUCAAAACAGAGGUAUGUGACUCUUUGAUUCAUCCGUUUCAUGGUCAUCGGAAAAAAUUCGUCAAUGGCGUUGAUCAAGUCCUUAUGACAAAACCUUCUCGAAUCGCAAGAGAGAACGGAGAAUUUUCGAAUAGCCACUAAGUCACCUCAAUGGGGAUAUGUAUCUCCCCAACAAGCAAAUCAUACUUCAUCUUGACACGAGCAAUAGGGCAUUCAAAGCUCCCAAUGAGAAUCGAUGAAGUCUUUUCGAUAGCAUUGAUGCAAUGUACUGGAUAUCGUUUCUUCGGAAAGUGCACGGUGUGCUCAUUACCGUUGACAUGGAAAGUGACAUUGCCUUUGUUGCAAUCUAUAACAGCCCCUGCAGUGUUUAGAAAGGGUCUUCCGAGGAUGAUAGCCAUGGCAUCGUCCUCGGGAAUAUCCAAGAUAACAACGUGUGUUAAGAUAGUGGUGUUAGCAACCACAAUAGGCACAUCCUCGCAAACGCCGAUAGGGAAAGCAGUUGAUUUGUCUGCCAUUUGCAUAGAAAUUUCAGUGGGUGUCAACUUAUCCAACUCAAGUCUACGAUAAAGAGAAAGCGACAUAACACUAACACCAGCUCCAAGGUCACAUAAGGCAGUUCUUACGUAGUUUCCUUUAAUGGAGCAAGGUAUAGUGGGCACUCCGGGAUCACCAAGUUUCUUAGGAGUUCCACCCUUGAAAGUGUAAUUGGCAAGCAUGGUGGAGAUCUCAAGAUCUGGUAUCUUCCAUUUAUUAGUCACGAUAUCUUUCAUGUACUUGGCAUACGGAGACAUCUUGAGCAUAUCAGUUCACCGCAUCUGCAGAAAGACGGGUCUUAUCAUCUCAACGAAGCGCUCAAAAUUCUCAUCAUCCUUUUUCUUAGAUGGCUUAGGAGGAAAGGGCAUAGGUAUCUGAACCCAUGGCUCUCUUUCUUUACCAUGCUUCCUAGCAGUAAAGUCAUUCUUGUCGUUUCUCUUAGGUUGUGGAUUAUCAGGAUUAACCGUACAAUCAAUCUCCACAUCCUCGUCAUGGCUAGGUUGAGCAUUAUUACGAACAUCACUGUCCAUAUUGUCACUAGGUUCAUGUUCAUCACCUGAUUGUGUUUCUGCAUCAUACGCAGAAAUAUCAUUAGGUUCUUCAGGUGUGACAAUAUUUGGCGAACUCGCAUGCAGGUCUCUAUCAUCCUUCUUCUUCUCCUUAGGAUGACUGGGUGUAUCAGCAUUGAUUCCUUGAGAAUCUUGAUCAAUUCUCUUAGGAUGACCUUCAGGAUACAAAGGUUCCUCAGUCAUUUUGCCUCCUCUAGUAAUGACUUUGACAGAGUUGUCAUUUAAUUCAUUGAGCAAGUCAUUCUGAGCUUUAAGUACUUGUUCUACCUGAGUAGUAAUCAUAGAGGCAUGUUUGCUCAGAAGCUUCAGAGCAUUGACAUUUCUGUGUACACAAGCACUUAAAUGGCUAAGCAUACGAGCACUUUGUUCCAAAUGUCUGGUAACAUAAUCAUUGAAACUCUGUUGUUUGGUAACAAAGUUGUCAAAUUCAUCAAAGCAUAGGCUAGCAGGUUUAUCAAAAGGAAUAUCACUCUCAUCAAACCUACGCAGAGAAUUCACUUCUACUACCAGUAUCGGGUUAUCGAGACCAUGGAUCUCUUCGAUAGGUGGUAGAUUUUUGACAUCUUCAGCUCUAAUGCCUUUCUCUUGCAUAGAUUUCUUGGCUUCUUGCAUAUCUUCGGGACUGAGGAAUAUAAUACCUCUUUUCUUAGGAGUUGGCUUAGGAGGUGGUUCGGGAAUAGUCCAAUCAUUAUCGUUGAUCAAGAGGUUAUUCAGUAGAGUCUCAGCUUGUUCUACAGUUCGUUCCCUAAAAACACAACCGGCACAACUAUCUAGGUAGUCUCUAGAGGCAUCGGUAAGUCCGUUAUAGAGGAUAUCAAGUAUCUCAUUCUUCUUAAGAGGGUGAUCAGGCAAAGCAUUCUGUAGCUGGACGAGCCUCCCCCAAGCUUGUGGAAGACUCUCUUCUUGGAGUUGAGCAAAGUUGUAUAUUUCCUGCAAGGCAGCUUGCUUCUUAUGGGCAGGGAAAUAUUUCUCACAGAAGUAAUAGACCAUCUAUUGGGGACUACGCACACAUCCAGGAGCAAGAGAGGUGAACCAGGCUUUAGCAUCAUCCUUUAGAGAGAAAGGAAACAACUUAAGGAUAUAGUAGUGGCGGAUCUUCUCCUCAUUAGUGAAGAGGUUGGCUAUUUCGUAUAGUUUGGCAAGGUGUGCUAUGACCGUCUCAGACUCAUAACUGUGAAAAGGAUCAGAUUCGACUAGAGAGAUUAUCUCAGGGUCGACAGAGAAUUCAUAAUCCUUAUCGGUGACAAAGAUAGGCGAAGUGGCAAACUUCGGGUCAUUUUUCAUCCUAGCUUCACGAGAUUUUUCCUUCCACUUGAGAAUUAAUUUCUCAGCGUCAUACGCAUCCUUACACGCAAGAAAAUCCUCAGCUAUCUCUCCCUCCAUAACGUAACCCUCAGGUAUAUCAGGCAAUUCAUAUCUAGGAGACCUAGAUCUAGCAGGAGCAAAAGAAGGUUCUAUCUCAAUAGUAUCGGCAAUAUUAGAAGCAUCACGAGCAUUGGCGGUAACUCUAGCAAUAUGAGCAUCAAGGAACACUCCUAGUGGAACAUCAAGCAAAGGAGAUACUCUAGCAGUAUCAAGCAUAGCAUCAUCACGCAAAAUAGCAUAUCUAGCAUCAUCAGGCAGAGCAGUAUCAAGCAUAGCAUCUCUAGCAGUAUCAGGCAUAGUAUCAAGCAUAGAAUCAUCAGGCAUAGUAUCAAGCAUAGCAUCAUCAGGCAUAGUAUCAAGCAUAGCAUCUCUAGCAGUAGUAUCACAAGCAUCAUCAAGCACAGGCGACAUAUCAAGAUUUCUAGCAGGAGGUGAUUUCGCAAACUUACUCAUAACUGAAGGUGAAUCAAGUGUAGAGCUAGAUGGCAAUUCCUUACCUCCCCUCAUAGUUGGGGGCAAUACUUUGGUCUUCGGAUCCUUCAGAUUCUUCAUAGUGAUCAGCAGAUAUAAAUCCCAAGUGACUCAGAGAAUAUAGCAAUACCUCCCCGGCAACGGCGCCAGAAAAAUGCUGAUCUGCGCAAUCUGUGGCGUUAACUACACGAAUGCUUAUAACAACAAACCUUCUCCUACAACGACACCAGAAGAAUGCUGAUAGCACUCCCCGACAAUGAAACCGGAAGAAUGUUGUUGAUGGCCCACCAGCGCGUGGGUUCGCAGCAGUUUUCGAGGGUAGAGUAUUCGACCCAAAUUUGUAGAUCGCCUGAAGGAGAUGAGAGAAUACUCUCGAGUAUUAGCAGCUGAAUUUGUCGGAUUCAACCACACCUGAAAGAUUAGUAUCUGCAAGCACAGUAGUAACAACAAAGUAAUAUGAUAACAACGGUGUCAGAAACGAUCUGUUGACGACAGACUAUUCCUAACAAUUGUAUCAAUGGCGCCUUCGUUGCCGCGUCGACGGAAGUUGUCAAUUCCCGUCAACAGUAGGUGAACCAACAGUGUAGCAGGUAGCAGCAGUGUAACGAGCAAUAGCAAUGGCAAGGAACAACAGUAGUGACAGCAGUAGCAAGUAGCAACAGUAGUAGCAGCAGAGCAAGACAAGUAACAGCAGUAGCAACAGUAGUAGCAGCAGAGCAAGACAACUAACAAGAGUAGGACAAACUCGUAGGCAAUGGGUCGGUGAUUUGUUUGGAUGAUAUUCAUCAUGCAACAGCUAUAACACGGAGAGAUAUAUGGCUAGCUCCCGUUCGUCAAUGUGAUGUAGGCAUGCAUUCCGUGUGUUGUCAUACGUGCUUAGGGAAAAGAACUUGCAUGGCAUCUAUUGUCCAUCCCUCCCGUGGCAGUGUUGGGGAACGUCGCAUGGGUAACAAAAAUUUUCCUACGCGCACGAAGACCUAUCAUGGUGAUGUCCAUCUACGAGAGGGGAUGAGUGAUCUAUGUACCCUUGUAGACCGUACAACAGAAGCGUUAGUGAAUGCGGUUGAUGUAGUGGAACGUCCUCACGUCCCUCGAUCCGCCCCGCGAACUAUCCCGCGAUCAGUCCCACGAUCUAGUGCCGAACGGACGACACCUCCGCGUUCAGCACACGUACAGCUCGACGAUGAUCUCGGCCUCCUUGAUCCAGCAAGAGAGACGGAGAGGUAGAAGAGUUCUCCGGCAGCGUGACGGCGCUCCGGAGGUUGGUGAUGAUCUCGUCUCAGCAGGGCUCCGCCCGAGCUCCGCAGAAACGCGAUCUAGAGGAAAAACCGUGGAGGUAUGUGGUCGGGCUGCCGUGGAAAAGUCGUCUCAAAUCAGCCCUAAAACCUCCGUAUAUAUAGGUGGGAGAGGGGGGACCUUGCCUUGGGGCUCAAGAAGCCCCAAGGGGGUCGGCCGAGCCAAAGGGGGGAAGGACUCCCCCCAAACCGAGUCCUACUUGGUUUGGUGGGUGGAGUCCUUCUUUCCUUUCCCACCUCCUCCUUUUUUUUUCUUUUCUCUUUGAUUUUUCUUCCAAUGCGCAUAGGGCCCUUUUGGGCUGUCCCACCAGCCCACUAAGGGCUGGUGCGCCACCCUCAAGGCCUAUGGGCUUCCCCGGGGUGGGUUGCCCCCCCGGUGAACUCCCGGAACUCAUUCGUCAUUCCCGGUACAUUCCCGGUAACUCCGAAAACCUUCCGGUAAUCAAAUGAGGUCAUCCUAUAUAUCAAUCUUCGUUUACGGACCAUUCCGAAACCCUCGUGACGUCCGUGAUCUCAUCAUGGACUCCGAACAACAUUCGGUAACCAACCAUAUAACUCAAAUACGCAUAAAACAACGUCAAACCUUAAGUGUGCAGACCCUGCGGGUUCGAGAACUAUGUAGACAUGACCCGAGAGACUCCUCGGUCAAUAUCCAAUAGCGGGACCUGGAUGCCCAUAUUGGAUCCUACAUAUUCUACGAAGAUCUUAUCGUUUGAACCUUAGUGCCAAGGAUUCAUAUAAUCCCGUAUGUCAUUCCCUUUGUCCUUCGGUAUGUUACUUGCCCGAGAUUCGAUUGUCAGUAUCUGCAUACCUAUUUCAAUCUCGUUUACCGGCAAGUCUCUUUACUCGUUCCAUAAUACAAGAUCCCGCAACUUACACUAAGUUACAUUGCUUGCAAGGCUUGUGUGUGAUGUUGUAUUACCGAGUGGGCCCCGAGGUACCUCUCCGUCACACGGAGUGACAAAUCCCAGUCUUGAUCCAUACUAAGUCAACGAACACCUUUGGAGAUACCUGUAGAGCAUCUUUAUAGUCUCCCAGUUACGUUGCGACGUUUGAUACACACAAAGUAUUCCUCCGGUGUUAGUGAGUUAUAUGAUCUCAUGGUCAUAGGAACAAAUACUUGACACACAGAAAACAGUAGCAACAAAAUGACACGAUCAACAUGCUACGUCUAUUAGUUUGGGUCUAGUCCAUCACGUGAUUCUCCUAAUGACGUGAUCCAGUUAUCAAGCAACAACACCUUGUUCAUAAUCAGAAGACACUGACUAUCUUUGAUCAACUGGCUAGAUAACUAGAGGCUUGCUAGGGAGUGUUUUGUCUAUGUAUCCACACAUGUAAAUGAGUCUUCAUUCAAUACAAUUAUAGCAUGGAUAAUAAACGAUUAUCUUGAUACAGGAAUUAUAAUAAUAACUAUAUUUAUUAUUGCCUCUAGGGCAUAAUUCCAACAGGCAGCGGGGUCCAAAAUGAAACUACGGGAUAUUAAGGUUCUCCUUUUAAUAAAGAACCGGACCAAGGCAUUAGCACUUGGUGAACACAUGAACUCCUCAAACUAUGAUCAUCACCGGGAGUGGUUCCGGUUAUUGUCACUCCAGGGUUGCCGGAUCAUAACACAUAGUAGGUAACUACAACUUGCAAGAUCGGAUCUAAAACGCACAUAUGUUGGUGACAACAUAAUAAUUUCAGAUCUGAAAUCAUGGCACUCGGGCCCUAGUGACAAGCAUUAAGCAUGGCAAAGUAGUAGCAACAUCAAAUCUCAGAAUAUAGUGGAUACUAGGGAUCGAUCCCCAUCAAAACUAACUUGAUUACAUGAUAGAUCUCAUCCUACUCAUCACCGCCCAGCGAGCCUACGAAUAGAUUACUCACGAACGACGAAGAGCUUCAUGGAAUUGGAGAGGGAAGAAGGUUGAUGAUGACGAUGGCGACAAUUUCCCCUCUCCGGAGCCCAAGACGGACUCCAGAUCUGCCGUCCAGAUGAAGAACAGGUGGUGGCGGCGCCUCCGUAUCAAAAACGCGACGAAAACUUCUCUUUUUAUUUAUUUUGGGACGAAAGACAACUUAUAGAGCUGGAGUUGGGGGCGGCAGGUGCCUGUGGGCCCCACAAGCCUGCCCACCGCCACCAGGGGGUGGUGGCGGAGCAGGGGCUUGUGGCCCACUGGCCCACCCCCUGAGGUGGAACUUGGCACAUAUAUUUUUGAUAUUUUCCAAAACUGCUCCCCGUAAAUUUUGAGGACGUUUGGAGAACUUUGAUUUUUGCACAAAAAUAACACCAAGGCAAUUCUGCUGAAAACAACGUUAGUCCAGGUUAGUUCCAUUCAAAUCAUGAAAAUUAUAGUCCAAAACAAGGGCAAAAGAGUUUGGAAAAGUAGAUACGUUGGAGACGUAUCAAACACCCAUAGAGUACUGGUGCUGAUCAUGUUUCGCUCGUGGAAGAGGUUUAGUCAACUGAUCUGCGACAUUCAGAUCUGUAUGUACUUUACAAAUAUCUAUAUCUCCAUCCUGGAUGUAUCCACGAAUGGAGUUGAAGCGGCGCUUGAUGUGCUUUGUCUUCUUGUGAAACCUGGGCUCCUUGGCAAUGACAAUAGCACUAGUGUUGUCACAAAAGAGAGUCAUCGGGCCUGAUGCACUGGAAAUCACUCCUAGGUCGGUGAUGAACUCCUUCAUCCAAACUCCUUCCUGUGGUGCUUCCGAAGCAGCUAUGUACUCCGCUUCACAUGUAGAUGCCGCCAUGACGCUUUGCUUGCAGAUGCACGAGUUGACCGCCCCACCGUUCAAUAUAUACACGUAUCCGGUUUGUGACUUGGAGUCAUCCGGAUCUGUGUCGAAGCUAGCAUCGCCGUAACCCUUUAUGACGAGCUCUUCGGCACCUCCAUAAACGAGAAACAUAUCUUUAGUCCUUUUCAGGUACUUAAGGAUAUUCUUGACCGCUGUCCAGUGAUCCACUCCUGGAUCACUUUGUUACCUCCCUACCAAACUUAUGGCAAGGUUCACAUCAGGUCUGGUACACAACAUGUCAUACAUAAUAGAGCCUAUGACUGAAGCAUAGGGGACGGUACUCAUCUUUUCUUUAUCUUCUGCUGUGGUCGGUUUUGAGUCAUACUCAACCUCACACUUUGUAAUACAGGCAAGAACCCCUUCUUAGCCUUAUCCAUAUUGAACUUCUUCAAUAUCUUGUCAAGGUAUGUGGUCUGUGAAAGACCUAUGAGGCGUCUUGAUCUAUUUCUAUAGAUCUUGAUGCCUAAUAUGUAAGCAGCUUCUCUAAGGUCCUUCAUUGAAAAACUCUUAUUCAAAUAGGUCUUUAUGCUUUCCAAAAGUUCAAUAUCAUUUCCCAUCAACAAUAUGUCAUCCACAUAUAAUAUGAGAAAUGCUAUAGAGCUCCCACUCACUUUCUUGUAAAUACAGGCUUCUUCAUAAGUCUGUACAAACCCAAACGCUUUGAUCACCUCAUCAAAGCAAAUGUUCCAACUCCGAGAUGCUUGCAACAGCCCAUAGAUGGAGCGCUGGAGCUUGCAUACCUUGUCAUAUACAAUUCUUCCUUAAGAAAGACGUUCAGGAAUGCCGUUUUGACGUUCAUUUGCGACAUUUUUUAAUCAUAAAAUGCGGCAACUGCUAACAUGAUUCGGGCCGACUUCAACAUUGCUACGGGUGAGAAGGUCUCAUCUUAGUCAAUCCCUUGAACUUUUUGGUAACCCUUAGCGACAAGUCGAGCCUUGUAGAUGGUCACAUUACCAUUUGCGUCAGUCUUCUUCUUAAAGAUUCAUUUAUUUUCUAUGGCUCGCAAAUCAUCGGGCAAGUCACCCAUAGUCCAUACUUUGUUCUCAUACAUGGAUCCUAUCUCGGAUUUCAGGGCUUCAAGCCAUUUGUUGGAAUCCGGGCCCGCCAUCGCUUCUUCAUAGUUCGAAGGUUCACUGUUGUCCAACAACACGAUUUCCAUGACAAGAUUGUCGUACCACUCUGGUACGGAAUGUGUCCUUGUGGACCUUCGAGGUUCAGUAGGAACUUGAUUCGAAGAUUCAUGAUCAUCAUCAUUAACUUCUUCUCUAGCCGGUGCACGCACCUCAAAAACAUUUUCUUGUGCUGCGCUACUCACCGGUUCGGGAGGAGGUAUAAUUACCUCAUAAACUUCUACUUUCCUCCCACUUACUUCUUUCGAGAGAAACUCUUUCUCUAUAAAGGAUUCGUUUUUUGGCAACAAAUAGUUUGCCUUCGGAUCUACGAUAGAAGCUAUACCCAAUAGUUUCCUUAGGGUAUCCUAUGAAGACGCAUUUUAUUGCUUUGGGUUCGAGCUUCUCAAGUUGAAUUUUCUUCACAUAAGCAUCGCAGCCCCAAACUUUCAGAAACGACAGCUUAGGUUUCUUGCCAAACCAUAAUUCAUACGGUGUCGUCUCAACGGAUUUAGGCGGUGUCCUAUUUAAAGUGAAUGCGGCAGUUUCCAAUGCAUAUCACCAAAAUGAUAGUGGUAAAUCAGUAAGAGACAUCAUAGAUCGCACCAUAUCCAAUAAAGUGCGAUUAUGAUGUUCAGACACACCGUUACGCUGCGGUGUGCCAGGCAGCGUGUCACAUCCCUAACCCUUAAGCAAGUUAGCCUUGUGCUCAUGUAUUCUUUGCAUUUGCAUCUAAGAAUUUUCAACAAGAACAAGAAAGUGGCAAAAGAAAAACUCAAAACCCUAGCCACUACUUGAAAUAAAGAAAAUCUCAAAUUAGUUAAAAUCAAUGAACCCAAAAUGGCCUCAAGAAAUGUUCAAACUUUCUGAUAAAUCAUGAAAGUAAAUGAGCAUUGGAGAAAACUAUUUUCUUGACACUUUAAGCAUUUUAAAUUAAUGCAAAAGCCACUGGUUUCAAACUUUAAAUUUGAAAUCAGAAACUAUAAAUUCUCAAAAAUGUUGAAAACUUUGGAAAUGGUUGGGAAUAUUAUAACAAAUAUUCAGGUGUGUUUAAAAUAAUUUUUACCACCCUUUUGGAGCUGAAAUAAAUAGCAAAUCAAUGUCAGAAAUUAAAACAGAAAUAAAACAGAAGAAAAUGGAAAAGAGCUUACCUGUCGCCUAGCCUGGCCCGGCCCAUCCCAGCUCCUGUCGUCUCCCUCGCGCCAGUAGGAGCAGGAGGUGGCCGCCGCCUCCUCCGGCGCGGACACACACCUGUGCGCCUGCCUGGCCGCCGCCUUGCGCUGGCAAGGCCAGGGAUAAGCUCCCCGAGGUCUCACCUAUCCAUUCCCAGCGUCGGCUCUCUCCCUCCUCCCGGAUCCCUUCCUCCUUCCUGCUGCCGCCAUUGGAGCCGAGCAAAGCUCGAGCUGCCCGUGCCCCUAGCCUUAGCCUCCUCUUGCUGAGCACGCCGUUAGCUUCGCCUCGUCGCGCCGGUCCUCUCUGCAGAAGCCGAAGCUUCCCCGAGCUCUGCAUCGCCCCCAACGCCAUCGUCUUCCACCUCCGGCCGCCGGACCUCUCCCGUCGAUUCGCUCCCUCCGGCGCACCCCCGAGCCCCUCAGCAGCACCAUCGGAACCGCCGUGAGCUCGUCAUCGUUUCCCCUCUCGCCCCACGCUCUUCCGUGCAUCGUAGCCCCGUUCCCCACCAAGGCCGAGAGCUCCUCGCCGCCGGUCAUGUCAUCGCUGUCGCUGUGGUGUCUGAUCCACGCGCUCGAGCUAGGGAUCGAGCUCCUGGAGCCUCCAGGAGUGUGAUGAGCCCUCCAGCUGCCCUCCUCGUGCCCUAGAGCCAUCUCUCUUAGAAGGCCAAGCUUCGGCCGCCGCUUCGGCUCGUCGCCGGCGCCCCUCCCGGCGACCCUAGCCUCCCCUGAUGCCCCUGCCAGAUCGGCCACUUCGCCAGCGUUCCGUAGCUGCAAACCGCGUUCGAAUUGGUGCUGUCCAGCGCCGUUUAGGUCGCCUCCGGCGAGCCCUCCGCCGCGGGCUUGGUCGCCGGUGACCACCCUCCGGUGGGGGCCGACGUGGCAAAGCUAAUCCAGCAGAUUAGGAGCUUAAUCUCUCGCUGACAGUGGGCCCAAGGCCAAGUCAACUCAGUUUAGGGGCUGGUCAGCGCGGGAUUAGUCCCAGAGAGGCUGACCAGUGGGCCCCCCCUGUCAGGUUUGACCUGAACAGGUCGGCUGACCUGCUGACGUCAGUCUGAUGCAAUAAAGAGAAUUAUCAGUAUAGAAAUAAUUCCAGGAAAUUGCUAAAACUUGUAAAAAUCAUAGAAAUUAAUCUGUAACUCCAAUGAAAAUAAUUUAUAUAUGAAAAAGUAUCACAAAAAUUCAAGGAUUCUGAUUAUGCUAUUUUCAACCAUGUUUGAAAAAGUUACAGAACCCUAACAUGUAUAAUAAGGAAUAAUUCAAUUCUUAUAAUUACUUUAUAAAUGAAAUUUGGAAAAUAUUCAAAUUUCAAUAUGAAUGCCAUGAUCACACACUGUCCUAAUUACAAAUCAGUACAUUAACAUGACAUUUCAUGCAUGCUAACAUCAAGUUGAUCUGAGCAUCAGGUCGAGUCAAUUAAACCGGUAUUCGAGAAUACCCCGUUUGAAUUGCUAUUCAAAUGUGAUUCAAAUCAACUCUAAACCUAAUACAUGUUGAAAAUAAUAACUUAUCACUUUGCAUUCUCAUGCCAUGCUGAUGCAUCAUUUUGAUUGCAUAUGAUUGUUAUUGAAUGUUACCAUUCUUUUCGGUAGGCUCCGCACCCCCGGAUUCCACCGAAUAUCCGUCUGACGGAUAUCGUUCCUCCUCUGAGCAACAAGGCAAGCAACCCUUUUGAUCAUCCCGAUAAAUCCCAUGUUCUUGCUCCUGCACCUAUUUAUUGCAUUAGGAUCAAAUGCUUCAACUGCUUUUGCCACGUUAGUUGAACCCACUUCCUUUGCAUGACCUAACCUUGUCACAGUAAAUAGCCGAACCUUGCAACCUAGCAUACCUGAUAGUUGCUUGAGCUAUGAUGUGCCUUAUCCUGCUAUGCAUGCUAUGCUUAGAGUUGUGUAUGGUCUGUCAUCUGGGAGAUGAACAGAAUUGUGAGAAUGUGUUCGGUGAGCAAAGGUUGUGUGUUGAACUUGAUUUGGUAAAGGUACCGGUGAAAGGCUGUGUAGGUGUACAUGGCGGGUUGUUUCAUUGGAACCGUCCUUAGGAACUGAGUUCCGUGUAUGUAAUCCAAGACUAGAUACUACCACAUGUUGGGCCCUGAAAUAUGACCCCGCUCGGCCUAUUAAUCGCUUAGUACUCGGUCCAGGAGUUGCAAGUAGUUUCUGGUGUUUAUAGUAAUGCUGGAGGCCGUGCAUGGUGCUGACCUGAGAGGUGGACCGUGAUGCGGUAGGCAGUGGCACGGUGUACCAAGUGGCACCCGGAUGGUGGGCUUGGGAACCCUGCGCACAUCGUUUGAGGCCGUGGCGGAAACCUCGGCCGGACUUCCGUACGGGUUACUCUCAGAUAGGCGAUAAACCUGGACUAGGUACUAGUGUGGUUAACGGUCGUGGCCGACUCCCUCGCUGGGCUUCCGCUUGAAGGUUGCUGAGGUGCAUGACGUGCACAUGGCGAUAAGUGGCGAGAGCGUGUGUGACGAAGUACACCCCUGCAGGGUUAUGAUCUAUUCGAAUAGCCACGUCCGCGGAUAUGGACUACUUGGAGACAUAUGUUGUUCAUAGAUAACUUCAAUGGCUACUCAUAAAAUUGCCAAGAUAAGCGUGAGUGUCGUGGACGGCAUUUCCGUAUGAAGACGGAAUGAUUCCACGAUAGUGUAUUGUUGUGGUGUUAGUGGACUCGUGUGCGAGAAAUCAAGUUGUCAAAAUUAUUUAAAAAUGCAAAUUGUCUAGCCACAAGUCAAAUGCUGGCUUUCCGCAUGAAACCCCACAAUACCUUUUGAUACCUUGCAUGAGUAGUUAGUUAUCCUAAAGUCUUGCUGAGUAACUUCGUACUCAUGUUUGCUUAAUAAAUGUUCCAGAGGUUGCUAAUGACCCUAAUGGAGGGUUCUUCGUAGACGACGACGACGAGUAGUUGGUGUCCCAGCUACGAUCUGGCCCUACGUUGGAUCUGUAGUAUAGUCAGGCCAUGUGCCUUCUAGUUGCCCUGUCUGUACUCGGACAGUUUAAACUCUUCCGCUGGCUUGUAACUGAAUGACUGCUAUUAUGGGUCGUGAGACCCUUAAUGUGUAAUAUUAUGUGUGUGCCUCUUCCGAGCCUCUUAAAUAAAGGUUGUAUGUUUAUGGUUAUGUUGUGAUGCCAUCGAUGUAUCUAUACAUACCGGUAUGCCAUGCGUACGUGUGUCGUACUUGAUAUGUAUGGGGUUCGAUUACCUAGUCAUGAACUUUAGUAGCACUCCUUACGAGGAAAUGCCCCUUUGUGAUCCAAUGAGCCUUGGUAGUUCGCUACUGCUCCGGACACAUUGGUUGACCGGCAUGUGUCCUUCUUAGCUGCUGUGUCUGUCCUCUUUGGGGAAAUGUCACGCGAUGUAAUGGAGUCCUUGUAGCUUGCUACGACUCGUCUACAUUCGCUGAUGACCGACACCUGCUUUGUUGGGUCAUGUAUGCCUGUCCUUGUGCGGUGCUGCCACUUUGGUUUAUGACUAGACAUGUCGAUCCGGGUUCUUUGACAUUGGAUUGCUAGCGACACUAUCGCAUACGUGAGUCAAAAGACGCAAACGGUCCCGUCUAAGGUAAGGCUGCAGCCGUGGAGUUAACCGUGCGUGAGACCACAAAGGGAUGCGAUGUGUUACAGGCUGGAUUCCUAUGGCUUAGGAUCGGGGUCCCGACACAGCGUGAGUUGUGAAACGAUUCCACAUUUCCUUAAGGUCGUGCCAAACUCGUGACUCAAAUAUUCUCCUCCACGAUCAGAUUGCAAGAACUUUAUUUUCUUGUCAUGUUUAUUCUUUACCUCACUCUGAAUUUCCUUUCAAAGGUUUCAAACUUGUGCUUCAUUAAGUGGACAUACCCAUAUCUACUUAAAUCAUCAGUGAGGGUGAGAACAUAACAAUAGCCACUGCGAGCCUCAACACUCAUUGGACCGCAUACAUCAGUAUGUAUUAUUUCCAACAAGUUGGUUGCUCGCUCCAUUGUUCCGGAGAAUGGAGUCUUGGUCAUCUUGCCCAUGAGGCAUGGUUCGCAUGUGUCAAUGAUUCAAAAUCAAGUGACACCGAUAUGACCAAGGCAGCAGUGCCACAAGUAUGUGGGACUAUCAUUAUCAACCUUACAUCUUUUGGUACUCACACUAUGAAUAUGUGUAACAUCACGAUUGAGAUUCAUUAAGAAUAAACCAUUGACCAGCGGGGCAUGACCAUAAAACAUACCACUCAUAUAAAUAGAACAACCAUUAUUCUCAGAUUUAAAUGAGUAGCCAUCUUGCAUCAAGCGAGAUCUCAAUACAAUAUUCAUGCUCAAAACUAGUACUAAAUAACAAUUAUUAAGGUUUAAAACUAAUCCCGAAGGUAGAUGUAGAGGUAGCGUGCCGAUGGCGAUCACAUCGACCUUGGAACCAUUCCCGACGCGCAUCGUCACCUCGUCCUUAGCCAGCCUCCGCUUAUUCCCUAGUUCGAGUUUUGAGUUGCAAAUAUGAGCAACAACACCGGUAUCAAAUACCCAUGAGUUAUUACAAGCGCUGGUAAGGUACACAUCAAUAACAUGUAUAUCAUAUAUACCUUUGACGUUGCCGGCUGAUACGUCUCCAUCGUAUCUACUUUUCCAAACUCUUUUGCCCUUGUUUUGGACUCUAAUUUGCAUGAUUUGAAUGAAACUAAGCCGGACUGACGUUGUUUUCAGCAGAAUCGCCAUGGUGUUGUUUUUGCGCAGAAUAAAAGUUCUCGCAAUGACCUAGAAAUUUACGAGGAUUUUUUGUGGAAUAUAUAAAAAGUACCGGCGCAAGAAUUACCUGGAGGGAUGGAGCCAGGAGCCCACAAGCCCACAAGCCGCGCCUGACAAGCUUGUGAGGCCCUCGUGGCUCCGCCGCCACCAACUCCAGCUCUAUAUAGUCUCUCUCGCCCAGAAAAAAUUAAGAGAGAAGAGUUCAUCGCGUUUCACGACACGAAGCCACCGCCACCACCUGUUCUUCCUCUUGAGGGCAGAUCUGGAGUCCGUUCUGGGCUUCGGAGAGGGGAAAUCGACAUCGUCGUCAUCACCAACCAUCCUUCAUCGCCAAUUCCAUGAUGCUCUUCAUCGUUCGUGAGUAAUCUUAUAGUAGGCUUGCUGGACGGUGAUGGGUUGGAUGAGAUCUAUCAUGUAAUCGAGUUAGUUUUGAUGGAGUUUGACCCCUAGUAGCCACUAUGUUCUGAGAUCGAUGUUGCUACUACUUUGCUAUGCUUAAUGCUUGUCACUAGGGCCUGAGUGCCAUGAUUUCAGAUCUGUACCUAUUAUGUUUUCAUCAAUAUACGUGUGUUCUUGAUCCUAUCUUGCAAGUUGUAGUCACCUACCAUGUGUUAUGACUCGGCAACCCCGGAGUGAGAAUAGUCGGUACCACUCUCGGAGAUGACCAUAGUACGAGGAGUUCAUGUAUUCACUAUGUGCUAAUGUUUUGUUCUGGUUCUCUAUUAAAAGGAGACCUUAAUAUCCCUUACUUUCCAUUAGGACCCCGCUGCCACGGGAGGGAUGGACAAUAUAUGUCAUGCAAGUUCUUUUCCAUAAGCACGUAUGACUAUAUACAGAAUGCAUGCCUACAUUACAUUGAUGAACUGGAGCUAGUUAAAAAGCACCCCAUGUUAUAACUGUUACAUGAUGAAUGUCAUCCGACAUAAUUAUCCAUCACCGAUCCAAUGCCUACGAGUUUUUCCUACUGGUCCUUGCUAUGUUACUUUGCCGCUACUGUUGUCACCGUUGCUACCGUUGCCAUCACACUACUUUGCUACUGAAACUUUGCUGCAGAUACUAAGUCUUUCAGGUGUGGUUGAAUUGACAACUCAACUGCUAAUACUCGAGAAUAUUCUUUGGCUUCCCCUUGUGCUGAAUCAACAAAUUUGGGUUUAAUACUCUACCCUCGAAAACUGUUGCGAUCCCCUAUACUUGUGGGUUAUCAAGACUAUUUUCUGGCGCCGUUGCCGGGGAGGCAUAGCUCUAUUCUCUGAGUCACUUGGGAUUUACGCCUGUUGAUCACUAUGAGGAAUCCGAGAGAUCCAAAAACUAAAGUCUUGCCCUCAAUUACGAGGACAGGUAAGGAACUGCCAUCUAGCUCUCCGCUUGAUUCACCUUCAGUUAUGAGUAAGUUUGCGACACCACCACCUACUAGAAAUUCGGAUGUGUCGCCUAUGCUUGAUGAUGCUACUUCUGCUAUCCAUGAUGCUUAUGAUGAUGCUUUUCUUGAUACUGCUUUGCCACUUGGUGCAUUCCAUGAUGCACAAAUUGCUAGAGUUGCUACUGAAUGUGAUGAUACUUCUGAAACUGCUGAAAUUAUUGAAGUAGAACCUGUUGUUUCACCUGUUAGAACUAGCUCUCCUAGAUAUGAAUUGCCUGAUAUACCUGAGGGUUAUGUUAUGGAGGGAGAGGUAGCUGAGGACUUUCUUGCUUGUAAGGAUAGCUAUGAUCUUGAGAAUUUAUUGCUCAAGUGGAAAGAAAAAUCUCUCAAUGCUAGAAUGAAAUACGAUCCUAAGUUUGCUACUUCACCCAUCUUUGUUACCGAUAAGGAUUAUGAAUUUUGUGUUGAUCCUGAGUUGAUCACUUUGGUUGAAUCUGAUCCUUUCACGAGUGAGGAAAAGAUACGCCAUUAGUAUAUCCUUAAGUUGUUUUCUUUCUCGCUAAAGGGUGAUGCUAAGACUUGGUUUACUUCUUUUGCUCCUGGUUGUGUGCGUAGUCCCCAGGAUAUGAUUUACUACUUCUGUGAGAAAUAUUUUCCUGCCCAUAAGAAACAAGCUGCCUUGCAGGAUAUAUAUAACUUUGUGCAAAUUGAAGAAGAGAGUCUCCCACAAGCUUGGGGGAGGCUUGUCCAGUUACUGAAUGCUUUGCCUGAUCACCCUCUUGAGAAAAAUGAAAUACUUGAUAUCUUUUACAAUGGACUAACCGAUGCUUCUAGGGACCACCUAGAUAGUUGUGUUGGUUGUGUUUUCAGGGAAAGAACUGUGGAACAAGCUGAAAUUCUAUUGAAUAAUAUCUUGAGCAAUGAUAAUGCUUGGACUAUUCCCGAGCCACCUCCGAAGCCAACUCCGAAGAAAAGAAGUAUUCUAUUCCUCAUUCCUGAAGAUAUGCAAGAAGCCAAGAAAUCUAUGCAAGAGAAAGGUAUUAAAUCUGAAGAUGUUAAGAAUCUACCACCUGUCGAAGAAAUACAUGGUCUUGAUAACCCGACACAGGUAGUAGAGGUGAAUUCUCUUCGUAGAUUCAAUGAGAGUGACAUUCCUUAUGAUAAACCUGCUAGCUUAUGCUUAGAUGAAUUUGAUAACUUUGUUGCCAAACAACAAAGUUUCAAUGAUUAUGUUAGCAAACAAUUGGAACAAAAUGCUCGCAUGAUUAAUCACAUAAGUGUUUGUGUGGAUAGAAAUGUCAAUGAUCUUAAGCUUUUGAGUAAACAUGCCUCUAUGGUCACUACUCAAGUAGAACAAGUACUUAAGGCUCAAAAUGACUUGCUCAAUGAGUUGAAUGACAAUUCUGUUAGAGUCGUCACUAGAGGUGGUAGAAUGACUCAGGAACCUUUGUAUCCCGAGGGCCAUCCUAAGAGAAUUGAACAAGAUUCUCAAGGAGUUAGCACUGAGGCACCUAGUCAUCCUAGUAAUAGGAAGAAAAAGAAAGAUGAUAGGAACUUGCAUGCUAGCAAACCUGCUGCUCAUACACCUGAGAAUCCAAAUGAUAUCUCUAUUUCUGAUGCCGAAACACAAUCUGGUGAUGAACAUGAGCCUAGUGAUAAUAUCGAUAGUGUUGUUCAUGAUUAUGCUCAACCUAGUAAUGAUAGGGAUGUGGAGAUUGAACCUGCUGUUGAUCUUGAUAACCCACAACCUAAGAACAUGAGAUAUGAUAAGGACGACUUUAUUGCUAGGAAGCAUGGUAAAGAAAGAGAACCAUGGGUUCAGAAACCCAUGACCUUUCCUCCCAAACCAUCCAAGAAAAAGGAUGAUGAGGAUUUUGAGCGCUUUGUUGAAAUGAUUAGACCUGUCUUUCUGCAAAUGCGUUUGACACAUAUGCUCAAAAUGUCUCCUUAUGCUAAGUACAUGAAAGAUAUUGUGAGUAAUAAAAGGAAGAUACUUGAGGUUGAGAUUUCCACCAUGCUUGCUAACUACACCUUCAAGGGUGGAACUCCUAAGAAACUAGGUGAUACUGGAGUGCCCACUAUACCUUGCUCCAUUAAAGGAAAUUAUGUUAGAACUGAUUUAUACGAUCUUGGAGCUAGUGUUAGUGUUAUGCCUCUCUCUAUUUAUUGUAGACUUGAAUUGGAUAAGUUGAUACCCACUGAAAUGUCUUUGCAAAUGACCGACAAAUCAACCUCUUUUCCUAUCGGCAUUUGCGAGGAUGUGCCUGUUGUGGUUGCUAACGUUACUAUCUUAACGGACUUUGUUAUUCUGGAUAUUCCCGAGGAUGAUGCCAUGGCAGUCAUCCUUGGAAGACCCUUUUUAAACACUGCAGGGGCUAUUAUUGAUUGCAACAAAGGCAAUGUCACUUUCCAUGUUAAUGGUAAUGAGCAUACGGUGCACUUUUCAAAGAAACAAUAUCAAGUACAUUGCAUCAAUGCUAUUGAAAAAACUACAUCGAUUCUUAUUGGGAGCUUUGAAUGCCCUAUACCUACUGUCAAGAUGAAGUAUGAUUUACUUGUUGGGAUAUGCACAUCCCCUUUGAGGUAACCUAGUGAUUAUUCGAAAAUUCUCCGGUUUUAUGCGAUCCGAAAAAAGUUUGUCAAGGAGACUUGAUCAACCUCAUUGACGGAUUUCUUUUGAUGACCAUGAGAUGGAUGAAUCUAGGAGUCACAACCUUCUGUUCCAAACUUUUACUUUCUGUUGUUUAGAAGAAAAAUGAUAAAUUUAGCUUUAUUUUCUUGUUUUCUGCUUUUUGCGUCCCUUAGAAAAAUGUCCCGAAAAUAAAAGUUCUUCGAAUGCCCUGAAAUUCAAGUACGAUUUUUUCUGGAAUUUUUGAAAAAUUCUGAGAUAGAGAGCUAGUCAGGGGGAUGCACUAGUGGGCCACAAGCCCAGGAGGCGCGAGCACCCCCCCGGUCGCACCUGGCAGGCUUAUUGGCCCCACAUGGCCCCCCUCCACUUAUUCCAGCUCCCAUCUCCUUCUUCUACCUCCAGAAAAAAUCAUUCCACAGCUCAAACCCGUGUUCUUGCUCUUCUUGCUGCAUUUUUCGAUCUCCUUGUGCAAAGCCCCAUUCACCAAACUGUUUUGGGGGAAUUGUUCCUUGGUAUGUGACUCCUCCAUUGGUACAAUUAGUUUUUGCUCUAGUGCUUUAUUCGUUGCGUAUUUUUGUUGCCUUGGUGACCCUGUUCUUGAGUUUUGCAUGUCAACUUUAGUUGGUCCCAAGUAGUUUUGAUGCAUGAUAUGGCCUCUAGGCACUUGUAGGAGUAGUUGAUAUGAGUUUUGUUGAGCCUUGUUCACUGUUCUUUUAAGUCACUAAAAAUUUCAGAGAAAGAAAAAGGAAAAGAUGAGGAGGUUCCUAAGAGGCUCUUCAAGCCGUGACCCCAAGGAAGAUGAAAAUGAGAAGAAGAAACCCAAGUAUCCGGUCCCCCGAGUUGCAGAAGUUCGAGCUUGCGAGUGGCCAAGCGAUGUGUUCUUACGUGCCGCCGGUCUUUAUGAGGAUUUUUAUUACUUGGUGGAGAACGCAAGCCUUACCGCAUUUGUUGAAGAUAAGUGUCCACAAUACCUCCUCCUCAAUAAUAUUUUUGUGCAAAGCUUUAAUUUCUAUCCAAGGAAGAAUCCUCCUAUGGUUGAGUUCAAGUUAUAUGAUAUCCCCCAGAGCAUGUCACUUCAGGAUUUUUGCAAUGUUUGCAAAUUGCCUUAUGUUGGGGAUAUUCAUGAACCUCGUCCACGGGACUUGGUGGCUUUCAUUGAUACUAUUGCUGUAGGAGAGGAGAGAGGAGUGUCUUGCGCUAGAGUUGCUAGUGUACAUUUUCCCCUGCUUCGGUAUCUCUCAUUAUUUGUGGGAAAAUGUUUGAUUGGCCAUGGGAAAGCUGGGGCUCUUAGCUCCCCAGAUCUUGCGGUUUUGCACGAAGCUCUUUAUAAUGAUAAAACUUAUAGCUUGGGCGCUAUAGUGGCUCAACGGUUGAACACGAACCAUACUAAAGGCGUUGUUUAUGGAGGUAUCUAUGCUACCCGUCUUGCUAAACAUUUUGAGAUACCUAUUAGACUGUACGAGGAAGAAGAGAUGCUUCUUCCUGAGAGAUAUCUAGAUUAUGAUAGCAUGGUUCGCCAUGACUUUCUUGAUAAAGAUUUAAAUAAGAGGAUGAUUUAUAACUUGGUAUUUAGUCAGGGUACUCGUGAGACUAUUACUUUGCCUGCUCAUUCUUUGUUCAAUCUUCAUCUAGGCAGGUACAUUAUUAUGCCCUCGGAUAUCUACGCAUAUUGGGGCAUAGCGCCACCGCAGGCGCCCGUGCCCGAGCUACCAGUCGAGUACCAGACGCCAGUUUAUCAGUGGGAGCCAGAGGAGCUCACCCAGCAGUGGCACCCUCAGUACACUCCGGAGCACCCUGGAGACGAUUACUUCCCUCCUUGGGAGUAGACCAACUUAGGCCAAAAGCCUAAGCUUGGGGGAGUACGUGUUUCUCACCGACUUUAUAUUCAUGCUCACACAUUCACUUUGAUAGUCGGUGUUCACACCUUGCCACUGUAUCAUCCAUGAUAGUUUACUUCUUUUUCUCGCUUUCUUCUCGUGUGUUUGUUUAGAUUGAGAAAAACAAAAAAAUUAGUUUUAAGUUUACUUUCCAGCUUGCUUAGUGGUGUUUAAAAAGAAAACCCCAAAAGAUUUCCCGUUCUUCUUUUGCUUGUUGGGAGCUUUCCCGUGUAAAUAGUUUUCUUUUUCUUUGGGUCAAGGUAGAAGACCAUGAUUAAAAUGUUUAGUGGCUCUCAUGUGCAUAUCUGUUUAUCCGUCAGAGAGCCAUAUUACUUUGUCUUCUCCUCUGAGUUGGCUUGCAGAUUCCAGCUUAGUCCAAUGCACGAACACUCUCAUUACGAUUCACACCAUUCGGUUGUGCAAGUGAUAGGCAAUAAUGACGAUAUAUGAUGAAGUGACUGAGCCUGGAAAAGCUGGUAUGAACUCGACCUAUUUUGUUUUUGUAAAUAUGACUAGCUCAUCGUUCCUAAUUUAGCUUUGUUAUGAGAGAAACAUGUUUGCAAUGACAACUUAGAGAUCAUAGUUUCUGAUGUCAUGCUUAAUUAGCUAAGAGCUUAUAAUGGUUUGUCUUGGAUGCCAACAUGAAUUUCAAGAUGAUUAUGAUGUAGUAUGAUAGGAUGGUAUCCUCCUUUGAAUGAUUCAAGUGGCUUGACUUGGCACAUGUUUGUGCAUGUAGUUGAAACAAAAUCAACAUAGCCUAUAUGAUAUUCAUGUUUAUGGUGAUUUAUGUCCUACUCAUGCUUGCACUCAAUGUUGGUUAAUUUCAAUGCAUAUUGAUGACUGUUGUCGCUCUCUAGUUGGUCGCUUCCUAGUCUUUUGCUAGCCUUCACUUGUACUAAGCGGGAAUACUGCUUGUGCAUCCACUUCCAUCAACCCAAAGUUGUUCCAUAUGAGUCCACCAUACCUACCUAUAUGCGGUAUUACCUGUCGUUCCAAGUAAAUUUGCAUGUGGCACUCUCUAAACCUUCAAGUAAUAAUCUGUUUUGCAUGCCCGAACCGCCAAUGUGGUGACAAGGGGUGAUCUGUAUCUUCCAUUCUAGGCGUGUUAUCCUCGAUACGUGUUUAUUCACUAUCACUCACGAGAAAGGGGCCGGUAAUUGGAAUGCCCAGUUCCAUGCUCAAAUCGAAAAGAUAAUUGCAAACAAAACUCCCCCUGGUUUGUUGUUGGUAUGGACGGCACCCGAGGAUUCGGCUAGUCGUGGAGUGUGAUUGAUCGGUGGUGGGGGAGUCAAAACUUUACUUUUUUGUUUGGGAACCGCCUAUAGUAUGUGUAGCAUGGAAGAAGGUGAAAACUCUUGGUCAUUGCGUUGACAAUGAAAGCAUGCCACCCAAAAUUAUUUAUCACUGUUUUAAAAGCUUGAGUUCUGGCACCUCUGCAAAUCAAUGCUUCCCUCUACGAAGGGCCUAUCUAUUUACAUUUCUGUUGAGUCAUCUUCUUCUUAUUAAAAGGCACCAAUUAGAGAGCACCUCUGUCAUUUUUAUGCUUUGCUAUUAAUUGAUAUUGGGUAUGACUGUGAUUGGAUCUUCUUUGCAUUGAAUUACAAUGUUCAGUCAGCCCUUGGUCUUUGAAGGUGCUCUGCAUUUAUGUUUUGCGGUCUCAGAAAGAGCUAGCGAGAUAGCACCUGCUCAUAUUGCUUCAUGAUUGCUUUUAUUGAAUUAUUGACGUUUGAAACUUACUAUUAUUGCUCGCUAGUUGAUUAUGCCAUUGAUAUGAGUUUACCAUGAGACCUAAAUGUCAUUCCCUAUGUGGUUAUCUUAUGAUCUUGCUGAAAAUUCGAAUAUGAGUUAGAUAUAAUUACAACAACAAGAUCAAACAGAGUUCGUAAAAGUUUUUCUUUUGUCUCUUUCAGUUUGUCAACUGAAUUGCUCGAGGACAAGCAAGGCUUUAAGCUUGGGGGAGUUGAUACGUCUCCAUCGUAUCUACUUUUCCAAACUCUUUUGCCCUUGUUUUGGACUCUAAUUUGCAUGAUUUGAAUGGAACUAACCCGGAUUGACGUUGUUUUCAGCAGAAUUGCCAUGCUGUUGUUUUUGCGCAGAAAUAAAAGUUCUCAGAAUGACGUGGAAAUUUACGAGGGUUUUUUGUGGAAUAUAUAAAAAAUACUGGCGCAAGAAUUACCUGGAGGGACGGAGCCAGGAUCCCACAAGCCCAGGAGGCGCGGCCCCCCUGGCCGCGCCUGGCAGGCUUGUGAGGCCCUCCUGGCUCCGCCGCCUCCAACUCCAGCUCUAUAUAGUCUCUCUCGCCCAGAAAAAAUUAAGAGAGAAGAGUUCAUUGCGUUUCACGACACGGAGGUGCCGCCACCACCUGUUCUUCCUCUAAAGGGAAGAUCUAGAGUCCGUUCUAGACUCCGGAGAGGGGAAAUCGACGCCGUCGUCAUCACCAACCAUCCUUCAUCGCCAAUUCCAUGAUUCUCUUCAUCGUUCGUGAGUAAUCUCAUCGUAGGCUUGCUGGACGGUGAUAGGUUGGAUGAGAUCUAUCAUGUAAUCGAGUUAGUUUUGAUGGGGUUUGAUCCCUAGUAUCCACUAUGUUCUGAGAUCGAUGUUGCUACUACUUUGCUAUGCUUAAUGCUUGUCACUAGGGACCGAGUGCCAUGAUUUCAGAUCUGAACCUAUUAUGUUUUCAUCAAUAUAUGUGUGUUCUUGAUCCUAUCUUGCAAGUUGUAGUUACCUACUAUGUGUUAUGACCCGGCAACCCCGGAGUGACACUACAAGAAAUAUGUCAACUAACGACCUUCAAUAUUGGUCACCGAAUGGUCAUUGAUUUCCAUUUGUGACCUUUUUACGACCAAAAACAGACGGUCAAAAGCUGAGGGUCUCUAAUGAACUAUAACGACCUUUUCCUGGAUUGGUCGUAGGAUUUUACGACCAAACAGAAGGUCGUAGGUUUAACAACCAACUUAUAUGGUCACUAGCAAUCUGCCCACACCACGUCAGAUCCACCGUGGCAGGCUGACGUGGCAGAAUUACGACCAAAUGAAAAGGUCGUAAAUUAGAUUCAGCCCGGUCCAUUCCGGUCGUCUACAUGGGCCAGACCCAAUAAUUUGGCAUUUUAUUUUCUGGGAUAGAAUCUUUUACUAAGCAGGUUUUUUGUUAGUCCACUUUUCUUUUGGGCCUUGGCCUACUCUUUUUAGUCCAGUUCUUGUUUGGGCCUUGGCCUACUCUUUUUUAUGCCCAAGCCUUUUUAGACAAAUUCUAAUUUGGGCCUUGGACUACUCUUUUUUUAGGCCCAAGCCUUUUUAGUCCAUUUCUUGUUUGGGCCUCAGCCUUUUUGCAGUCCACACUAACUUUAGUGCCCAAACAAAAUGGUCCAAACAAAACUCAAAUAAUUGACAACUUCAUCAGGUUCACAAAAUACUUCAUCAGGUUCAAAUAGAGCAAGACACUGUUUCACAAAAUACUUCAUCAGGUUCAAAUAGAGCAAGACAGGUUCAAAAUACUUCACAGGUUCAAAUAGAGCACUUCAUUGUUUCAUCACCAGAAGGACCAAUCAAGUGGGCUAACUUCAUCAGGAUCUUGAGAAGUUAGCCCACUUCACUGUUUCUAGGACAGGUUCUACGACAGGUUCAACUUCUACGAUGCUUUAGCGCCGAAGAGAGCCAUCAAGUGGGCUAACUUCUCUUCCUGUUCUUGAGACUUCUUGCGCAACAUCUCAAAGUUCCUUGGCGCGUGUAGCUUCAUAUUCUUCCGCCUUUAGCUUGAUUCUUGUCAUUUCUUCUUGCAUCACUUCAGCUUGAAGCUCCGACCUCUCCAGCUUCUGCUCAAGAUCACGAACAUGAGCAACCACAACAACAGUUCCUUUGCGAGAGUUGCUACUAGAUGACUUGAGCCAAACAUUCCUGAGGAAUGUGCUUUGCUUGACUUCGGUCUUGAGCACUUCUUCAACAAUCUCAGCAUCAUACUUUGGUUCUUCACCUUCUAGUACCGGCGCGUCCUUCAUUUUUUCCAUCUCAAGCUAGCAUAUGGAGGAAAAUGAUAGACAUUAGUGGCAGAUCUAUUUCACAUUCUGCAAGAGAAACCAAACAAGAAUGCCACCAAACCAGACCAAGAAAUGGAUUAUUUGAAGUAAUCAAACCAACACACAAAAUCUAUAUGUAGAUAUUUUACUCAAACUGAAACAGAAGUAGAUGAUAACUACUAAACUUAAAGCAUUAUUUGAAUCUAGCUACAGCAAGUGUACACACUUAUGUGAUCUAGAGACAUGCAAUCGGAACAAUAUGGUGGUUCUAUAUAAUAUGGCUUCUUUGUUGAGAACUAAUAUUCAGAUCAAUUUUCAUCAUAUCAUAAAAAUGCAACAAAUAGCUACAGCAAAUUCUGAUAUCUUUGUUGAGAACUGUACAAGAAAUUCUGAUAUCUUUGUUGAGAUACCAAACCUAUCAUAGGCUCUAGCAAACAACAUCAAAUCUAGGGUGUGUUCUUGCUCGCUGUGAAUCAAACAGGGCUGAGGUCUAUAGACAAAAGUUUGAACUAGCUAGACAAAAGCAUGGAGUGACUUACUAUAGCAAUCUUGACUGGCUCCGAAAACCCGUGCUUCUUACUGUUGUGGGUGGCCUUGAACAAGUCAAUCGCAGACAGCUCCUCACCCUUACGCUCUUCUUUUUGAAAUGUUUUUUUAACAAAAAUCAAAAUGUUAUUCAGCAAGAAUAAGAAAUGAUAUUCAACGAGGAUCAAACGGUAAGGUCUUUAGAAAAAGGUACUCACAGUGGCAAAAAUGUGUGCUGUGUAGUGCCUGGAACCAGUGCUCUGUUGGUACACGACCUUUUCUCGAUUAAUCUUGUUCGACACAUAGGUUUCCUACAAAAAAACAUAAUGUUAUUUGCCAAGUUGAAAGAAAGUGGAAUAGGCAGUAGUAUAGUAGGAUAAUACGAGUCUGAGCAUAUUUGAUUUGGAAAUAUUUCAGUUAUCCUGCACUAGCACAAGUACAUGAACAACUAGUACUAUCUAAGAGUCAGCGUAUUACAUAUGGUGUUGAUUUUGAAAGUUGAUGCUCUCUAUUGUUCCUACUCUGAUCAGAAACAUGGAAGAUGAAGAAGGGGACCACGGCCCAUUCCCAUCCUGAUGUGCAGAACAUAAAUCAGCAAACAGAGCAUAUACAAACCUUGUGUCUUGGGGUAGACCACAUCUGCACCAGAGCUUGCCAUUCACCGUCCGUCAGAUCUGGCACCGGAGACUUGGUGCUCACUUUGUUUGCUGCUACGGUAUCAAAAUACUUCUUCUUGAUCUUAUGGCGUUGAUUCUUUGAACUUUUCUGCAGAACAUCUUUGCACACGUACUUGAUGGUCUCCGAGUCUGUGUUCAUCUCAAAAUUUGCCUACCAAGACAGCAAACAAGGAAGGAACAACAUUAGUGAUCAUUAACUACAAAACAGAAAAUAGAGUAGCACAUUAACUAUAAAACGAGUAGCUUACAACAACUUUCCCAAUGUAGUCCUCCACUAGAGUAGCAUUAUUUUUGUAUUCCUUGAAGUGAGGAAGAACCGGUAGAUGUCUUCUUGCAACGAGUCCACACUCAGAAGCAAACUUUGCUGACUGUAGAGGCUUCUCUGGACGCUUCAUCCCUUGGGCAAUUUGGAUAGGCACAUUUGUGCCAAGCGACUUGGUGAUUCUGUCUAGCCCUUUGCCCUUUCUAAGUCUACGCUUGUUAGUCAUUGCAUCUGAAAAUGAAAUUGAACUCAUAAAUUAGAAGAGAAAUUGAGAAAUGCAGGAAUGGUUCUGCUAAACAGGUAAGCAUACAUGAUCACUUCCAUUUGCAAAAUGCACUAGUAAAAUAGAAGGUGAACUUGCCUGGUUGAAGCACAAGCUGAUGUUCUUCUUCACUGACGACAUCAUUCCUAUCAAUAGAAGGUGCACCACGCCUGAGGCGUAGGCAGACAGUGCCGUUUUCAUCCAUGCAGAGAGUGGUUUCUUCAUCCAUGGGCGGAAACUCAUCACGCAUUUCCACCGAGCUCUCAAAGUCCAUGCCCAGCAGACUUUCGUGAUGGUCCAUCGCAGCCGCCAUAGUUGUUUUCUGCCUUGUGACUCUAUCAGGUUCACCAGGUUCCACGAUCCUCUUUGUUUGUCCUGGAGGUGGGGCCAUCACCCUUCCUGGAGGCAUUGCAGCAGAUGCUUAUGAGCUCUUCUUCUUCUUGCUGGUUGUCUUCUUAACACCAGGCCUCUUCAUUCUAGAUUCCUUCAGUGCCUUGUAUAAAUAGCACAGAAAAAACAUUAGAUCACAAGAGAAAUAGGUGAGCACAAGGAAACAGAGAGCAUACAAGAACUCGAACCCUCCAAGCAAGACAGAGUUUGCACCUUACCAGUCUUGUGCACUACAACUUCAUCCUCCUUAGGAUUGUACUCUGAGUCAUCAUUGAUAACUCCACUACCUUCUUGAACCUCAUUAGUUCUACCUUCUUGCACAUCAUUUGUUUUCCUAAUCAUUGACGCUAUUGCACCAAUGCUAAGGGACUGGAAUAUACGAUUGUUCCUCAUCAUAUUUCUAGCCCUAACCUUCUCGUACUCGGUGAGAGGAUGCUCAUCUUUGCAAGGAAAAGGAAACAUAAUUAUUAGGUUAAUUGUUGGAAUGCAUGGACAGACAACCAAACAUAUCUUAUGAUAUUUUAUUAUCAUUUAAUCCUACUUAUUCAGCUAAGGAAGAGUAACAGCACACAGGCACAGCUAAGCCAACUAAUUUAGAUUAUAGCAAUACAUUUGCAUAAUAAAAUCUGACAGUAUUUUACAUCACAAGCCUCCAAGAUAUUGUACUUAGCAUAUUACAUUUCACUUAGCAUAUUAAGACACAUUUUAUAAAUCUAACAGUAUAACCACAAGGAGCAACUUGCAUACCAAUGGUUGGCCUCGGGUUUGACCUUGUCAUCCUUGCCAUGGAUGAUAUUGAGGUGGUGCUUGCAAAAUAGAAUAAACAAAAAUCAGAUACAACAGGGAUAAAGUAAAAUGAUGCACUUAUAUCAAUAAAGGAAAGCAUUUAGACGAGCAUGCACAUACAUGUCAUACAUGUGAAGCAAACUUGUUGGAUCAACAAUACAGUGAUGUAGUUAAUGCAUCAGUACUAAUACAUGUAAAACACUUGGACCAUCAUGCACAUACACGUGUAGCAAUGCACAUACAGUUAAUGUGUAACAUCCCAAAAUUAUAAAUUUUGGAAUGUUAAUACAAUUAUUAGAUUGAUUGUUUGUUUGUUUGAGUGAUUGAAACUUCUCAAAAAAAAUGAGAGGGAAUAAAAUGACUUUCCCAAUUUUUUUUAAAUUUUUUAAUCCCUUUUCAAUUUUGAGUUUGAAUAUUUUCAAAACCCUUUGAUUAAAAAAAAUCAAACGAGAGGAGGAAAAUGACCCUCCAAAAAUUAGAGACUAUGUCUUGAUUCAAAUUUUAAGUAUUUGCAAUUUAUUUGAAAUUCAAAUUCCUUUUCAUUUUAAAGUUAUUGCAAAAAAAUAUAUUUUUUAAAAUAAAAGUAUUUUUUUGGUUUUGAAAAUAUGUUCAUGUUUUAGAAAAUCUUAUUCUCAAAAUUUUGAUAUAUAAUAUGUCUAUAUAAAAUGUUCUCUCUUUUUCAUUUAUACGUUUUUCUUCUUUGUUUUUAAAAAAAAAAAUUGUUCGUUCGCAAAAAAAAAAGAAAAAAAGCGCGCCGAGGCCAACCAGCCCAACCAUGUGCAUGUGCUGUGCGGUGGCUGAAUUGCUUUGGCCCAUGCGGCACUUCCAUUUCCCUCCUUUUUUCUAGUUUGCCUACAUUACGUAUAUGUUUAGUCCCACAUUGUUUAUCUAUGGACCUUUACACCUCCCUUUCACCUAUAAAUAUCGACCCAUAGGAGCAUCCAAAAAUCAUCUAUUUCGGGUUAAAUCAAUCUUUUGGUUUAACUAGAUUUAUUAAAUAAAAAUAUUCUUUUCUCUUCGGCAGGAUUUCUCGAAGUCGUCUCCUCAUUGGAAUUAAUUCUUACUCUGCAUUCUAAAGGUAUUUUUCUUCGUAUUUUUUUUACUCCCGUAGUCUAUUAUUUCUAGACUAGUAUUCCUACACUAGUAUACGAUAGAGUAAUUAGAUAUAUUAUUUAGUCUUCGUAUUUAAACAUUAGUAUUAGAAUUCUUUUAGACAUAGCACUUUUCUUCCGUAAAACAGCUUGGCCCUGAUUUUUCAAAUAGCCAUAACUUUUUACUCGUAUAUCCGAAUUAGAUGAAACCAACGCCUAGAGUUUCGUCUUGAUCCCACCUAUCCUGUGAACCUAUCAUAUCAACUUUUUGAAAUUUUCAAAUUUCGAAAUUUGUUCAUAUUCAUAUUCAAACUUCUUUUGAUCACAUCUUUUUAUCCGUAGCUCCGUUUUAGAUGAAUCCAAUUGCGUCGGAUUCGUAUCAAAGUAAUCUUCCCGUUUGUAUCAUUAGUUUUAACUUUUCAACUUAUAAUUUUGAUAAAAUCAGAUUUAUCUAUUAGUGCCCAAAAGUGUUCACAUCGUUCUAAGCCGAUUCAAUGUUAUAUUGAAGUAUUUGUAUCUUUUGAUCCGCUAUUUCAAAUCUAGUAAUUCUUUUUUCUACACGCUCAUAUUGAUCUCCUAUAUCCGGUAGCAUCAUUAGUUUCAACCUUUGAACCUUACAAAUUUGAGCGAUUCAAAUUUGUAUUUGAACAUUCAUUUGAUCUUAUCUUGCAAAUCGUACCACCUUUUAAAUUGAUUCCUUUUACCCCUAAACACUCAUGUCAUAUAUUUUUGUACGUAACCAUCGUACUUCAGUUCAACUUCUCUUGACCUUUUGAAUGCAAAUUCAAUUCAUACUUCAAUUCACUAUAACUUGUGUUGUAGUUGUAGUGCUCCAUUUCAAGAAAUUCUUUCUACAAAUAAAUUCUUAUGUCUUAUACUAUUUUUCAAACAACAUUCAUGUUGUUCUCCCAAUAUUUUUGAUCAUCUCCCAUAGUGUAUGCAAGUCGAGCUUAUAUAGCGAUAGUUGAUCAUCCUUUGACUCUUUUGAGUUGACCCCUUUCACCGUUCCUUUUACAACACCAUAAGGCCCUAUCUUUUUUAUUAAACCUUAGUACGUUGUUAUUUUGUACCAAGACAUGCUUUGUUCUUAUGUUCUCUUGGUUCUUCCUUUUUGGCAUGAAUGUUUAUUGAAUGCUAUUUGUUUACGAUAGAUUGCUCGGAGUGUGGCGAGUAGAAUUAUCAGGAUUAUGAGAGCGACUAUCUUCAUCAAGUAAUACCAGGCAAGUCACUUUGAUCAUACUAUCACCUAUGUUUUAUGCAUCGUAGUUCUACCAUCCUAUGCCCAAUUGCAUGCUGCUUAGGUACUUGGAAAUUUUAGUAUAGAUUGUAGUAUCAUGUGGUAGGCACACAACAACCCCGAUACUUGGCCCCGGGACGACAAAUUUCAUAUUGCUAUGCUUGAGUAGACGGGAUUUCGGUUGAGUGCAUAACACGAGUGAUGCGAGGUUGAUCAAAUAAUCAAGACCGGUUAAGACAAGAUUUUCAAGACCUCGGACGCAAUGCAACUCUGGGUGAAGGACGAUUGAUCGGCUCCCUGGAGAACCCAGUGGAUGACCCGAGAUGCUGGGGACGGCCAUGACAUCCUGCGGAAAGCUUCACCCAGGCUCAAAGAGACGGAUGGAUAUUUUCAAGACCCAAGGCUUACCUGCACAGCCACAAGUCAUUAUGGGCUCUGACUUGGUUGGACAACGCGGCGACUCUGGACAGGCGGUGCUAGCAGAUGUAGAAGAACGGUAGGAAUGGAUGGGCACCGACAGGGAUUCAGAGGGACCCGUUGAAAGACCAUGUUUUGAUCAUCCGGUCUUCAAACACCCUGAAGUGCGAGGACAUACUCGGAGGCGAUCAAAUCUUGUGGGGAACGUGUGCAAAACUCUGCAGAGUACUCAAACCUAAUCGAUUAGCCGUGUCCACGGUCAUGGACAACUUGAGCCAAAGGAACUGAAGUUAUCUGGAUUUCUCAACACCAUUACAUAUAUUUGAUGAGGGUAAUUAUUGACAACUCGGGUAUGAGAACUGGUUGGCGGAACCAUCUCGUUAACAACCAACAAUGUAGUAACAUUUUGCUUUUAGCCCUCUCUUGUCGUAGGAGAAAAAUUUGCUUUACGCUAAAAGAAACUUACAACCCCACCUGCCAUAUAUGCAUAUAGUACAGAUGAUUACUUUUCACCCCUCUCUUAUGUGACUUGCCGACAUAUUCAAUAUGCUGACCUACACGGCUGCAACGUCUUAUGUUGCAGAUAUUUUUCUUCGACGAGUAAGAGUACGAUUCAGGGUUACGGUGUACACUCAACUUGCUGUUGGUGUUUAUUGGGACUCCACUCCCUUGACUGCUUCCGCUGAAAUAAUUAAGGUAUAUAUCAGUUUUACGCUAUUUACAUGUGAUUGCACUUUGAUAUAUACAUUGAUGUACUGUGUGUGCCAGCAUACUGAUCCAGGGAUGGCACAGAAACACAGAGGCUUGACUCGUCUUGAGUCGGGUCGCUACAGAAAUGGUAUCAAAGCACAUGUUGACUGCAGGACGUGACCCUAGAAACUAGAAACUUCUUAGGAUGGGAUCUCUCAAAAAAAUCUUAUUUUCAAGAACACAUUUUACUUCUCAUCUCUUCUGAUUUCAUCAAACAUUCUCUCUCACCUCCAAUAGUUAGACAAUACCCUUACCCCUUUGACCUCAUGGAGAAUCAACGGAGUUCUACUUCAAAGUAAAGAGGAUUUCACCAUGCAUUUGAAGAAUUGAAGCUACACCUAUUGAAGACCCUAAAGCGUUCGAAUAAUUAUAUGACCAUUAGAAGUCCAAACCCCAAUUAUAUACCCACGUUAGUUACGAUGAUUUGUGAGCCGUCAUUGGUGUGUGUUUUUCGAGGACACAACUAAAACCUAUUCUCAAAAAUAUUGUUUGUAUUGUGUGUAUCUUCCUCCCUCUCUUACCCGUCUCAUCCCCAAAAUGUUGGACCCAAUAGAUGGCGUAUGAAGCUGGACUUGUAAUCUCUGGACCAAUGACCCAGCUGGAAGUUGAAAUAUGGAUUCAGAACAUGGAGAACUACUUCGAGAGCAAUUUGACUUCCAGGAAGUAUGAAGUUGCACACGCUCUUCAGUACUUUACCCAAAGUGCUGCUAUCUGGUGGAAAAUGCAUCAUGCCAUACAAGGAUUUAGUGGAGGAGAAACUUGGGACAAAUUCAAGAAGACUCUGUUAAGAUCCCGUCUUAUCCAAAAGUGAUAUGAUAGCCCGAUGAAGAAGCCUUGUGCAUGCAAGAUCUGUGGAGAAAUAGGACACACCCAGGAAGAAAACCAGGAUGGAUGCCCUCAUUGUGAAUAAAAUCACCCAGCGGAGGAUUGCCCAAGUAGUCAGGUGACUUGUUUCUUGUGUGAAGGAACCACCCACCACCCAGCGGCGUGUCACAUUUACCCCAAGUAUGCUUGAAACCCACAGAACCCGGGACAAACAAGGACCAAGUACUAUCUUUUUGGAGAAGGAAACUUGUAUCAGCAAACGUUUUCUUAGGAGCAUACGACAACUUGAGAGUGGUGAAGAAACGAUAGAUGUUUUGUUCAGCUUGCAGAACCAAUGGUUUAUCCGAACUUCGUUCGUGGACAAGAGAAACUCUGCAACGCUUGUGAGGAUGUCCAAGUGUUAGAAUUCGAGAUUCACUAAGCCUUAUACAAGGUAAUGAUUUCAGUGCGACAUGGCUUGGCCACCAUGACGACUUACUAUUGUCAUUCUCUUGCUAUUCGCUUGACUCGUCUUGAGUCGGGUCGCUACAUAAUGCAUCAGUACUAAACUGACAGUUGAAGCAAGCAACUAAAUUGAAGCACUUGGACCAGCAUGCACAUACAAGUGUAGCAAUGCAUCAGUAUUGAUACAUGUGAAACCGGAGGUAGUAAUGUACUAAACUGAUAGUUGAAGAAAACUAUAUAUGUGAAGCAAUCCAUUAACUAUUCACAACAAUUACUUUUAUGUUUUAACUUGCAAUUUUAUCCAUGUACCUGCAAUCAUCUAUAAGCAAAGUAAUUACUCAACCAUAUUCCCUAAUGGAGGCAAACAUAUGCAUUCAUAACAACUGGUUGCCCAACAUUUGGUGAAUGAAGAAGCAAGCAGUGUGCAAGCAAGCAAGAAAAGUGCAUAAGUUCUACUAAUACAAGCAAGCAAGCAAGAGAAGUGCUACUAAUAGAAAUAAGCAUAGUGCUACUUAUAGAAACAAGCAAGCAAGGAAGAAAAUUGAAGAGGAGCUAGCAAGCAAGUACUGUUGAUACAAACCCUAGUAGCUUCUUCUCCAAGUGCUACUGAUACAAGCAAGUAUUGCUGAUGGAAACUCUAAUUAACCAUGUAUGCUAGCAAGCAAGCAAGCCAUAGUAGUCAAGCAACAUGAACAUGAACCCUAACCACAUGAAGCAGACUACCAGAGGGGGAUAGAACGAACCACCAAGAAUAAAUCCCAUGAACAUGAACAAGAACCUCCAGGAGCUCCUAGAUUGACUGAAUCCUAACCCUAGAUCGAUCAGGUGGGGGAUGUACCCUCAUUUGUUACCCAUUACAAAUGCAGGACCCCAUGAACCCCAUGAACCCUAACCCCACGAACCCCAUGAAACCUUAACCCCAUGAAACCCAUGCAUAAAGUACACAAGCAAGCAAGCAAAGUGCUAGUAGUACUGCUAAUGCAAUUCCUAACCUUAUGUAUGCUGGCAAGCAACUGAAUUGAAGAUUAGUAGCAAGCAAGCAAUGCACAUACAAGUGUAGUAAUGCAUGAGUAUUAAUACAUGUGAAACAGGAGGUAGUAAUGUACUAAUCUGAUAGUUGAAGAAAACUAUAUAUGUGAAGCAAUGCAUUAACUAUUUACAACAAUUACUUUUAUGUUUUAACUUGCAAUUUUAUCCAUGUACCUGCAAUCAUCUAUAAGCAAAGUAAUUACUCAACUGUAUUCCCUAGUGGAGACAAACAUAUGCAUUCAUAGCUACUGGUUGCCCAACAUCAUUUACUUAAAGCACUACUCCAGUAAGACACACUAACAAGAAAUGCACAUACAAGUGUAGCAAAGCACAACAGAAUUAAUCGCAUGCUUCAGCAAGAUAAAUGUUCUUCCCAUCAUCAAAACAUCAUACAUAAUAUAUUAUGCCAUGUUAUUUCAAAUGAACAACAAAUUAUGUUCAGAAAAAAUUAAAACAAGCCACCUAUAUCCAGACUCAUCACUACUACUCAAGUCAAGCCAAGCCAAGCCAAGCGAAACACCAGCAGAAGCUCAAGCUGAGUGUUUCCAAAGAAAAACACAAGCUCAAGCUCUUAGUAGUAUUAACUUUGAAGACACCAUAACAGUUGUAAUAAAUAGAUGGGUAUCUGGCCUUGCAGGGAAAUACCAUCACCAGCAGAAGAAGCAUAUGUUGACAUGCAACUAUUCCUGACUUCAUGCCUCCACGGCAACGGAGCGAGAAAAGAGCUGCUUCUAGUUGCUCAACAAUUAGCAAUUGUCUUGCAAUAGCCCACCAGCGUGUGGGAUCGCGGCAGUUUUCGAGGGUAGAGUAUUCAACCCAAAUUUGUUGGUUCGCAUGACGGGAAGCGAAAGAAUAUCCUCAAGUAUUAGCAGCUGAAUGUGUCAGAUUCAACCACAACUGAAAGAUUAGUGUCUGCAAGCAAGGUAUAAGCAGCAAAAGUAGUAUGCUAACAACGACGCCAGAAACGAUGUGUUGACGGCAGACUAUUCCUAACUGUUGUAUCAAUGGCGCCAGUAAGUUGCCCAUGGACGGGAAAUAUUCUUUCCCGGCAACAGUGCCAGAAAAAGUAUUGUAGCAGAUAGCAGCAGUGUAACGAGUAACAGCAGUGGCAAGGAACAGCAGUAGUGACAGCAGUGGCAACAACAGCAGGACAAAGCAAGUAAUAGUAGCAGCAGCAGCAGCAGGACAAAGCAAGUAAUAGUAGCAGCAAGUAACAGUAGCAGCAACAGUAGUAAUAGCAGCAGCAGGACAAAGCAAGUAACAGUGGCAGCAAGUGACAGUAGCAACAACAGUAGUAACAACAGCAGAGCAAAACAAGUAACAUCAGCAGUGGGUCAAACUCGUAGGCAAUGGAUCGGUGAUUCAUUGGAUGACAUUCAUCAUGCAACAAUUAUAACACAGAGAGGUAUGUGGCUAGCUCCCGUUCAUCGAUGUGAUGUAGGCAUGCAUUCCGUGUGUAGUCAUACGUGCUUAGGGAAAAGAACUUGCAUGCCAUCUAUUGUCCAUCCCUCCCGUGGCAGCGGGGUCCAAAUGGAUACUACGGGAUAUUAAGGUUCUCCUUUUAAUAAAGAACCAGACAAACGCAUUAGCACUUGGUGAACACAUGAACUCCUCAAACUAUUGUCAUCAUCGGGAGUGGUUCCGGUUAUUGUCAUUCCGGUGUUGCCGGAUCAUAACACAUAGUAGGUAACUACAACUUGCAAGAACGGAUCUAAAACACACAUAUAUUGGUGACAACAUAAUAAUUUCAUAUCUGAAAUCAUGGCAAUCGGGCCCUAGUGACAAGCAUUAAGCAUGGCAAAGUAGUAGCAACAUCAAUCUCAGAACAUAGUGGAUACUAGGGAUCAAUCCCCGUCAAAACUAACUCGAUUACAUGAUAGAUCUCAUCCUACUCAUCAUCGCCCAGCGACCCUACGAAUAGAUUACUCACGAACGAUGAAGAGCUUCAUGGAAUUGGAGAGGGAAGAAGGUUGAUGAUGACGAUGGCAACGAUCUCCUUGAUCCGGAGCCCAAAACGGACUCCAGAUCUACCCUCCAGAUGAAGAACGGGAUGUGGCGGCGCCUCCGUAUCGCAAACGCGAUGAAAUCUUCUCUUUUGAUUUUUUUCGGGGCGAAAGGGAAUAUAUAGAGCUGAGUUUGGAGGCGGUAGAGUCACGUGGGGCCCACAAGCCCUGACGGCGCGGCCUGGGGGUGGCCGCGGCCAUAGGGCUUGUGGCCCACUCGCUCACCCCCUCCGGUGGAUCUUUGCGCAUGUAUUUUUCAUAUUUUCCAGAAAUAUUCUCCGUAAAUUUUCAGGAUGUUCCGAGAACUUUCAUUUCUGCACAAAAACAACACCAUGGCAAUUUUGCUGAAAACAGCGUCAGUCCGGGCUAGUUCCAUUCAAAUCAUGCAAAUUAGAGUCCAAAACAAGGGCAAAAGAGUUUGGAAAAGUAGAUACGAUGGAGACAUAUCAACUCCCCCAAGCUUAAAACCUUGCUUGUCCUCAAGCAACUUAGUUGACAAACUGAAAGAGAAAGAAAAACUUUGACAAACUCUGUUUGAUCUUGUUGUUGCAACUAUGUCUAACUCAUAACCAGAAUUUCAGCAAGAUCACAAGUUAACCACAUAAGCAAGUGACACAAAGGUCUCAUGGUAAACUAAUAUCAAUGCCAUAAUCAGCUAGCGAGCAAAUAAUAAUGAGUUUCAGAUACCAACAAUUCAAUCAAAACAAGCAUGAAGCAAUAUGAAUAGAUGGUAUCUCGCUAGCUCUUUCUGAGACCGCAAAACAUAAAUGCAGAGCACUUUCAAAGAUCAAGGGGAUGACUCAACAGGAAAAUAAACAUUAUAAUUCAUAGCAACGAAGAUCCAGUCAUAGUCAUACUCAAUAUCAAUCAAAAGCAAAGCAUAAAAAUGACAGAGGUGCUCUCCAAUUGGUGCUUAUAUAAGAAGAGGAUGACUCAACAGGAAAAUAAAUAGACAGGCCUUCGCAGAGGGAAGCAUUGAUUUGCACAGAUGCCAGAGCUCAAGCUUUGAAAACAGAGAUAAUAAUUUUGGGUGGCAUGCUUUCAUUGUCAAUGCAAUGACCAAGAGUUCUCAAUAUCUUCCAUGCUAAUCAUGCUAUAGGCGGUUCCAAAUAGAAAAGUAAAGUUUAACUCCCCACCACCAAUCAAUCACACUCUACGGCUAGCCGAAUCCUCGGGUACCGUCCAUACUAACAUCAAUCCGGGGGGAGUCUUGUUUUACAGUUAUGUUUUCAAUUUUAGCGUGGAACUGGGCAUUCCAAUUACCGGCCCCUUUCUCGUGAAUGACAGUGAAUAAACACAUGUCGAGGAUAACACGCCUAACAUGGAAGAUACCAAUAGCCCCCUGUCACCACAUGAGCGGUUCAGGCAUGCAAAACAGAUUAUUUCUUGAAGGUUUAGAGAAUGGCACAUGCAAAUUUACUUGGAACGGCAGGUAGAUACCGCAAAUAGGUAGGUAUGGUGGACUCUCGUGGAAAGACUCUUGGGUUUAUGGAAGUGGAUGCACAAGCAGCAUUCCGCUUAGUACAAGUGAAGACUAGUAAAAGACUAGGAAGCGACCAACUAGAGAGCGACAACAGUCAUCAAGAUGCAAUGAGUUUGACUAACAUUGAGUGCAAGCAUGAGCAGGAUAUAAAUCACCAUGGACACGAACAUCAUAGAGGCUAUGUUGAUUUUGUUUCAACUACAUGCAUGAACAUGCGCCAAGUCAAGCCACUUGAAUCAUUCAAAGGAGAAUACCAUCCUAUCAUACUACAUCAUAGUCAUCUCAAAUCUAUGAUGGCAUUCAAGACAAACCAUUAUAAGAUGCUAGCUAAAUAAGCAUGGCAUCAGAAACUAUGAUCUCUAAGUUGUCAUUGCAAACAUGGUUAUCUCUCAACAUAGCUGAAUCUUGGACGACAAGCUAGUCAUAUUUACAAAAACAAAAUAGAUAGAGUUCAUAGCAACUUUUCCAGUCUCAGUCACUUCAUCAUAUAUCAUCAUUAUUGCCUUUCACUUGCACGAUCGAACGAUGUGAACAAUAGUAAGAGUGCUUGUGCAUUGGACUAAAGAUGGAAUCUGUAGGCAAACACAAAGGAGAAUACAAAGUAAUAUGGAUCUUUGAAAGCUAAACAGGUAUGCAUGCAAGAGCCACUAAACAUUGUAACCAAUAUCUUCUACCUUGACCCAAAUAAAAAGAAAACUAUUUACACGGGAAAUCUCCCAACAAGCAAAAGAAAGAAGGAAAAUCUUUUUGGGUUUUCUCAAAAGGACGCAAAACAAGAAAACAAGAAAACAAAAAUAAACUAGCAUGGAUAAUACAGUGGCAAAGUGUAAACACCGACUAACAAAGUGAAAGCAUAAGCAUGAACAUAAAGUUAGUGCAAACACGUACUCCCCCAAGCUUAGGCUUUUGGCCUAGCUUGGUCUACUCCCAAGGACGGUCCUGGCGAAACCCAAAAUCAUAAUCGGGGUAUUUUUCCACCGGGCGCUAAGACAGAAAACAGGGAAAACUAAACUAAACCUAUCAUUUUUCUUCUAAGCAACAGAAAGUGAAAGCUUAAAACAGAGGUAUGUGACUCCUUGAUUCAUCCAUUUCAUGGUCAUCGAAAGAAAUCCGUCAAUGGGGUUGAUCAAAUCCGCUCGACAAAACUUUCUCGAAUCGCAAAAGAAGACGGAGAAUUUUCGAAUAGUCACUAGGUCACCUCAAUGGGGAUGUGUAUCUCCCCAACAAGCAAAUCAUACUUCAUCUUAACACGAGGAACAAGGCAUUCAAAGCUACCAAUAAGAAUCGAUGAAGUUUUUUCGAUGGCAUUGAUGCAAUAUACUUGAUAUCGUUUCUUUGGAAAGUGCACUGUAUCCUCAUUACCGUUGACAUGGAAAGCGACAUUGCCUUUGUUGCAAUCUAUAACAGCCCCUGUAGUGUUGAAAAAGGGUCUUCCGAGGAUGACAACCAUGGCAUCGUCCUCGGGAAUAUCCAGGAUAACAAAGUCUGUUAAGAUAGUGUUGUUAGCAACCUCAACAGGCACAUCCUCGCAAAUGCCGACAGGGAAAGCAGUUGAUUUGUCGGCCAUUUGCAGAGAAAUUUUAGUGGGUGUCAACUUAUCCAGUUCAAGUCUACGAUAAAGAGAGAGAGAGAGGCAUAACACUAACACCGGCUCCAAGGUCGCAUAAAGCAGUUCUUACGUAGUUUCCUUUAAUGGAGCAAGGUAUAGUGGGAACUCCGAGAUUGCCAAGUUUCUUAGGAGUUCCACCUUUGAAAGUGUAAUUGGCAAGCAUGGUGGAGAUCUCAAGAUCUGGUUUCUUCCGUUUAUUGGUCACGAUAUCUUUCAUGUACUUGGCAUAUGGAGACAUUUUGAGCAUAUCAAUUAACUGCAUCUGCAGAAACACAGGUCUCAACAUUUCAAUAAAGCGCUCAAAAUCCUCAUCAUCCUUUUUCUUGGAUGGCUUAGGAGGAAAGGGCAUAGGUCUCUGAACCCAUGGCUCCCUUUCUUUACCAUGCUUCCUAGCAGUGAAGUCAUUCUUAUCAUUUCUCUUAGGUUGUGGAUUAUCAGGAUUAACCGCAGGUACAGUCUCCACAUCCUUAUCAUUGCUAGGUUGAGAAUUGAUACGUCUCCAACGUAUCUAUUUUUCCAAACUCUUUUGCCCUUGUUUUGGACUAUAAUUUGCAUGAUUUGAAUGGAACUAACCAUGACUGACGUUGUUUUCAGCAGAAUUGCCUUGGUGUUAUUUUUGUGCAGAAAUCAAAGUUCUCCAAACGUCCUGAAAAUUUACGGGGAGCAGUUUUGGAAAAUAUCUUUCCAGCACAUUGGGAUCCUAAGCUUNNNNNNNNNNNNNNNNNNNNNNNNNNNNNNNNNNNNNNNNNNNNNNNNNNNNNNNNNNNNNNNNNNNNNNNNNNNNNNNNNNNNNNNNNNNNNNNNNNNNCUUGUAAAUACACGGAUUCUCAACACUAGUAUAACCAAAUAGCUUUGAUCACUCAUCAAAAGUGUUUGUUCCCAAACUCCGAGAUGCUUGCACCAGUCCAUAAAUGGAUCGCUGGAAGCUUGCACACCUUGUUAGCAUUCUUAGGAUCGACAAAACCUUCCGGUUGCAUCAUAUACAACUCUUCCUUAAGGAAACCGUUAAGGAACGCCGUUUUGACAUCCAUCUGCCAGAUUUCUUAACCAAAAAAUGCAGCUAUUGCUAACAUGAUUCUGACGGACUUAAGCAUCGCUACGGGUGAGAAUGUCUCAUCGUAGUCAACUCCUUGAACUUGUGAAAAACCCUUUGCCACAAGUCGAGCUUUAUAAACGGUCACAUUGCCGUCAGCGUCCGUCUUCCUCUUAAAGAUCCAUUUGUUCUGAAUAGCCUUGCGGCCCUCAGGCAGUACUUCCAAAGUCCAUACUUUGUUCUCAUACAUGGAUCCUAUCUCGGACUUCAUGGCUUCUAGCCAUUUGUUGGAAUCUGGGCCCACCAUUGCUUCUUCAUAAUUUGCAGGUUCAUUGUUGUCUAACAACAUGAUUGAUAAGACGGGAUUACCGUACCACUCUGGAGCAGCACGUGGUCUCGUCGACCUGCGUGGUUCGACAGAAACUUGAACCGGAGUUUCAUGCUGAUCAUCAUUAACUUCCUCCUCAACCGGCGUCGCAACGACAGAGGUUUCCCCUUGCCCUACGCCACCAUCCAGAGGGAUGAGAGGUUCGACAACCUCGUCAAGUUCUAUCUUCCUCCCACUCAAUUCUCUUGAUAGAAACUCCUUCUCGAGAAAAGCUCCGUUUUUAGCUACAAACACUUUGCCCUCGGAUUUGAGAACAAGCUGAAAUUCUAUUGAAUAAUAUCUUGAGCAAUGAUAAUGCUUGGACUAUUCCCGAGCCACCUCCGAAGCCAACUCCGAAGAAAAGAAGUAUUCUAUUCCUCAUUCCUGAAGAUAUGCAAGAAGCCAAAGAAAUCUAAUGCAAGAGAAAGGUAUUAAAAUCUGAAGAUGUUAAGAAUCUACCACCUGUCGAAGAAAUACAUGGUCUUGAUAANNNNNNNNNNNNNNNNNNNNNNNNNNNNNNNNNNNNNNNNNNNNNNNNNNNNNNNNNNNNNNNNNNNNNNNNNNNNNNNNNNNNNNNNNNNNNNNNNNNNACUCGCCAGGCCACGCCUCCUGCCCCCCUACCGCACCCUUCCCUCGCCCACCUUCCCAUCGCCUCGCAGCCACCCCACACUCGCUCGCACCCCCACCCUCGCCCACCUACACCUCCCAGCACCAUCGCACGAGCCCCGUGUUUCUCCCCAGGGCCUUCCCAUCUCUCCCUCGCCCCCUCGCUCCCUCCCAGGAGCCCCCCUCUCCUCCAUCGCCCCCCUCCCAGGAGAUCCCUCCCCUCGCCGGAGUGCCUCUCCACCCUCGCUGGAGCAGCCACCGGAGCUCUUAGCCUCCUGUGUCCACGGUGAGAUCCCCUCCCUCCUCUAGUUUUCUUUUUUUUUGUUUUUCCACCGUAGGAUCUUAGAUCAAUGGGUUAGAUUAGAUCCAGCAUACCCCUUCGGUUCUUUUAAAAGAACCAGUGGUUUUUCCUUAUUAGUAAGUUUAGCCGAAGUGGUUUCUUAUAUAGCGGCCGUCCGUUGUUUAGCAUAUGCAACACACACCCGACAACCAAUCAGAUCUCGCCACGUCGCCGUUUUCGUUUUUAGAUUAAUUCCGUACCAGAUUUAGUUCCGUUCUUGUUUAGGUUAUAACUUUUGAUCUAGAAGUACAAUGAUGCUGAUUUAUUUUGCGUUAGAUCAAAAUUUUCUUGUAGUUUACGAAAAUAUAUAAUGUGUCUAUGUUUGGAUUUAUAAAAAUUGAGUUAGAUCAGAUUUGAAUUAAACCUUGUUUUGCUUAUUCUGGGAGUUUAAAAAUAGAUUUUUAAUAAUUCUUUUUGCUACUGAUCACUAGUGAUCUUAUUUAUCAGUGGUAAAAAUUUCAGAAUUGUUUGAGUAUUUUAGCUCAUUGUUUCUUGUGAAACAGUUUCUGUUUCACUUCUUUUAGAAUUAUGACUAUAUUUCUUUCUUUAGUUGUUUUUAAAUUAUUUUUUCUUUUAUAUUUCAGAAAGAUUAUGUUUUGUUUCUGUUAGUUAACAGUAGGUUUGCAACAAGUUUUGAUUUUAUUUUUAUAUGUUAUCAUGAAAUCAAUUCUAGUUCUCUAAUAACUUGCAAUUGGUUUCUCUAGUGUUUCAAAUCCCGUUUGGAAAUACUUUCAAAUAGUUUUGUGAAAAAUACUCUAUCUUGGUUAAAUUUAUAUCUUAGUUCUCUGUUAUUUAAUGUUUUAUUUUCAGUUAGAACAAAAAAAAGUUAUUUAGUGUUUGAUGUAGUAGAGGACUCCUAGUUUUAGUUGAAGUUUCUUUCGGAUUCUUAUUCGCUCUCUCCUUUGUUUUAAUUGCUAGAAUGAUUGCUAGUAUGAGUGCUUACGUGAAUGAUAUGGUUGUUAUAUAGAUUUCAUCGGAGAGUGACGAGUAGUCUAUCAAGUUAUUCCUCGAGAACGAAAAUUCUUCUUCGUCAACAUCACCAGGCAAGUCACUUUGAUCAUACUAUCCCCUAUGUUUUUUCUAUGCAUGGUAGUUCCACCUUCCUAUACCAAAUUGCAUGUUGAGUAGGUACUUGGAAAUUUUGGUUACAUAUUGUAGUAUCAUGUGGUAGGCACCCAACAACCCCGUUAUUUGGCCCGGGACCACAAAUUUCAUAUUGCUAUGCUUGAGUAGACGAGAUUGUGGUUGAGAGUUUAUCACGAGUGAUGCGAGAAUAAAUUAAUAACCAAGACCGGUCAAGUCAAGACUUUUCAAGACCUCGUGAUGCAAUGCAACUCUGGGUGAAGGACUGUUGAUCGGCUCCCUGGAGAAACCAGUGGAUGACCCGGGAUGCUGGAGACGUGCCAUGACAUCUUGCGGAAAGCUUCACCCAGGCUCAAAGAGACGGACGGAUAUUUUCAAGACCCAAGGCUUACCUGCACAACCACAAGUCAUUAUGGGCUCUGGCUUGGUUGGACAACGCGACGACUCUGGACAGGCGGUCCCAGCAGAUGUAGAAGAACGGUAGGAUUUGGAUGGGCACCGUCAGGGAUUCAGAGGGACCCGUUGAAAGACCAUGUUUUGAUCAUCCGGUCUUCGAACACCCUGAAGUGCGAGGACAUACACGAAGGCGAUCAAAUCUUGUGGGGAACGUGUGCAAAACUCUGCAGAGUACUCAAACCUAAUCGAUUAGCCGUGUCCACGGUCAUGGACAACUUGAGCCAAAGGAACUGAAGUUAUUUGGAAUUCUCAACACCAUUAUAUAUAUUUGAUAUGGGUAAUAUUGAUAACUUGGGUAUGAGAACUGGUUGGCGGAACCAUCUCAUUAACAACCAACCUCGUAGUAAUAUUUUACUUUUAGCCCCUCUUGUUGUAGGAGAAAAUUUGCUUUACGCUAAAACUUACAACACCACCUGCCAUAUAUGCAUAUAGUAUAGAUGAUAUUUUACCCCCUCUCAUAUGUGACUUGCCGGCAUAUUCAAUAUGCUGACCUACACGGCUGCAACGUCUUAUGUUGCUGAUAUUUUUCUUCGACGAGUAAGAGUACGAUUCAGGGUUACGGUCUACACUCAACUUGCCGUUGGUGUUUAUUGGGACUCCACUCCCUUGAUUGCUUCCGGUGAGAUAUUUAAGCUAUAUAUCAGUUUUACGCUAUUUCCAUGUGAUUGCACUUUGAUAUAUACAUUGAUGUACUAUGUGUGCCAGCAUACUGGUCCAGGGAUGGCAUAGAUACACAGAGGCUUGACUCGUUUUGAGUCGGGUCGCUACAGAAAUGGUAUCAGAGCACAUAUUGACUGUAGGACGUGACCCUAGAAACUGGAAAUUUCUUAGGAAAGGAUCUCUCUAAAAUUUUAUUUCCAAGAACAACUUUUACUUCUCAUCUCUUCUGAUUUCAUCAAACGUUCUCUCUCACCUGAAAUAGUUAGACAAUGCCCUUUCCCCUUUGACCACGUGAAGGAUCAACCGACUCCCACUUCAAAGUAAAGAGGAUUUCAUCAUGCAGUUAAAGCUACACCAAUUGAAGACUCUCAAGACCCGAAGAACUCGAAGACCCCGAAACGUUCCAAUGUUUAUUAGAAGUCCAAACCCCAAUUAUAUACCCAUGUUAGUUAUGAUGAUUUGUGAGCCGUCAUUGGUGUGUGUUUUCCGACGGCCACAACUAAAACCUAUUCUCAAAAAUACUUUUUGUAUUGUGUUAUCUCCCUCUCUCUUACCCGUCUCAUCCCCAAAACCUCAACCCUACCAGAUGGAGUAUGAAGCUGGACUUGUAGUCUCUGGAUCAAUGACCCAGCUGGAGGCUGAUAUAUGGAUUCAAAACAUGGAGAACCACUUCGGGAGCAACUUGAUCUCAAGGAAGUAUGAAGUGGAACACGCUCUUCAGUACUUUACACAAAGUUCUGCAAUCUGGUGGAAAAUGUAUCAUGCCAUACAAGGAUUUAGUGGAGCAGAAACCUGGGACAAAUUCAAGAAGACUUUGUUAAGAUCCCGUCUUAUUCAAAAGUGCUAUGAUAAUCCGAAGGAUAAGACUUGUGCAUGCAAGAUCUGUGGAGAAAUAGGACACACCCAGGAAGAACACAAGGCUGGAUGCACUCAUUGUGAAGAAAAUCACCCAGCUGAGAAGUGCCCAAGUAGUCAGGUGACUAGUUUCCUUUGUGAAGGAACCAACCACUAUCCAACUCAGUGUCACAUUUACCCCAAGGUACAACAAGUUGUCCAGCAGCAGAAACAAGCAAUGAAGGAAACACUCAAGAAGAAGAUUCUAGAAGAGCCGGUGAUGAACGAAAAUAUUGAAGACCCUGAUGGACAAGGUCUGACCAGAUUUUUCUCCAAUGCAUGCUACUCAUGUGGAGGAGAAGGACAUUAUUCACACGAUUGCACUAAGGGAAGCCAAGAGUAUCUGGGAAACUUCCCGACGGAAAAAGUGGAGUUUGAUCCACUUGAAAUAGAAGAACUUGCCAAGAUAAAGGAGUCCGGAAAGAAAAAGAGGUACCCUCGGAAGAGCCAAAUCUCUGCAGAUAUAGACCUGAGUCAUGUCAGAUGUUACAAGUGUAUGGAAUUUGGCCACCACAAAUACAUGUGCUCAGGAAGGAAGCCGGAACCCCAAGGAGCAAAAGCAAACACUAAGACGCCUCGAGACUUGUCAGAACUCAUUUGCUUUCGUUGCAAGGAAGCAAGACAUUUUGCUAACGAUUGUCCACAAAGGAAGAAAGCUAAAAAGGAGUAGUUAAGUUUUGACCGCGACAAUUAGUGUAAUCUGAAGAACUCUUGUUUUUCAUGAGAUCAUGGAGUGAAAUUUUUGUAACAGAAGUCCCUGAGAUUGUAAUAACAUCAUGAAUUAAUGGAAUUUAUUGUCUCAUGAUUGCCUAUGUUGAAACUGUAGGCGUUGUUUCUCUUCGAACAAAGAUCUAUGAACAAUUAUGAGGAUAUGAGAAAAUAUGGUCUAUGCAGGCAUGAGUAUAAUUUAUUUUAAGUGUGGUAGUAAUCGGUAAACCCACAGGAUCCACUGAGUAGGAAUGUACCAUAACUACCAAGGAGACAUAUACAUUCCUCUCAGUACCUAUUUACUGACACCUGCAGAUGACAACUCUCUACGAGUCAUUCCUCAAGGGCCCAGAAACGAUCAUGACCCUGACCAGUGAUCAUAAUUACCCGAAAAUCUUGAAGGACAUGAUGAAGCACAUUCAUCUUGAAGGAGAUGCAGUCUACAAAGGCUACCCAUUCAUGGAAAGUGGAGUAGAACUUUGGUAUGUGGAAGUACACCUCCACCAUGUGAAAGGAGUUUGUCCAAAGACUAUGGGGCAAUACUUUUUCAUUUCACGUGUACCACAAGCAACCUUCUUUGAUGCUGUUCGUGAAGCUGCCAUGGAAGCCAUACGCCAAAUUAGAGAAAUACUUGAAGCAAGACUCCGUCAUACCCAAGAAUACCUGAGUGAAGUGCAUGCGGAGAUGAUGGAGAUGAAGCUCAUGGCCACCAUGAUGAAGCAAAAGAUGGAUGAUUUCAAUGAGCACAUUGGAAAGUUCCAGUGGAACUAAAGUACCCCCAAGAGAGACGAAUGAAUAAGGUUGGCAGAAAUGCUCGACCAUACUGAACAAUGUGGAUGGCAGCAUUUGUAAUAGAGUACUUUUGAAUUGGAGUUUUUGAUAAGAAAUUAAGGAUGUAAUAAAGGAUUGAUUAUGAAAUGAAUAUGAUUUAUGGAUGAACCAAUACCUUUUCAAGGUAAACACACCAAUGGAAAGUAUCCCACAGAAUGGAGUGUGUACCAAAAAUAAGUCCGAGGAUUAUUAUUAUAUGAUGGUUACCCCAAGAAUAGGAUGGAAUGAAACACUAGGGAAUUUAAAGGUGUAGUAAUUCCAAGUAUGUCUGUAACCCACAGACCCCGGGACUAAUACGGAUCUAGCACCACCUUUAUGAAGAAAGAAACUUGGAAGAAACUAUGAUGGAUCAACAAAAGUUUUCUUAGGAACAUACGAAAACCUGAGAGUUGUGAAAAUACGAUAGAUGUUUCGUUCAGCUUGCAGAACCAAUGGUUUAUCCGAACUUCGUUCAUGGACAAGAGAAACUCUGCAACGCUUGUGAGGAUGCCCAAGUGUUAGAAUACGAGAUUCACUAAGCCUUAUACAAGGUAAUGAUUUCAGUGCGACAUGGCUUGGCCACCAUGAUGACUUACUAUUAUCAUUCUCUUGCUAUUCGGAAUGGUAAAUCUGAGAGACUUAACCAUAGUGAGAGACGACACUCUUUGAAGCUUUUGUUUAAGCCUUAGAAUGGUAUAAUGAAAGCCCCAUGUACAUGGCAUUUGUUGUCACGCGUAGGAAAUUUUACGGUGAGGAUGAAGACAAGACCCCUCUCUCUGCAGGAUAGCCACAAAUGGUAGACCACCAUGAGAAUCAUCGAUAGGUUAUUUAGAAUUGAUCACGAGACUGUCAGAUAAGAAGACCCAGUAAAGGAAGAAGCUUAUAUCAACAGAAGAACCCUCGAUUUUGAUGGAAACAUUAUGAAUAUAACGGAAGAGGAUCACCAAAGGAGUUAGUAUGAAGACUGUGAGGAGUCAGAUGCCAAAAAAAACCCAGAGGAUGGUUAAAAUCUUAAGGGACCAGUAGCCCUCAUUUUAAGUGUGCUAGCAUACCGCUUUGCCGGAGUUUGGAUUUGUUAGAAGACCCCCAAACCCUAACCUUUCUUUCUAGCCCUUCCGAAUCUCGAGGACGAGAUUCAUUUUAAGUGUGGUACGUUUGUAACAUCCCAAAUUUUGGAAUGUUAAUAAAAUUAUUAGAUUGAUUGUUCGUUUGUUUGUGUGAUUGAAACUUGAGUGAAAUUUGAAACUUUUCAAAAACAUUUGAAUGAGAGGGAAUAAAAUGACUUUCCCCUUCUCCAGUAAAUUCAAAUUCAAUCAUUUAAAAACAAAGAGAGAAGAUGACAUGACUUCUUCAACUAUAAAGAAUUUGAACGGAGUUUUGCAAUUGAAUUCUUUCAAAUAUUUGCCCUUGCUUCUCUAUUUUUCUUCCCCGAGAAAUACCCCGAAAAUAAUUCUUGCCAAGCAAGAAAGAGAGGAGGAACAUGACCCUCCAAACCGGGGAUAUUCCUUUGAAAUAUUUGGACCAUAAAACCCAAGGUUUAUUUGAAAAAUAUUUGCAAAAAGAAAAUAAACCAAUUUAGGGAUUUUCUAAAAAAACAUUUUUUUUCUGAAGUAUUUAUUUUGGUAGUGGAAAAAUGCCCAUCUUUUUGGAUUUAUUUUUCUGAAAAUUCUAAUAUAUUAUACCCCUAUAUCCCGAGGAAUAUUCCAUUUACUUUUAAUAGUUUUAAUUCCGUUUUAAUAAACAUGGAAAUAGAUCUUUAUUUUAGGGAAGUCCGUGGGCCAUAUUAGGAAUGUCAUGUGGCCCAAUUCCACCUUCCUUCUUCUUCCUCACGUUCAUUCCUUCUGUAGCCAUGGCAGAAACUUCUAGGAAGCUUCCCCUUCGGGAUUCACGAGCUUAUUUCCCUCCCGGCGCCUCCCACCACCCCUAUAAGAACCCCCUCGGCCUCAUCUUACCAUUCCCCUAAAAAAAUCUCCGUUCGCUCGCCCGACGCCACCACCCCCACUCGCCGGACUUCCUUGUACGGAGCCGAAGCUUCCUGGAGCUCCCGACGACCUCCCCAUCGCCAGGCCACGCCUCUGCCCCCCCUGUGCACCCCUUCUCCUCGCCCCACCCCUUCCCCACUCGCCCUCGCAGCCACCCCACCCUUGCUGCACCCCCACCCUCGCCCACUGCACCUCCCAGCACCAUUGCAGGAGCCCCCUGUUUCUCCCCACGGGCCUCCCCACUCCUCCUCCCUUCGCCCCCUCCGCCCCCUCCCUACGGACGCCCCCCUCCUCCCUCCACCCGGCCCCCGUCCCCACGGACGNUCUCCNCCCUCGCCGCGUCGCCUCCUCCANNNNNNNNNNNNNNNNNNNNNNNNNNNNNNNNNNNNNNNNNNNNNNNNNNNNNNNNNNNNNNNNNNNNNNNNNNNNNNNNNNNNNNNNNNNNNNNNNNNNUGCCACAUGCAAAUUUACUUGGGAACGGACGAGGUAAGUACCGGCAGUAUAGGUAGGGUAUGGGUGGACUCAUAUUGGGAACAACUUUGGGGUUGAUGGGAAAGUGGAUGCACAAGCAGUAUUCCCGCUUAGUACAAGUGAAGGCCUAGCAAAAGACUAGGAAGCGACCAACUAGAGAGCGACAACAGUCAUCAAUAUGUCAUUGAAAUUAACCAACAUUAGAGUAGACUAAGCAUGAGUAGGACAUAAAUCACCAAUAAACAUGAAUAUCAUAUAGGCUAUGUUUGAUUUUGUUUCAACUACAUGCACUAAACAUGUGCCAAGUCAAGUCCUACUUGGAAUCAUUCCAAAAGGGAGGAUACCAUCCUAAUCAUACUACAUCAUAAUCAUCUUGAAUUCAUGUUGGCAUCCAAGACAAACCAUUAUAAGCUCUUAGCUAAUUAAGCAUGACAUCAGAAACUAUCGAUCUUCUAAGUUGUCUAUUGCCAAAAACUACUUAGGUUUUUCCUCUUAACAAGUUAAACCUAAAAACGGUAACCUUAAAAAUUUUACCGUAGGUUAACCGGAACUUUCCGGGAANNNNNNNNNNNNNNNNNNNNNNNNNNNNNNNNNNNNNNNNNNNNNNNNNNNNNNNNNNNNNNNNNNNNNNNNNNNNNNNNNNNNNNNNNNNNNNNNNNNNUUACUAAUAAGGAAAACCGCCAGUUCUUUUAAAAGAACCGAAGGGGUAUGCUGGAUCUAAUCUAACCCAUUGAUCUAAGAUCCUACAGUGGAAAAACAAAAAAAACAAAAACUAGAGGAGGGAGGGGAUCUCACCGUGGACACAGGAGGCUGGGAGCUCCGGUGGCUGCUCCGGCGAGGGUGGAGAGGCACUCCGGCGAGGGGAGAGAUCUCCUGGGAGGGGGCCGGUGGAGGAGGAGGGGGGGCUCCGUAGGAGGGGGCGAGGGGGGCAAGGGAGAGAUGGGGAGGCCCUGGGGAGAAACRRGGGGGCUCCGUGCAAUGGYGCUGGGAGGUGCAGGUGGGCGAGGGUGGGGGUGCGAGCGAAGGGUGGGGGUGGCUGCGAGGGCGAGUGGGGAAGGGGUGGGGCGAGGAGAAGGGGUGCGACGAGGGGGGGGCAGGAGGCGUGGCCUGGCGAGUGGGGAGGUCGUCGGGAGCGUCCGAGGAAGCGUUCGGCUCCGUACAAGGAAGUCCGGCGAGUGGGGGUGGUGGCGUCGGGCGAGCGAACGGNNNNNNNNNNNNNNNNNNNNNNNNNNNNNNNNNNNNNNNNNNNNNNNNNNNNNNNNNNNNNNNNNNNNNNNNNNNNNNNNNNNNNNNNNNNNNNNNNNNNCUCGGAACUUGGACGCGCCUAAACUGCACUAGNACNUAAAACUGUCGCUCCUAUAGAAUCAAUUUUUUUAGCAGAUGCAUUCGUGUUUAGACCAUGGAAGGAAACAAGGUAAUCGUGUUAAACGCAAAGGGGUUCUGAAUUGAGCAAUAUGCUCGUGAUGUGGAGAGAACGGAAGCAGAGCUAGAGACUUCUUGCUUUCAAAGCGAUCGGCGAUUGGUUCAUGGUAAUUGUUGGUUCGUGUCUCGUCUUUUUCCCGUACCGUCGUUGGCCUACCUUAUUUAAGGGAGCUAGCUUAAUUCACGCCAACUGUGUAUCAACAACACGCCUAACCACGUCAGACUGAUGACAGGUAUUAGAAACUAAGUGUUUAGUUAUGACUUAUGGCUUGCCGGCGGGGCGUAUGUAUUAAUGAUACUACCUUCAAAGUUUCAAACUACUUUACGACCAGGACCCCCGAUUGAAACUUGGAAAAUACUUCACUGGCAUCUCAAAACUGGAAGAGGACGGCAACUUGACUUUUCAGCCAACAGAAUUUUCAUAUGAAUAGGAUGACAAGUUUUUUCAUAACGAAUAUAAGAGUAAGAAAUUAUAGGUUUACCAUUUUUAGGGGUGAUGCCAAUUUUGCCUCUGCGACCUACCUCACAACAGCACGAACAAAUCGUUCCCUGGGAACGUUCCUAUCGAGUGAACAAAAUCGUAUAGGGAAAUCCCCCACACAGCGCCCCCCCCCCCAUCCCCCUCCCGUACCGACCGAAACGUUAACUACGUACCGUACUAACUACGUCGACGURCCGUWAACCKUACGGCGUANNNNNNNNNNNNNNNNNNNNNNNNNNNNNNNNNNNNNNNNNNNNNNNNNNNNNNNNNNNNNNNNNNNNNNNNNNNNNNNNNNNNNNNNNNNNNNNNNNNNUUGAUCCAUACUAAGUCAAGAANACCUUUGGAGAUACCUGUANAGCAUCUUUAUAGUNUCCCAGUUACGUUGCGACGUUUGAUACACACAAAGUAUUCCUCCGGUGUUAGUGAGUUAUAUGAUCUCAUGGUCAUAGGAACAAAUACUUGACACACAGAAAACAGUAGCAACAAAAUGACACGAUCAACAUGCUACGUCUAUUAGUUUGGGUCUAGUCCAUCACGUGAUUCUCCUAAUGACGUGAUCCAGUUAUCAAGCAACAACACCUUGUUCAUAAUCAGAAGACACUGACUAUCUUUGAUCAACUGGCUAGAUAACUAGAGGCUUGCUAGGGAGUGUUUUGUCUAUGUAUCCACACAUGUAAAUGAGUCUUCAUUCAAUACAAUUAUAGCAUGGAUAAUAAACGAUUAUCUUGAUACAGGAAUUAUAAUAAUAACUAUAUUUAUUAUUGCCUCUAGGGCAUAAUUCCAACAGGCAGCGGGGUCCAAAAUGAAACUACGGGAUAUUANNNNNNNNNNNNNNNNNNNNNNNNNNNNNNNNNNNNNNNNNNNNNNNNNNNNNNNNNNNNNNNNNNNNNNNNNNNNNNNNNNNNNNNNNNNNNNNNNNNNUUUUUAUUCUCUUGCUGUUUUCAAUAAAAUGAACAAUUAUACCUCUGGUUAGAUGUGUUUUUGUGGUUUAAAUUAGUGUUUGUGCCAAGCAAGGCCUUUGGGAUGAUUUGGAUGAAAGUUGAUUUGAUCUUGCUGAAAAACAGAAACUUUUGUACUCACACAAUUAUGUUUCAUUUUUAACAGAAGAGUGUUUUUGAGUUGAUUAUUUUUUCAUCAGAUUAACAAACAAAUUAUUCACGUCAUCCUAAUGUUUCAGAAUCUUUGGAGUUACAUAAGUAUUCGAAGUAGUCAGAUUGCUACAGACUGUUCUGUUUUUGACAGAUUCUGUUUUCUUUGCGUUGUGUGCUUAUUUUCAUGAUUCUAUGGUUUUCUUUGAUUAGUUUUUUCCAUAGAAAAGUUGGAAUACACUAUAUAUAAUGCAAAAAUAAAAUAUGAAUAGGUUUGCAAGAGUACUUAUAGUAGUGGUUUGCUUUCUUAUCAUAACGGAUCCCACGAAGGUUUUGUUGAGUUUUGUGUGAUUGAAGUUUUCAAGUUUUGGGUGAUCUUACGGUGGAUGAAGGAAUAAGGAUUAGAAAAAGUCUAAGCUUGGGGAUUCCCGAGGCACCUCAAUAAAAUAUUCAAGAAGUAGCAAGCAACUAAGCUUGGGGAUGCCCCCGAGUGGCAUCCUCUCUUUCUUCUAACAACCAUCGGUAUUUGACUUGAAACUAUAUUUUUAUUCGUCACAUAUUAUGAGUUUUGCUUGGAGGGUCUUGUAUAAUAUUAGUCUUUGCUUGUUUUUCUUUGUGUUUUAAGUCAUCAAUGCUUGCUCGACACACCUUUUUUAGAGAGCCAAAAAGUAUGCUAUGCUUGCUCCUAUGCUUCACUUAAAUUUUUAGAGCCAUGGAUUUGCUCUAGUACUUCACUUAUAUCUUUUUGAGAACGGUGUUCUUUGUUAUUUUUGAAGAAAUGCUCUCAUCCUUCACUUAGAUUUAUUUGGUAGUUAGUAAAAAAAUUAAGAAAUUCUCUCUUUCUUCACUUAGAUUAUUUUGAGAGAAAUAAAAAUUAUGCUCAUGUUCUUCACUUAAAUUUGUUUGAGCUUAUCAAAAGCAACAUAUGAGAAUAGUCCCAAAGUGAUAGAUAUCCAAGGGGGCUAUAAAAAAACUUUCAUGAAGAUCAUUGGACAAAAUAAACUUGAUUCUUAGUAAUGGUUUUGAGAUAUGACGAUAUAAUAUGUGAGUCAUGUUGAUGAGUAAUUGUGCUUUAGUACGAAUAUUGAUGUUAAGGUUUGUGAUUACCUUUGAAAGCACGAAAGUCAAUAGUCAAGCAAUGAAAUUUAUAUCCUACUUGUGGUGUAUUAUUCGGUGUUACUUAUGCUUGAUGCUUGGGUACGCGAUUUUUCGUUUCUUGGUUGGUCGCUUCUCAAUCUUUUUGCUAGCCUUCAUUUUGCACUAAGUAUGAUCACUACUUGUGCAUCAAAAACCCUUUAAACCAGUUUUGCCAUAUGAGUCCAUUAUACCUACCUAUGUGCGGUAUUUCAAUUCCGUUCUAAGCAAAUUUGCAUGUGCCAUCUCUAAUUUUCAAAAUAAAUCUCUCUUUUGUGUGCACUACCGCUCGCGAGGCGGUGAGGGAUGGCCAAUAUUUUCCAUGCUAGAUGUGUUAUUCUCACGAUGGGUGUUUAUUCACUUGUCAUUGCACGAGAGUAUGACAAGGUAUUAGGGAUGUCGAGUCCCUAAAUGAAAAAAAUUGAAUUUACCUUUUGUUGUCAAAUAAUAAAUUCCUUGGAAAGUGUUGGUAUGGAGGGCACCCGUGGAUACACACAAGCCAUGGAAAGUGAAAGUAAUGAUGGAAAAAGAAAUAGACUUUAUUUUCUGUUCGGGAACCGCCUAUGAUGUAUCUAGCAUGGAAAGUGUUGGGAGAUCUAAGUCGUUUUCGUUGGUGGGAAAAGUAUGCCUCCCAAAAUGUUUUAAUCUCUCAAUUUUCGCUUUGAGAUCUAGCACCUCUACAAAUCCCUACUUCCCUCUGCGAAGGGCCUUUCUUUUACUUAUGCAAUUUUUAUUUCGAAUUUGAGUAUCCAUCUUCUCUCAUAAAGCACCAACUAAGGGGCACUAUGAUCAUAUUUGAGUAUUGGGUGUAGCUAAUAUUCGAGUGUGUUUCAUGAAUGGAUCAAUGAUUGAGCACAAUGGGCUAGGGAUAACUUGCAGUGUCGAUAUUUUGAAAGACAUGGUUGUUUGUUGGUAUGCUUGAGUAUUGAAGUCUUCAUGUCAAAACUAGACUAUUCCUUUGAACCAUAUAAAAGUCCAAAUGUCCAUGCUAUAAAGAAAAGAAAUGUGAUGAACAUGUUAGGUAGCAUUCCACAUCAAAAAAAUUCUUUUUAUCAUUUGCCUACUCGAGGACAAGCAGGAAUUAAGCUUUGGGAUGUUGAUACGUCUCCAACGUAUCUACAUUUUUUGAUUGUUUCAUGCUGUUAUAUUAUCAUUCUUGGAUGUUUUACAAUCAUUUUAUAGUCAUUGUAUAGCAUUUUUUGGUACUAACCUAUUGACAUAGUGCCUAGUGCCAGUUGCUAUUUUCUGCAUGUUUUUUACAUUGCAGGAAAUCAAUAAAAAAUGGAGUCCAAACGCAGAAAAACUUUUUGUGCAAUUUUUUUGUGCCAGAAGACAUCCAGUGGGCCAAGAAUGCACCUGAGGGGAGAUCCGAUGGGAGCACAACCCACCAGGGCGCGCCCCAGUGGGUUGUGCCCUCCUCGUUGGACUCCUGCACCGCCUCUUUGCUCUAUAAAUACCCUAAUAUUCCAGAAACCCUAGGGAGGGGGGGUGAAAAAUCAAUUCCACCCGCCGCAGAGUCUAGAAACACCAGAUCCAAUCUAGACACCAUCACGGAGGGGUUCAUCAUGUCCAUUGGUGCCUCUCCGAUGAUGCAUGAGUAGUUCUUUGUAGACCUACAGGGUCCGUAGUUAGUAGCUAGGGGGGGGGGGGGGGGGGCUCUUGAUUAUCAAUACAAUGGUCUCUUGGAGAUCCAUAUGAUGUAAGUCUUUUUGCGGUGUGUUUGUUGGGAUCCGAUGAACUUUGAGUUUAUGAUCAGAUCUAUGUUUUUAUCCAUGAAAGUUAUUUGAGUCUUCUUUGAUCUCUUAUAUGUGUGAUUGAUUAUAGCCUCGUAUAUCUUCUCUCAUAUUUGGGUUUUGUUUUGCCAACUUGAUCUAUUUAUCUUGCAAUGGUAAGAGGUGUUUUGUGAUGGGUUCGCUCUUACGGUGCUUGAUCCUAGUGACAGAAAGGGAAACGACACGUAUGUAUCGUUGCUAUUAAGGAUAACAAGAUGGGGUCUAUUUCUAUAUAAAUAGAUCUUGUCUACAUCAUGUCAUUGUUCUUAUUGCAUUACUCCGUUUUCCAUGAACUUAAUAUACUAGAUGCAUGCUGGAUAGCGGUCGAUGUGUGGAGUAAUAGUAGUAGAUGCAGGCAGGAGUCGGUCUACUAAUCUUGGACAUGAUGCCUAUAUAAUGAUCAUUGCCUGGAUAUCGUCAUGAUUAUUUGAAGUUCUAUCAAUUGCCCAACAGUAGUUGUUUUCCCACCGUUUGCUUUUUUUCUUGAGCGAAGCCACUAGUGAAACCUACGACCCUCGGGUCUCUUUUCAUCAUAUUUCUCUUUGCAAUCUAUUUUCCUUUACUUUUAUUUUCAGAUCUAUUAAACCAAAAAUACAAAAGUACCUUUCUGUAAUUUAUUUCUUCCGUCAUCUAUUUAUCCUAUCUACUACUUUUACCUCACGUUAUUUGUCUAUCUUGAGACACCGUACCCGAAAGGGAUUGACAACCCCUUUAACACGUGGGUUGCCAGUAUUUGUUAUUUGUGUGCAGGUGCUAUUUAAGUGGUGUGAGGAGGUUCUCCUACUGGUUCAAUAACCUUGGUCUCAUUACUGAGGGAAAUACCUAUCGUCGCUAUACUCAAUCACCCCUUCCUCUUUGGGGAAAUAUCGACGUAGUUCUAGCACAUAUCAACGGACAGAAAUAUAUUUUCCUAGAUCUGAUUAUGCAAAUAUAUUCCCCCUAUUGCACCAAUUGGUGUGCUGGCAUUUUUUGAGGAUUAGAGCAUGCCCAAAAAGUUUGGGACCAAUUGAGGAAACUUGACAAUGCAAAAAAAUUCAAUUCUAGAAAUCGUCAAAAAUGGAUAUUGGGGGAUUUGGACAAGUGGAUUUGUUCUCCUUGUAGCACCACUUGGCAUGGAUGCAUUACUAGGGUAUUAGAACAUGUCCAUAAUGUUUGGGUAUAAUUGGAGAAACUUGGCAAUGUAAACUUCUCCAAGUUUGGACCUGGGUAGAGAUAGUUUUGGAAUAUUUUGGUGAAUCAAAUCAAUUUGGAUUGAGAUGAAACUUGGCAAGGUCACCAUAUAUAUCAUGUGUGACUUGCUAGAAUUUUCAUGGAAUUAUUUCAGAAUAUUUCUUAUAGAAAUAUUCCAAAUACUUGAAAUGAAGAAAUAGGGUUUUGGAGGGAUUUGUCCAAUAUUUUUAAACAUAUUCCCAAAUUGAACAUACUAAUAAAACCCACUAAUAUUAAACAGAAGGAAAAAAUAUCAUUCAAAAAUCUAUUUUAAACUAAAGUUAUUCACAAACUAGUGAUUCACACAAAUUUCAAAGAAUUCAAAUUUAAACUAUUCAAAUCUAAAUAAUACUAUCACUAACAAAAAGUUUUAAUUUUUGUGACCUAAAGCAAAAAAGAUCCACUCAAAAAUUAUAAACAUUCUAAAAGUUAUUCAAAAUCUAAAAACACAAACUGUUCUAUUUAGAAAACAAAUAAGAAAAGAAAUAAAAAAAGAAAAAGAACCCUUUAGUCCCGGUUGGUAUCACCAACCGGGACUAAAGGGCCACCUUCCAGUGUGGAAUUUAGGCCGUCAAAAAGCUGGACCUUUAGUCUCAGUUGGUGAUACCAACCGGGACUAAAGGAUCUUUACUCCCGGUUGGUGGCUGGAACCGGGACUAAAAGUCUUUUUUAUAUAAGGCCUCUGAUGUCCCGGUGCCAGCCACCGCCCGCGAGAAGUUGCAGAUCGACGCCCCCAGGCUGACCGAUCACGAUGUCGCUGCUUCGACCUCCUCCUCGCCAGUCUCCUUCAAGCCUCGCCGCCCUUCUCCACGGCAACGCCGGUAAGGCCCAACCCCUCCCCAUCAUUGUGUCCCCGUCGCGAUCCGCCGCUCGCCCCGCCAUGGCCAUGCUGCCCCGUCGCCCGCGCUCACUGUCGCAGCUGCUGCUACGCGCCUAAUGUUGCUCCAGUUUCCGCUGCUAAUUCGUCGAUGAUUGUCGUUGCCGGCGCGCGUAAUGUUGUUGUUGCUGCUAGCGCAGCCCAUGCCUGACGCCUCGCACUGUCGUAUCGCUCUCCAUCGUCGUUGCUGCGACGCCCCUAUGGCUACCCCGUCGCUACCAUUCGUCGUGCCUCGUCACGAUGGUCACGUAGGCACAAACCGCAUGCAAAGCGGUGAACGAAGGAGUCCUCGACGAUCAUCGGAGGAGUCCCCGAUGAUCGCCGAUGAAGAGUCCCCGACGAUCACUAGAGGAGUCCCCGAUGAUCGCCAGUGAAGAGUCCCCGGCGAUCGUCGGAGACGUGUCUCCGACGAUCGCCGGAGGAGUCCCCCACGAUCGCUAGUGAGUAGUCCCCGAUGAUCACCGGAGGAUUCCCCGAUAAUCACCAUGAGCAUUGUAUCCUCGGCGAUCAUCGGUGACGAGUCCUCAACGGUCGCCGAUGCCAGUGAGGAUCUCCCGACGAUCGCUGGUGAAGAGUCUCCAAUGAUCACCGGUGAGGAGUCACCGACGAUCACCAGUGUAGUCCCCGACGAUCGCCAGUGAGGAGUCCCUGACGUUUGCCGGUGAGGACCGAGUCCCCGACGAUCGCCGGUGAGGAGUCCCUGACGAUUGCCGAUGAGGACCGAGUCCCCGACGAUCGCUGGUGAGGAUCGAGUCCCCGACGAUCGAUGGUGAGGAUUCCCCGACGAUUACCGAUGAAUAGUUUUUAUAUAAAUAUGAGUAGGUGCACAAGUUUAUUAUAUAUGAGUAGCAUAAUAAAACGAAAAACUCACAUAGAAAUUUGUUUUCAUAGGAAUUUGUUCUCGAAGAAGAUGCCCGGCAUGCAUCCUCGUCGUCGACUCGGCAGUGAAAACUAGUUUGAGAGGCGACAUGUCUAGGACUGGGCUCCGCCAGGCUGGCAUUAGGAGGUGCUACCUUCCGGGGCGCGCAUCUUGGUUAGGAAUUGGGGUCUCAUCAUCGACCCAGAGCUUCUUUGAUGGCACUCGCAUGGGCCACCAUCGGUGUAGAGGGAGCCGGCCUCCAAGGAGGUGGUACGUCACCGUGUCAGGGAGGAGGCGAGCACGUGCGUUGCUACAUGGUUGCGUUGGACGUCAGGUUUCCAAUACUAGACAGUUUCUUCACGGAUCUCACCUGAGCUAUGAUCCUCUGAUGGUAUCUUCUCUUUGGGUGUUCACCAGCCCCGCAGUGCAUCGACAAUACUUUGGGUGAUCAGUUUGAUUGGGCCAGAUGUAUUAGUGAUAUUAUGUGAUACUAUUUUUUUCAUUAACUGGAUUUCUCGAGAUGUAUUAGUGAUAUUAUAUAUUGUUUCAUUAAGUAGAUUAUUCGAGAUUUAUAAGUAAAAUUUAGUCCUCCUCACCAUCGUCCCUAGACCCUCAGAUCGAUCCUCGCCGACGGCUGACUAUACUAUGAUUCAGUUUUUACUUAUUCAGUGCAUUAUAAUUUAAAAUACUAAAUUGUUUUAUCUUUCUUCUGGGUUACUUAAGCUAUGGGCGAUAGCGGAAGAUACCAUGAAUAUGACAUAUUCGACAUCAUACGCUCCUCCCCAAACCAAGAGAAUGAACGACAUGAUGGCUCAGAAUUUCUAAACGACUCUCGUGAGGGACUUGAGCAAGAACCAAGAGAAGAAGAAAAUGAUGGUGAAGAAAAUGUUAGACAAUUAACGAAGUCUGAUGAGGUAUAUAUAUAUAUUAAGCCUGGUGAUCAUGGGGGUAGCAAGAAAANAUAAUUGAUUUAUGUAUAUAUAUAUUAACGAAUCUUUCUUAUUUUAGCACUCUGGAUCGAGCCAGUCUUCUAGAAAGGUACGAGGCCGAGCCAAAAAGUUGGGCGAUGAUAUAAAGUUAAACAUCAAUUGUCACACCCCAAUUUUUGGCUUUCCUGACUAAGUAACUUAUUUCAAAAUUUAGGACCAAUUAAAAUUUUUGUGAAUGCUUGUGAUGCUUGGAGUGACUAUUGUCUGUCUGUUUGUUUUGCAUGUGAUUGAUCCCCAUUAAUUCUUGCCACUCUCCUAAUCAUCUUCUCAUCCCAUGAUCUGCUGCCUAAUGAUCAUGUCAUGUGAUUAGGAAAAAUAUCUGUUUUACCAAAUAUUAUUUUCACCAAAAAGCUUUUCUUUGAAUUAAACCUUCAAACCCCUGAAAUGAGGUUUGUACUACAAGUCCUCAAAUUAGGGAGUUUCUUUUGCACCAAUUGUUUUAUUUAAAACCUAUUAUCAAAAUGACUUCCAAAAACCAUCUUAUUAUUAUUAUAAAGGAUAUUUUAUUAUUUUAUUUACAAGCCCUUCUGUGAGGCCAGAAAUGGUCUCCUAUGAAGGAAAGUUAUUUUUAUUGCCUUCGGGGGGGGGGGGGAUUUAGGGAAACUCAGUGGAUAUAUUUAUUCCACAUUUAUGAGUUCCAACACAUGGUCAUGUUCAAAAUAUUGGGCAAACCCCUCCAAAACCAUUUCUGCCUAUUUCAAGCUUUUGGAAUAUUUCUAUAAGAAAUAUUCUCAAUAAAUUCCAGUAGAAUUCUAGCAUGUCAUCUAUGAUAUUAUUGAUGAUCUUGCCAAGUUUCAUUUCAAUCCAAGGUGAUUUGGCUCCCCUAAUCACUCUAAAACCCUAUCUGUCCAGAAUCAAAUUUGAGCAACUCUACAUUAUGAAGUAUCUCCAAUGGAGCUCCAAUUUGGUGGACAUGUUCGAGUACUCCAAUGAGGCAUCCACACCAAGUGGUACACCAAGGAGAAUAGAGGAACUUGUCCUAAAACCCUCAAAACCCUCUUUGUUGAUUUCUGACUUUGAAAAACUUUACAUUAUAAAGUUUGUCCAAUUGACCUCAAACUUUUUGUACAUGCCUUAAUGCUCAAAUAAUGCCCCUACACCAAAUAUUGGAUUUGUGGGAAUUUAAUUGAAUAGGGUUCUAAGCAGAAACCUAUUUCUGCCCCUUUCUAGGGUUUUUCAAGUCUACAUUGGAAAACUUCUCUAGCAAAUCCCAAAUUUGGUGUGCAAGCCUAUUUUCAUCUAUUAUUUGAUCCUGUUAAGUUUCAUAUCCAUUGGAAUUCAUCUGAUAGCCUAAACACAGAUCAAACACCUUGUGUGCACUCACUAAUUUGGCUUCUAUUGCCCCUUCUACUUUUACCCUUGAGCUCAACUUUCUACCACAGCCUCACAUAGUUACAUUUCACCUCCAGUAACAUUCCCAUGGACACUGGUCAAUUAUUGGAGAAGGUCCCUUUGUAACUUCCUCUCAUUUUCACCCUUGGCAGCACUGUUUUACCUCUCUUUCCAUUCUUCUGCUUAAGCUAUCAAUCCCAACUCUUUCCAGAGCAUCUAAUAUAUGCCAAGGCUUCAUUUAGAACAAAGACAUGGCAUGCUCAUGUGGAGAAAAUGAGCAACACUUCUUCAAAUAGAUUUCUGGCUGAAUCAUGGCUUUGAACAGCAAGUAGUAGCUAUACUCCUUUGUUUGAUCUGAAACUUUGCAGUCUGGUAGUCCUUCCAUGCCUAACACUGCCAGACAUAACUUCCCUCCAAGUAUCCCCACCUAGGACGCACUUUUAUCAGCUCCAAGUUUGCUGUUAGAGACUUAACAGCAGUCAAAACCCCACCUAGACAGCUCCAACUUGGUCCAGACUUCACUAGUGCAUCGUGGCAAGCAUGCCUUGCACGGUUGACAUCUUGGCCUGGCCAAGGGGUGCCCCAGGACACAGGUGACCGUGGUGACCACCNNNNNNNNNNNNNNNNNNNNNNNNNNNNNNNNNNNNNNNNNNNNNNNNNNNNNNNNNNNNNNNNNNNNNNNNNNNNNNNNNNNNNNNNNNNNNNNNNNNNUCCUGCUCCUGCUCCUGACGCGCCAUCGCUCCUCCUCCUCCUCCGUGGAUAGAUUCGGGGGACCAACCGCGACGACCCAGCUCCGCCUAAUCCGCGCAACUGGGCGCUUUGUUAAUUCCAACUAGCCCACUGAUUCGCCCAUGAGUUCGUCGCCCGGUCAGGUCUUAAAAGUUUCUGCCAUGUUCCCAUCGGACAGAUACUGCAUGCGACCUCUUGUAGUUAUCUGCCUGAGAUCACCACGGGUGUUACUUAAUUUAUUUACUGCAUAGCUGAUGUGUCUACUACACAUGGGUUAACCGGCUGGUGCCAACCCGGGCUCACGCAGUCACAACGCACCAACCCCCGAGCCGAAAUAUCUCCACAAAUGGCUGCAACGUAGACUGUGAACUGUUGCCGACGUAGACUGCAACGCGCGCGCUCGUCCUAACCGGCGUCGGAGUCUUGUCGCUCCUACCGGAGUAUCCAACAAGAGUACGGCUCAACAAUUCGCACGCGCACGUCGGCUCCAUUGAUAUGAGCACGCCACCGUGAAAGCUACUCGACUCCUCCGGGCUGGUCUCCGGCUACCCAGCGAUACAAGGCGCUUUACAGCCGAGCGGGUCGCCCACAGCGAAGCUCCAGCCGCAGCCGCAGCCGCAGCCGCCCAACAAGGUGUGUUGUGUUGCAUGGCAGCUGAUUGGAAGUUGGCAUCGCAUGUGUACUUCAAAUGCGUGUGGUCCCCAAGAGAAAAUGAACUCUUCUGAAAUAGUACAACGAUUUUUUUUUUUGGGGUCUGUCGACUAUAAAGUAAAAAAAAAGACGAUGUCUUCCUUUCUUGUUGUUGAAAAAAUCAACUAAGGUGAGAAAAAAAAAUAGUGAAAGCAUGUUGAAAUUCUGGACAAAAAAUGUGGCUUUCAUAAACUAGAAAUUUAGUAGAAAUGAACUUUGAGAAGAAGAUUUACUCAAAAAAAUAAUAGAAAAUUGGAAAAAAUGGACGGAACAUUAGGAAGAUAACAGGAAAUUCAAAUAAUAAUCAAUGCUCUAAAAUCUUGUUUACGGUUGAAUUACAAAAAUGACGGCCCAAACAAUUAUUUUGUAAUACGGGAAUUAAAAUAUUACAUUAUCAAAAUAGAUAGCAUGCAAUACAGUAGGCUUUCAACUUCUAAUAAGAAACUAGAAACAUGGAUGCAUUUUUUCCUGUUUUGGACAUACAGAAGGGUGAAAAUAGGUAGAUUUGAUCCUUUUGUAGCACUUUAGCACAAAAUAAAACAGGAUUUGAAAAUAUUUUGAAACAUUGCCCUUUUUCAUGACGCCCAGGGCUGAGGCACCAUGCUAGAUAGCAUGACGCUCUGGACAGGGGCGCUAUGUUGAAUGGCGUGACAACCCCCUCUACCGAGGGGGUCAUGCUAUAUAACAUGGCGUCCCAACCCAUAGACAUCAUGGAAAAGGGUUAAUUUUUGAAAUAUUUUUCAACGCGAUUUACUUUGUGCGAAAGUUUGAGAAAAGGGUCAACUCUGUACAUUUUCACUUACGCAAGAGAGAACCCGUUGGCAGCACCAUCGUUCUACCUCGUUCCGAUGUAAACAGAUGGAAUCGGUUCGGAUAAUGCUUUUACCAUAUCCCUUAUCAUAUUUUUAGGUCGGAUUCGGAGCGGAGCGAAUAAUAACCGGAUGCGGAUUCGAAUGCGGAUUACAUCGGACCAAGGAUUCGGAUCGGGUGCGAACUGGAUUCGGACAGAUAACGGACAAAAAAAUUCGAAGGAUACGUGUAAAAAGACAUGAUUUAUUUCUAUUAUGCUACAAUGUGAAAAUAUGUAUCCAUGCAAGCGCAUAACACUGGUGUUUUUAAGCUAUAACUCCCAUGAUAUAGUAACAAUAUGUAGUAUCGAUAAAUUCAUUUUGUUUUGUAGUCUGUUAAGAUGAAGUCUGCUCUAUUCGACUACUACAAAUUAACUUGAGUUCAUACUUGUACGUGACUGCAUACGUGGAAGAAGGAACCACUACUGUGUUCAUACUUGUUUAUACUCAGAAAUCCUAUAUGUAUAUGUAAGCAAACCACCGUGUAGAUGCAUCACCUGCAUACAUGUACGCAAUCACACACCUAUGUCCGAUGCGCUCCAGCGUAUAUGUACGUACGACAUCUAUUUAUAUGUGGUGAUUUUUAUUAAUGGCCCACGUGGGCAUUUGUUCUUCUCAAAUGGGCUAAAUUUAUCGAAUAAUCCUAUUUGACAACCGCGGACAAUCCGUAAAAAAUACCAGAUAAUCUAUAUCAGUCGGAUAUUAUCAAUAUCAUAUCCUCUAUCAUAUUCGCCGGAUAUCUGGUUGAUCAAAAUUCGUAUCCGCAUCCAUAUCCUUGCGAUUUGUGUAAGUGUAUACCAUAUCCUUAAAAACAGAUGCGAAAGCGGAUUCAGAACAGAAAUUAUCCGUAUCAUUUACAUCCCUACCUAUGACCUUAGGCCAUGGAGGUGUGCUGGGUGUAGGCCCUUGCUAGCGGGAGGGCUCCUCCUCUAUUUUUACAUGUUUCUUGUGUCCGUUUAGGGUUUGUGUAUUGCUGAGGAAGACGAGGUGGCAGCGUCUCCUUGAAGAUUCAAUAAGGUCCUCCCCGCAUAGGCCCCGUUUCGAUGGUCCGACUAGCGUUAUUGGAGGGCAUGUGGAGGUGUGAUUUCGAGGGAUCUCGUAGACUUUAGCUGGUAGUUGUUUAUGGUGGAUCUGGUCGGAUCCGGUCUUCAUCUGUCUGUGCUCGUGUGACUUUUGAUUGAAUAAUUUCGAUCUACGCUUAUCUUCAUCAACGACGGUUGUUGUUCUGAUCCGCUGAUCCUAUGAGGCCUUAGCACGACGACUUUGCAGUUGUCUACUAUAACAAAUUUUGUCCGGCUUUGAUGAAGGAGGGGUGAUGACGACGGCCAUUGGCUCGUUUCAGUGUUUGUAGUAGUCGCCAGUUAAUCUAUGAAUCUAUAUGUAUUUUUUGUUAUUUCAAAUAUUUGUUGUACUGUCAUGAUUGAUGAUGAAUAGAUCAAAGAUUUUUUCAUGAAAAAGAAAUUCCUUACAAGCUGCAAAAAAUAUAUGGAAAAAGAGUAAGAAAAAAGAGGACCUCAUGGCCAGCAACCCACGGCCCCAUCCAAGUUCAAGCUCAUGCCCCAUGGUUCAUCAGUUUUUUUCUUGUUUGGAGGAGCCCAUGGUUUAACAGUUGGACCACUGAGGGUAUGGUUCAUCAGAUCACGCGCGCUCAGUGCCAGUUCGAAUCUGCCCACGCCAACAUGAAAGCUACUAAACUCCAGGUCGAUCUCCAGCUUCCAAGCAACCAAUGGAUGACCGCUUUACAGCUGCACUGAUUUGCCCGGAGGUUCAUUGGCCACUACCGACUAAACUAUGUAUGUGCAUGGCACGUUUGUUGUUGGCAUCCCAUCUUUCGGGUACUAGCGUUGUUGGCACUCCCGGUCCCGCUCCUCCAGAUCACCGGCGUUGAUCCCCGUCCAGCCGGAGGCACAGGAGACGUCGCUAGGGCGGCGUACACGCAGCACCGACAUCGUUAUCAAUGGACCCGGUUCUUCCUUCCGCCUCAUCAGGCCGAAGACGGAGCCAGGGCUCCUGCCCGUCAAGUAGGAGCACCUCAUCAUGGCUGCCUCCGACGAGGCUGUCUUGAAAUUGAAGAAGAUGGAGCGUCAACGCCGCGUCCUGGAGGAAAUCGUCGUCCGUCAUCGCGGCCGCGAGGAGGGCGGCCUCGUCAUCCUCGACGACAGCGACGAGGAGGCGUCGGGGCCUUCUAACCCCGUUCGCAGGCGACCCAGGGCAGGGGUGGAGCAAAUACGGCGACGGAGCGGGCGGUAACGACGACGACGCCGAGGGCGACUACACCACUUUCUACAAGCUCCUCGGCAUGUAGAAGGCGGCAGCGGCGUGCGACGGCGAUGUAGUCUAGUUUUUAUUUUAGUUUUAUGUUUAAUUAUGUUUUUAUUUCCUUUUUUACAAAUUUAUUGCAAACUAUGAAUUUCUUUUGAAUUUGACUCGGUUUUGACCGAAUUUGGGCCGAUUUUUUUUUUUUUGAAAACCAAUUCGGGCGACCUUUGGGGGCGACUGGGAACCCGAGCCCCCCAGGGCGAGUUUUUCGCCGGUGCACCUCAAGACGACGCUAUUUCACGUUCGUGGGGGGCCGAACGGCUGGAGAUGCUCUUAGAGCAUCUACACGCGUAUCCCUCGAACCCAGCUCAAACGGUAAAAGAGGACAACAACCGGUCACAAAAAAAUGUGAUUUAAACGUGCUUCUUGUUAGAAGGAUUAGAGAGAGAUUGGUGGAAUAGCUGUUGUAUUGCAUACCAGCAAAUGGAGAGAAAAAAGACAAAGUCCCAUCCGGUGCUCCUUUCACUUGGAUCGUAGCCAACUUUGCGAAUUGUGCCGAGGACUCCAAUGAAGAUGUUACACAGGCUUAUGCUCACAUGUAAAUGUGGUAUGUUAUCUCUAGGACUACCUUCGCUAACAACGGCGGCAAGAACGCUCAAUGGAUGUGGCUGAAUGCGCUGACAGUCCUCGGCCACAAGUUCAUCUGGGGGUCGGCGACAUUGGCCUACUUGUAUCGGCAGGUAACAAAUCAUUCAUAAUUAGGUUUUGUUUGGCUUUCACUCUUGCCCUUAAUUGACCCGUGUUUGGCUUUACGUGCAGUUUAAUGAUGCUUGUCGUAGGUCCUCGAAAGACGACGGAAUUGAUGGUUGUAUGCUCCUACUUUCGGUAUGGAGUUGGAAACGCCUUUCAGUUGGACGCCCUAGAGAGGUAACGUUCAAGGCCUCGAUGACCACGACAACCCUAUACGGCUUCCCACCUGAGCUUAUAAGUGGGACGUGGUAUCGGAGGUGACGAGCGAUGUCAAUAUCGUGUAUAAGCAAUACACCAACGAGAUGGAUUCGCUUACCGCCAAGCAGGUAAACAUUGAUAUUACAUCACUCACUUGACUCCUCUACAUGAAAGGAAAACAUGAAUGUCGUGUUGUGUUGCAGGUGGAAUGCCAACCACAUGGUGUCGGGCAUCGCUUUGGUGAUGCACACACGUUCCGGCUCAAUCCAGUGUGCUUACAAGAUGAACAUCUUUCGCUUAUGCGGUGUCCACUGAUAUGCAAUUGAUCGAUUGAGUUUCAUCUCCCGCAUUGUGUGUUCCAUUAAUUUGGGUUGGUCCAGGGUCAUCCGUCGGAGUGGGUGGACACAGACACGCAACUUCACAGGGGAGAAAUGUGCUUGAUUUGGGAAGAGAUUUGAGAAGGGAGUAGAGGGGAAGUAGGGGACGGAGUUGAUGUUCUCUCAAGAUGUGUGGGAGCGGAGAUAGCCCCCCCCCCCCCCCCCUGCGGGUGUAUAAAUCAAAGUGUGGCGUCUAAGAGCAAGUCGCAAGAUAUUACAAGUAUGACGCCUUUGUCUUAGACGCAAAAAUGCUAGACAUACAAAGAGUUACAUAAAGUUACACGCUGAUUAUGAUUCUUUUUUUUCUAACUAACCAUUCCUCCCUGAUUUUCAAAGAGGAUGGGGCCCUCAUCCCCUUAAUCUCCAAUCAAAAUCCACCUCUUUGUAAAAUUCAUCUAAAUUAUGUAUGUGUAGCAUUGCUCGUCUUAAACGCCACACUAUGAGGAUGGGGUCGGCCCUGAAGGUGCCAGCGUGGCCGGAGAUGCGGCGUCUAGGUCUUCAACAAUACACAAUGGAGUGUGUCGCCUUUCCGUCGGACGCCAUACAAACCGGUUAGCCGGACGAUUUUUUUUGUUUUUUGUGAAUAAUUUAGUUUGUGAAUUUUUUGCCUCAAUAGAUCAAAUUUGUCAAAUUUGGCGUCCAAAUAUACAGGUCGAUAGAUUACCUCUUCCCUGCAUGUACAGGCAGAUAGCACCGUACGUAUCUCUAUCUCCAACUAUCAAGAUCAGACCAAAAAUCAGGAAAACACACUUUCCAACGUCAAAAAUCGCAGCAAAUCCAACCUACUACAAACCCGUCGUCACCCGCAAUGACCAGACCCGCACCUCGCCGUCAAAGCUGGCGCUGCACACCCUCCAUUCCUCGUCGCCGUCGUCAUGGUCGUCUCCUCCUGCCUGCAGCUGCUGCUUNNNNN